AACAAAAUAUGACUCUAUAUGAAUGCCUCCGGCGGUGUAUCGGGAUAUGCAAUAAAUCAAGAGUGACACGUAUGAGAGAAUUAUGAAUGGUGGCUUUGCCACAACUACGAUGUCAACUACAUGAUCAUGCUAAGCAAUAUGACAAUGAUGGAGUGUGACAUAAUAAACGGAACGGUGGAAAGUUGCAUGGCAAUAUAUCUCGGAGUGGAUAUGGAAAUGCCAUAAUAGGUAGGUAUGGUGGCUGUUUUGAGGAAGGUAUAUGGUGGGUGUAUUAUACUGGCGAAAGGUGUGUGGUAUUAGAGAGGCUAGCAAAGGUGGAAGGGUGAGAGUGCGUAUAAUCCAUGGACUCAAGAUUAGUCAUAAAGAACUCAUAUACUUAUUGCAAAAAUCUACAAGUUAUCAAAGCAAAGUAUUACGUGCAUGCUCCUAGGGGGAUAGAUUGGUAGGAAAAGACCAUCGCUCGUCCCCGACCUCCACUCAUAAGGAAGACAAUCAAAAAAAUCAUGCUCCGACUUCAUCACAUAACGGUUCACCAUACGUGCCUGCUACGGGAAUCACAAACUUUAACACAAGUAUUCUUCAAAUUCACAAUUACUCUACUAGCACAACUUUAAUAUCACCAUCUUCAUAUCUCAAAACAAUUAUCAAGCAUCGAACUUCUCAUAGUAUUCAACACACUCAUAAAAAAGUUUUAUUAUUAAUCUUGUAUACCAAGCAUAUUAGGAUUUUAAGAAAAUUACCAUGAUAUUUAAGACUCUCAAAAUAAUCUAACUGAAUCAUGAGAGAUCAAUAGUUUCUAUAAAACAAAUCCACCACCGUGCUCUAAAAGAUAUAAGUGAAGCACUAGAGCAAAACUAUAUAACUCAAAAGAUAUAAGCGAAGCACAUAGAGUAUUCUAACAAAUUUCAAAUCAUGUAUGACUCUCUCAAAAGGUGUGUACAGCAAGGAUUAUUGUGGUAAACUAACAAAUAAAUACUUAAAUCAUACAAGACGCUCCAAGCAAAACACAUAUCAUGUGGCGAAUAAAAAUAUAGCUCCAAGUAAAGUUACCGAUAGAAGUAGACGAAAGAGGGGAUGCCUUUCGGGGCAUCGCCAAGCUUUGGCUUUUAGAUGUCCUUAGAUUAUCUUGGGGGUGCCAUGGGAAUCCCCAAGCCUAUGCUCUUGCCACUCCUUGUUCCAUAAUCCAUCAAAUCUUUACCCAAAACUUGAAAACUUCACAACACAAAACUCAAAGUAGAAAAUCUCGUGAGCUCCGUUAGCGAAAGAAAAUAAAAGACCACUUCAAGGUACUAUAAUGAACUCAUUCUUUAUCUAUAUUGGUGUUAUACCUACUGUAUUCCAACUUCUCUAUGGUUUAUAAACUAUUUUACUAGCCAUAGAUUCAUCAAAAUAAGCAAACAACACACGAAAAACAGAAUCUAUCAAAAACAGAACAGUCUGUAGUAAUCUGUAGCUAGCGCAAGAUCUGGAACCCCAAAAAUUCUAAAAUAAAUUUCUGUACGUGAGGAAUUUAUCUAUUAAUCAUCUACAAAAAUAAUUAACUAAAUAUCACUUUCCAAAUAAAAAUGGCAGUAGUUCUCGUGAGCGCUAAAGUUUCUGUUUUUUACAGCAAGUGUAACAAGACUUUCCACAAGUCUUCCCAACGGUUCUACUUGGCACAAACACUAACUAAACACACAAAAACACAACCAAAACAGAUGAUAGAUAAAUUAUUUAUUACUAAACAGGAUCAAAAAGCAAGGAAUAAAAAUAAAAUUGGGUUGCCUCCCAACAAGCGCUAUCGUUUAACGCCCCUAGCUAGGCAUAACAAGCAAGCAUAGAUCUAGGUAUUGCCAUAUUUGGUAGGCAAUCCAUAAGUGGAUCUCAUAAUAGAUUCAUAAGGUAAUUUAAUUUUCUUUAUAAGAAAGUGUUCCAUGUUUCCUUAAUGGAAAUUGUAAUCUAAUAUUUCCUUCCUUCAUAUCAAUAAUUGCACCAAUCAUUCUAAGGAAAGGUCUACCAAGAAUAAUAGGACAUGAAGGAUUGCAAUCUAUGUCAAGAACAAUAAAAUCUACGGGCACAUAAUUCCUAUUUGCAACAAUAAGAACAUCAUUAAUUCUUCCCAUAGGUUUCUUAAUAGUGGAAUCCGCAAGGUGCAAAUUUAAAGGGCAAUCAUCAAAAUGACGGAAACCUAACAAAUCACACAAAGUCUUUGGAAUCGUGGAAACACUAGCACCCAAAUCACAUAAAGCAUAGCAUUCAUGAUAUUUAAUUUUAAUUUUAAUAGUUGGUUCCCACUCAUCAUAAAGCUUUCUAGGGAUAGAAACUUCCAAUUCAAGUUUUUCUUCAUAAGAUUGCAUCAAGGCAUCAACGAUAUGUUUAGUAAACGCUUUAUUUUGACUAUAAGCAUGAGGAGAAUUUAACACGGAUUGUAACAAGGAAAUACAAUCAAUCAAAGAGCAAUUUUCAUAGUUAAAUUCCUUGAAAUCCAUAAUAGUGGGUUUAGCAACAUCUAGGGUUUUAAUUUCUUCAAUCCCACUUUUAUCAAUUUUAGCAUCAAGAUCAAAAAAUUCCGAAUUCUUGGAACGCCUUCUAGGUAAAGGUGGAUCAUAUUCAGUCCCAUCAUUAUCAAGAUUCAUAUUGCAAAACAAAGAUUUAAUAGGAGACACAUCAAUAACUUUUAGAUCUUCAUCUUUAUUUUCAUAGGAACUAGAAGAACACGCUCUUAUAAAGGCAUCUUUCUUAGCACGCAUCCUAGUGGUUCUUUCUUUGCACUCAUCAUGGAAAUUAUCAUGGCUUUGAGAGACUCAUUGACAUCAUGCUUAGGUGGAAUAGAUCUAAGUUUCAAAGAAUCAACAUCAAGAGUAAUUCUAUCAACGUUCCCAGCCAAAUCAUCAAUCUUAAGCAAUUUUUCUUCAAUCAAAGCAUUGAAAUUCUUUUGUGAAGUAAUAAAUUCUUUAAUAUUAGAUUCAAAAUCAGAGGGCAUCUUAUUAUAAUUUCCAUAAGAAUUGUUGUAGAAAUUACCAUAGUUAUUAGAGGGAUUACUAGGAUAAGGCCUAGGGUUGAAAUUUCCUCUAUACGCGUUGUUAUCAAAAUUGUUCCUACCAAAAAAAUUCACAUCCAUAGAUUCAUUAUUAUUCUCAAUCAAAGUAGACAAGGUCAUAUCAUUAGGAUCAGAAGAAACACUCUUAUUAGCAAAUAAUUUCAUAAGUUCAUCCAUCUUUCCACUCAAAACAUUAAUUUCUUCUAUCGCGUGCACCUUUUUAUUAGUAGAUCUUUCAGUAUGCCAUUGAGAAUAAUUAACUAUAAUAUUAUCUAAGAGUUUAGUAGCUUCUCCUAAAGUGAUUUCCAUAAAAGUGCCUCCCGCGGCCGAAUCUAAAAGAUUUCUAGAAGCAAAAUUUAAUCCGGCAUAAAAAAUUUGUAUAAUCAUCCACAAAUUUAAACCAUGAGUAGGGCAAUUACGUAUCAUUAGUUUCAUUCUCUCCCAAGCUUGUGCAACAUGUUCAUGAUCAAGUUGCUUAAAAUUCAUAAUAUCGUUUCUAAGAGAGAUGAUCUUAGCGGGAUGAAAAUACUAAGCAUCUUUGCACUUUUUCCAUGAAUCAAUACUAUUUUUAGGCAAAGACGAAAACCAAGCUUUAGCACGAUCUCUAAGAGAAAAAGGAAAUAGCUUCAAUUUAACAAUAUCAUUAUCCACAUCUUUCUUCUUUUGCAUAUCACACAAAUCAACGAAGCUAUUUAGAUGGGUAGCGGCAUCUUCACUAGGAAGGCCGGAAAACGAAUCUUUCAUGACAAGAUUCAGCAAAGCAGUAUUAAUUUCACAAGAUUCAGCAUCGGUAAGAGGAGCAAUCGGAGUGCUAAUAAAAUCAUUGUUGUUGGUAUUGGUGAAGUCACAUAAUUUAGUAUUAUGUUGAGCCAUCGUGACAAGCAAGCAAACUAACACACAAGCAAACAAAAAGCAAGCGGGCAAAAAGAGGCAAAUAGAGAAGGAGAGGGAGGAUGAAGAGAGAGAGGGCGAAUAAAACAGCAAGGGUGAAGUGGGGGAGAGGAAAACGAGAGGCAAAUGGCAAAUAAUGUAAUGCGGGAGAUAAGGGUAUGUGAUGGGUACUUGGUAUGUUGACUUUUGCGUAGAACUCCCCGGCAACGGCACCAGAAAUCCUUCUUGCUACCUCUUGAGCACUGCGUUGGUUUUCCCCGAAGAGGAAUGGAUGAUGCAGCAAAGUAGCGUAAGUAUUUCCCUUAGUUUUUGAGAACCAAGGUAUCAAUCCAGUAGGAGGCUACGCGCGAGUCCCUCUUACCUGCACAAAACAAAUAAAUCCUCGCAACCAAUGCGAAUAGGGGUUGUCAAUCCCUACACGGCCACUUACGAGAGUGGGAUCUGAUAGAUAUGAUAAGAUAAUAUUUUUGGUAUUUUUUGUGAUAAAGAUGCAAAGUAAAAUAAAGGCAAAGUAAAAAAGCAAAGGAAAUAACUAAGUAGUAGGAGAUUAAUAUGAUAAAGAUAGACCCAGGGGCCAUAGGUUUAACUAGUGGCUUCUCUCGAGAGCAUAAGUAUUCUACGGUGGGUGAACAAAUUACUGUUGAGCAAUUGACAGAGUUGAGCAUAGUUAUGAGAAUAUCUAGGUAUGAUCAUGUAUAUAGGCAUCACGUCCGAGACAAGUAGACCAACUCUUGCCUGCAUCUACUACUAUUACUCCACUCAUCGACCGCUAUCCAGCAUGCAUCUAGAGUAUUAAGUUAAAAAUAGAGUAAUGCCUUCAGCAAGAUGACAUGAUGUAGAGGGAUAGACUCAUGCAAUAUGAUGAAAACCCCAUCUUGUUAUCCUCGAUGGCAACAAUACAAUACGUGCCUUGUUGCCCCUACUGUCACUGGGAAAGGACACCGCAAGAUUGAACCCAAAGCUAAGCAUUUCUCCCAUUGCAAGAAAGAUCAAUCUAGUAGGCGAAACCAAAUUGAUAAUUCGAAGAGACUUGCAAAGAUAACCAAUCAUACAUAAAAGAAUUCAGAGAAGAUUCAAAUAUUAUUCACAGAUAGACUUGAUCAUAAACCCACAAUUCAUCGAUCUCAACAAACACACCGCAAAAAGAAGAUUACAUCGAAUAGUUCUCCACAAGAGAGGGGGAGAACAUUGUAUUGAGAUCCAAAAGGAGAGAAGAAGCCAUCUAGCUAAUAACUAUGGACCCAUAGGUCUGAGGUAAACUACUCACACUUCAUCGGAGAGGCUAUGGUGUUGAUGUAGAAGCCCUCCGUGAUCGAUGCCCCCUCCGGCGGAGCUCCGGAACAGGCCCCAAGAUGGGAUCUCGUGGAUACAGAAAGUUGCGGCGGUGGAAUUAGGUUUUUGGCUUCGUAUCUAAUCGUUUGGGGGUAUGUAGGUAUAUAUAGGAGGAAGGAGUACGUCGGUGGAGCAACAAGGGGCCCACGAGGGUGGAGAGCGCGCCUGGGGGGGUAGGCGCGCCCCCUACCUCGUUGCCUCCUCUUUUGUGUCCCGACGUAGGGUCCAAGUCUCCCGGGUCUUGUUUGUGAGAAAAUCACGUUCCUGAAGGUUUCAUUCUGUUUGGACUCCGUUUGAUAUUCCUUUUCUUCGAAACCCUAAAACAGGCAAAAAAAUAGCAAUUCUGGGCUGGGCCUCCGGUUAAUAGGUUAGUCCCAAAAAUAAUAUAAAAGUGGAUAAUAAAUCCCAAUAAUGUCUAAAACAGUAGAUAAUAUAGCAUGGAGCAAUCAAAAAUUAUAGAUACGUUGGAGACGUAUCAUGAACUUCAACUCAACCACUCGUCGGUGUUGGAAACACUUGCUUUGAACCAGAAGUGAUUCUUUGGGAAAGGCCAGCUACUGUCAAUCUCGAGACCAACGCAGGAAUGAUCAUCCAGGCUGAAGCGGCCUAUGUCAGGAUGCAUAUUGUGGUAGCCACGGUAGGGAACCAUAGCAAUGUCCGAGGUAUGGAUAUAGUUUCUUCUCAUAAAUGGUAGUAAUGUUGUGUCAAUAGCAGCUGGAUCGCCUUUCACCAUCGUUGGAUAAUUUUGUCCAAGGAAGAGCGAGUUUCCUCCAAUAGUAUCAAUACUAAACUAGGGAGAAGGUGUUGACGCUAGCACGGUAGUAUCCAUCCCGAAUACCCUGCAGCGGAUGUUGGAAUAGGUUCGGAGAGUGCGACCAUGGGAGACAACACCUGCUUCCUUAGUAACAUCAGCAGUGCCCUAUAUACAAACAAGAAGAGGUGAUCCAUCGGAAUAAGUUGCCAGGCGCCACUGAGUAUAUGGGUCCUCAUGCUCGUGAUCAUCAUCAUCGUCAUCUCGCCCUUGGUUAUAAAAAUUUUCAAGUAUAGGUGGUGGAAUGUUCACAGGACCUUGGAAACACAAGAAGGUUAAUUAGUAAAGGGAAACUAGCUAACCCACAUGCGUGUGGAUGAAACAAUUAUAAUUAUGGUGGAAGACAAACGUAUCGAAAGCAUCAGGAUUCCAUGCAAAAGUAGUGCCACGAGUGGUGGCAGCAAACACAAGACCCUCAUAUUGAAUCGCAUCACAGUACUCAUCCGUGUACAAAAAUUGAUUUUUGAGCAAUAUCCAUUGAUAACCAAAAAGUAUAGGGAUCGCAACAGUUCUCGAGGGUAGAGUAUUCAGCCCGAAUUUAUUGAUUCGCCACAAGGGGAGCCAAAGAAUAUUCUCAAGUAUUAGGAGCUGAGUUGUCAAUUCAACCACACCUGGAAACUUAAUAUCUGCAACAAAGUAUUUAGUAGCAAAGUAAUAUGAUAGUAGUGGUAACGGUAGCAAAAGUAAUGUUUUUGGUAUUUUGUAGUGAUGAUAGCAAUAGCAACGGAAAAGUAAAUAAGCGAAGACAAAUAUAUGGAAAGCUCGUAGGCAAUGGAUUGGUGAUAGAGAAUUAUGCCGGAUGCGGUUCAUCAUGUAACAGUCAUAACCUAGGGUGACACAGAACUAGCUCCAAUUCAUCAAUGUAAUGUAGGCAUGUAUUCCGAAUAUAGUCAUACGUGCUUAUGGAAAAGAAGUUGCAUGACAUCUUUUGUCCUACCCUCCCGUGGCAGCGGGGUCCUAGCAGAAACUAAGGGAUAUUAAGGCCUCCUUUUAAUAGAGUACCGGACCAAAGCAUUAACACAUAGUGAAUACAUGAACUCCUCAAACUACGGUCAUCACCGGUAAGUAUCCCGAUUAUUCUCACUUUGGGGUUAACGGAUCAUAACGCAUAAUAGGUGACUAUAGAAUUGCAAUAUAGGAUGAAGAACUCUCAUAUAUUGAUGAAAACAUAAUAGGUUCAGAUCUAAAAUCAUGGCACUCGGGCCCUAGUGACAAGCAUUAAGCAUAGCAAAGUCAUAGCAACAUCAAUCUCAGAACAUAGUGGAUACUAGGGAUCAAACCCUAACAAAACUGACUCAAUUACAUGAUAAAUCUCAUCCAACCCAUCACCGUCCAGCAAGCCUACGAUGGAAUUACUCACGCAUGGCGGUGAGCAUCAUGAAAUUGGUGAUGGAGGAAGGUUGACGAUGACGAUGGCGAGGGAUUCCCCUCUCCGGAGCCCCGAACAGACUCCAGAUCAGCCCUCCCGAGAGGUUUUAGGGCUUGGCGGCGGCUCCGUAUCGUAAAACGCGAUGAAUCCUUCUUCCUUAUUUUUCUCCCUGAAAGCAAAUAUAUAGAGUUGGAGUUGAGGUUGGACGAGCUCCAGGGGGGCCACGAGGUAGGGGGCGCGCCCCCCACCCUCGUGGCUAGGGUGUGGGCCCCCUAGUCUUCAUCUUUUGCAAGGAUUUUUUAUUAUUUCCGAAAAGAUGUUCCAUGAAGUUUCAGGUCAUUCCAAGAACUUUUGUUUUUGCACAUAAAUAACACCAUGGCAAUUCUGCUGAAAACAGCGUCAGUCCGGGUUAGUUCCAUUCAAAUCAUGCAAGUUAGAGUCCAAAACAAGGGCAAAAGUGUUUGGAAAAGUAGAUACGAUGGAGACGUAUCAACUCCCCCAAGCUUAAACCUUUGCUUGUCCUGAAGCAAUUCAGUUGAUAAACUGAAAGUGAUAAAGAAAAACUUUUACAAACUCUGUUUGCUCUUGUUGUUGUGAAUAUGUAAAGCCAGCAUUCAGGUUUUCAUCAAAGAUUAUGAACUAACCAUAUUCAUGAUAACACAUAGGUCUCAUGUUUACUCAUAUCAAUGGCAUAAUCAACUAGCGAGCAAUAAUAAUAAAUCUCGGAUGACAACACUUUCUCAAAACAAUCAUAAUAUGAUAUAACAAGAUGGUAUCUCGCUAGCCCUUUCUGAGACCGCAAAACAUAAAUGCGGAGCACCUUUAAAGAUCAAGGACUGACUAGACAUUGUAAUUCAUGGUAAAAGAGAUCCAGUCAAGUCAUACUCAAUGUAAACUAACAGUAAUGAAUGCAAAUGACAGUGGUGCUCUCCAACUGGUGCUUUUUAAUAAGAGGAUCAUGACUCGACAUAAAAGUAAAUAGAUAGGCCCUUCGCAGAGGGAAGCGGGGAUUUGUAGAGGUGCCAGAGCUCGCUUUUGAAAUAGAGGUAAAUAAUAUUUUGAGCGGUAUACUUUCAUUGUCAACAUAAAAACCAAGAGAUGGCGAUAUCUUUCAUGCUACACACAUUAUAGGCGAUUCCCAAACAGAAUGGUAAAGUUUAUACUCCCCCUCCACCAACAAGCAUCAAUCCAUGGCUUGCUCGAAACAACGAGUGCCUCCAACUAACAAGAGUCCCAGGGGGAGUUUUGUUUGCAAUUAUUUUGAUUUAGUUUGCAUAAAGCAUGGAACUGGGCAUCCCGGUGACCAGCCAUUUUCUCGUGAGUGAGGAGCGGAGUCCACUCCUCUUGAGAAUAACCCGCCUAACAUGGAAUAUACGGACAACCCUAGUUGAUACAUGAGCUAUUCGAGCAUACAAAACAAGAUAUUUAUUUGAAGGUUUAGAGUUUGGCACAUACAAAUUUACUUGGAACGACAGGUAGAUACCGUAUAUAGGUAGGUAUGGUGGACUCAUAUGGAACAACUUUGGGGUUUAUGGUGUUGGAUGCACAAGCAGUAUUCCCGCUUAGUACAGGUGAAGGCUAGCAAAAGACUGGGAAGCGACCAGCUAGAGAGCGACAACAGUCAUGAACAUGCAUUAAAAUUAAUCAACACCGAAUGCAAGCAUGAGUAGGAUAUAAUCCACCAUGAACAUAAAUAUCAUGAAGGCUAUGUUGAUUUUGUUUCAACUACAUGCGUGAACAUGCGCCAAGUCAAGUCACUUAAAUCAUUCAGAGGAGGAUACCACCCUAUCAUACCACAUCACAACCAUUUUAAUAGCAUGUUGGCACGCAAGGUAAACCAUUAUAAGCUCCUAGCUAAUCAAGCAAGGCACAAGAAACUAUGAUCUCUAGUUGUCAUUGCAAACAUGUUUAUUCAUAAUAGGCUGAAUCAGGAACAAUGAACUAAUCAUAUUUACAAAAACAAGAGAGGUCGAGUUCAUACCAGCUUUUCUCAUCUCAGUCAGUCCAUCAUAUAUCGUCACAAUUGCCUUUCACUUGCACGACCGAAUGGUGUGAAUAAUAUUAAGAGUGCACGUGCAUUGGACUAAGCUAGAAUCUGCAAGCAUUCAAUAAAUAGGAGAAGACAAGGCGAUAUGGGCUCUUUGUCAAAUCAACAAUAAUGCAUAUAAGAGCCACUUCAACAAUUUAAUUAUGGUCUUCUCCUAUUGACCCCCAAAGAAAAAAAAAGAAAAAAAAAACUAUUUACACGGGAAAGCUCUGUGACGCCCUCGAUUCAAUCGUACACUAAUCAUACACGCAAAUGUGUACGAUCAAGAUCAAGGACUCACAGGAAGAUAUCACAACACAACUCUAGACACAAAUUAAAAUAAUACAAGCUUUAUAUUACAAGCCAGGGGCCUCGAGGGCUCGAAUAUACAAGAGUCAGCGGAAGCAACAAUAUCUGAGUACAAACAUAAUUUAGACAAGUGUGCCUUAAGAAGGCUAGCACAAAAGCAACAAUGAUCGAAAAGGCAAGGCCUCCUGCCUGGGAGCCUCCUAACUACUCCUAGUCAUCUGCGGUCUUCACGUAGUAGUAGGCAUCCUCCGGGUAGUACUAGUCUUCACUGGCGUCGUCUGGCUCCUAGGAUCCGUCAUCUGGUCGCAACAACCGGGUAUAGGGGAAAAAGAGGUAGCAAAGCAACCGUGAGUACUCAUCCAAAGUACUCGCAAGACUUACAUCAGAUCUAAACCAAGUAUGCAUCUGUAUCGAAGGAGAUGGGUUGUAUCUGUGGACUAAACUGCAGAAUGCCAGAAGGGAAGGGGAAAGCCUAGCCUAUCGAAGACUAGCAUCUUCUGGAAACCACCAUCUUGCAGCAACAGGAGGGAGUAGAGUAGCAUAAAGUAAGUAGUAGUAGUGUUAUCAACCUCGGCCAGAGAUCCUUUCUCGACUCCCUACGAGAAAGCAAUCCCAGAGCCAUACUAUCCAGUUAUCAUCUCAUAUCCAAGUCUCAUCUCCAUGUCUCAUCACAAGUAUCUAGUUCUAGUUGUAUCGAUCGAAAUACAACUCCAAGUGUCCGUUACCGUAGGACAGGCUAUCGAUAGAUGUUUUCUUCCCUGGAGGAGUGCACCAACUUACCCACCACGCUCAAUUAACUCCGGCCGGACACACUUUCCUGGGUCAUGCCCAGCCUCAGCCAAAAAAUACACCGCAACCCGACCUAGGCUUAAUAGAGAGGUCAGCACGCCGGACUAAACCUAUGCCCCCAAGGGUCAUGGGCCAUCUCCCCGGGAACUCCUGCAUGUUGCGUGGGCGGCCGGUGAGCAGAUCUAGCUACCUCCUUCAAAAAGGUAGGUGCUUACCAGUCCAACCCGGCGUGCGCCGCUCAGUCGCUGACGUCUAUUAAGCUUCAGCUGAUGUAUACGACGCAGAACGCCCAUACUAUGCCCACGUGAUGGUUAGUGCUAUCAGGCCAGAGGCCCCUCGGAUGAAAUAUCCAAAUCGUAGUGGAUUAGGAACGCGCGGUAACGAGUAGAGACUCAUGAUCGAUGUGACCCCGUCACCCCGUCUCAAGUACUUGCGACAAGGGCUAAGAAUGCCCGGCCACGCCUCGUAAGUAUCUCGCGGGCACCUUCCAGGUCAACCCGACUCCACAUCACUCGCUAUUAAGCUUGCACGGGUACCCCUCAGGGCCUACCCAUCUUUAGUAACAUGGUUCAGUUGUAAAGCCAUAGUAACCAUAGUAACUGUGUGUCUAACACCAAGGGGGAAAACCGAGGAAUCACCCCCGGUGAAUUCCACUCGAUGUUAUCAUCAAGGUGAACGUAAGAGGAUCCACCCUCGAGGUUCACACUUGAGAAGUUGCACGACAGAGCCGUAACGGAAGUGGUUAAGGAGGAAAUCACCCUCGAUGACCAUGAUCGAAUAGCUACACUACAGGGUAACAUCAGAAGUGCUGAUGAGGUCUCACCCCCGGCACUCGAUAGCAACCCAGUAGUGUCGAGCAAACAAGGGGAAAGUGAUGUGCGGUGUCGGGGCCAGGUCUUCUAUCCCGUUGAUCGGGUCUUCAAUGAUGAAGCAGGGGCAACAAGGACAAGGUGGGGGGGUCACUGAUGGAUCACUAACCAACCUAUACUAAGCAGUUUAGGAUAAGCAGGUAAGGUAUGAAAGGAGGUAACAACAACAGGCUAUGCAUUAGAGUAGGAUCAUACAGAAAGUAGUAGCAGUUCUAAUGCAAGCAUGAGAGGGAAAGAAAUGGGCGAUAUCGGAAUGCUCAAGGGGGGUUUGCUUGCCUGGUUGCUCUAGCAAGGGGGGGGUCGUCGUCGACGUAGUCGAUCACAAGGGCAGCAUUGGUCUCGGGGUCUACCGGAGAGAAGAGGGGGAAGAAACAGUAAAUACAAAGCAAACAAUGCAUCACAAAAAUAUAACAAGGCAAAACACGGUGCAAGGGGUGACCUAACGCAGUACUAGGCGAUACUGGUGAAGGGGAGAAACAUCCGGGGAAAAAAGCCCCGGUGUUCCGCGUUUUCGGACAGAUGAAACGGAGGAGGAAAGUUGCGUGUUCGCUAUGCUAGGGAUGCGUGGCGGACGAACGAGUUGCGUAUCUGGAUUUGUCUCGUCGUUCUGAGCAACUUUCAUGUACCAAGUUUUUCGAUCCGAGCUACGGUUUAUUUAUAUGAUUUUUCAAAGUUUUACUCAUUUUUUGAAAUUAUUAUUAAUUCAAAAUUAAUAUGAGAAAAUGCUAUGGGUACCCAGCCUUGUGUACACAGAGGUUGACAUGUGAGCCAAGGGACCCAGUUGACCAGUCAAAGUUUGACUGGUCAACAAAGGGUGGGGGUCCCCUGUCAUUGACUGACUAGUAAACUAACAACUUUAGUUAGACUAAUUAUGUAGUUAAUAGGUUAAUUAACAUGAUUAAUUAGAUUAAUUAAUUAAUUGACUUUAUUUUUAUUAUUUUUAAAUCUUUUUUUAUUAAAAUGUUCCAGGGCAGGGCCCCACAUGUCAUAGGCCCAAAGGGUUCUAUCGGGCGCCGGGUGCAGCGGCAAACGGGCGCCUGGAGCGGCGCAACCCGGCUGGGCUCCCGCCCAAGUCGACAGGGGAGGGAAGGGCGCCAGGGCGCCGGCAGCUGCGGCGAGCUGCGCCGGGCAGGAGGCAGCAGAGGAGGUGGCGCGGCCCGAGUAGAGGAGGGGGACGCUCGCGGGGAAGCAGGGGGAGACGGAGGCAAGGGGCGCCGGUGGCCAUGGCCAGAGCGGGGAGGCGGCGGACGCCGGCGAAGGCAGCCGCGCGGGGAUGGGGAGCAGGGCCGGCCGUAGCCAAAGUCAGGUGCGGACGGGGCGCGGCCUGGGAGCGUGGUGAGCACAACCGCAGAGGGAGGAGGAGGCCAGUGGGGUUCCUCACCCGCGUUGCAGGGGAGGCCCGAUGCAGGGCGAACGCGACGGCAGGGAGCGGUGGAGUCGAGGAGGUGUUCCGGCGGGGUCCGACGAGGCGCGAGGCGGCGGCGACCUCGACGGCGUCGAGCAGGCGUCUGGCCACGAGGGAGAGGGGACGGGGCCGCGAGGAGGACGGCGACGUCGGGGCGAUGGAGGACUAGGCGGCGACGGGCGGCGACGCGGCGGUCCGGCGAGGUGGCGAUGGUCGGCACCGAGGCGAGGUCGCCAGGCGAUGGCGCGUCCAGAUCGGGGGAGAGGGGGCGCCGCGGCGAGGUCUGGCGCAGUGGUGAUGGUUGGCGGGGCGCGGGCGAUGGUGAGCUGCGAUGUGGCNNNNNNNNNNNNNNNNNNNNNNNNNNNNNNNNNNNNNNNNNNNNNNNNNNNNNNNNNNNNNNNNNNNNNNNNNNNNNNNNNNNNNNNNNNNNNNNNNNNNNNNNNNNNNNNNNNNNNNNNNNNNNNNNNNNNNNNNNNNNNNNNNNNNNNNNNNNNNNNNNNNNNNNNNNNNNNNNNNNNNNNNNNNNNNNNNNNNNNNNNNNNNNNNNNNNNNNNNNNNNNNNNNNNNNNNNNNNNNNNNNNNNNNNNNNNNNNNNNNNNNNNNNNNNNNNNNNNNNNNNNNNNNNNNNNNNNNNNNNNNNNNNNNNNNNNNNNNNNNNNNNNNNNNNNNNNNNNNNNNNNNNNNNNNNNNNNNNNNNNNNNNNNNNGCAGGUGGUGGGCUAGGGUUCCGGUUGCGUGGGGGUUAGUAGUGGGGGGAGGCCAUCUAGGCCAGGGACGCGCGGGAUGGGCUGGCUGGUUGCGACCAGCUGGGCCAAGAGGCCCACUGGGGAGGGGGGGGUUCUGUUUUUUUUGCAGCAGGCUUUUGCAAUUAAACUAGCCACCAAAUGACUUAGCAAAAUUGUGUGCCUGGCCAAAACAAUUACUAGGGAAUAAUGUGCUCUGCCAUAACAAGUUUGGACAAGUUUUGAUUCCAUUUGGGAUUUUCAAUAAUGGAAAAGGCAUUAAUAGUGCUAUUUUGGCACUGUUUAAAAUGCUUAGGACCAUUUUGUAGUAUAUGGUGAUGUUGUUUUCCUUAACAAUCAUUUGUUAUGGAAUUUUUGACAAAUGAUGAACAUUUUUGCAGCAAUAUUUGAGCAACUUCAAAUUCCACUUGCAUUUGAAUCUGAACUCAGAUAAGGAUUUUGAAAUAAGAUGUUUCACCACUGUGAUCAAGCAUUGCAAUGAUGAUGACUUAUCAUGAUUGAGAGGAGAUCACUUUAGGGUGAUGUUGGGGAUGUUACAAAUCUCCUCCACUACAAGAAAUCUCGUCCCGAGAUUUAAGUGGUGGAGUAAGGGGAAGACUUGGGAAGGACGGAGCUUAACACAAGAUAGGUAUGUGGGGACUAUGUUAGUGAACAUGGCAUAGAGGCAUCUCUCGAGUUGAAAUUCAAGAAAGUCAUCGAGAGCAAGGUGAGGUGCAAUAAGAAGCUUCAACCUGGUAGACAAUUGCUUGUUGCCUAAAACAAGGGGGUGAACGGGGUUCAGAGCAAUGGGAAUAAGUAUUGCGUCUGAUACCAGAAUAGAUCGCCUCUCGGAAGGCGGCUCGUGAUUUUCAUAAGAAGCCAAGCGUGAGAAAUUACCUUAGAACAAGGGUGUACAGGAGAGUCAGGUUUCGAUCCUGUGGAACUGUGGGUUAUGGGCCCACCAUGUGGGUUAAAAGCAGGAAGGCGCUAACAUUUUGCACGGUCAUGAUGGGAAGGUAGGUCAGAGGAUAGUCAGUCAAUUAUGUCGACGACAACAUCGGUACCAAGGGCGAGGGACGAAGAGAACCAUUUUCCUGCUCGUUGAAACGAGGCGGACCAAUAUGCAAAGUCCUCGUCCAUCGGUGGUUACCGGAAUGCCAACAACAAUAAUAGCAAGGUCUUACUGACAAAGUUGUACACCGAGGUGCUUACUUAAGCAGGGAUUUAUCUCUGCUCAGACAAGUUAGAUUACAAGAAAGGUGAAACAAAACAAUGGAAGGAAAAUGUGUUUACACACCAGAAUUGGGAGUAUAUCCUUCCCAAGGGGAAGCGGAGCGGGAUAAACAUGAUAUGACAGCAAGUUCAAAAGCAUUUAGUUAAAGGGGGCGAGGUAAGAAUCAUGAUAUUACACAUACCACGGUGUUUGGAUAAUAGAUCAAGAAACAUUCGGCAUUGCGCUUCCAAUGUCCUUGUUGAUGAACGAAGUACUACAGUCGUGCUUCGAGAUAGCAUUGUCAUGGCCAUCAGGUAAAGGUCGGGCCUUGGGAAUACGAAGGAUCCAUCAAGAAUUUCUAGAACACCUCAUGCAAUUUUAUUAGGAAAAAGAUGAGGAUGUGGCCGAUGGGUUCGGCAGCAAUCCUUCGACAGGUCAAAAGGAUGUAAUGCCAAAAUGAUAUGAACAAAAUUGUGUUGGGGGGAAGGCAAGAAUGUUGUCGAGCCCAAUCAUGGAGGGGCACGGAUGGUAUUCCUCAUCAUGAAUUCAAUUUAUAUCCUAGAGGAGCAUCAGAAUGUUGAUGAUGAUCACAUUUGUCGAGAGAUUUCAUGAAGAUGUAAUCGAUCAGCAAUGACAUCAAGUCAAAGGAAUGAUUAAGUGAAAGGUUAUUGGAACCAUGGGUACAAUACAAACUCGAAAUCAAGCUUGUUGUUCAAGGUGAAAUGAUAUGACAAGGAAGAUCAACGUAAGCUUAGCUCAUUGUUGGAAGUUGUGCUCCGGGAAGAAGGACCAGGUAGCACAGUUAAAGUUUAGCACGACAAGGAUAUAGCCGAUCAGGCUAGGAAUGACUGGAAGGAUUAUUACACUCGUAAGCAACGAAAAUUACUUAGAGUUAUCGAAUCGGAGUGCGGAAUCGAUACACUUACCGGUGUUCUUGAGUGACCAACCACUCAGAACCCGGGGAUAUUGGAAUUGGUGAUCAAUAGUAGUUCGAUGAAGAACUCAUAAGAAGUUAUGUAGUUCCUGUGAUAUUCUCGAGAUACCAAGGGGUAACACUCGAGGGUAAAUCAGAAUAGAGGUUGGGCAGAUGAAAUGAUCUGCAGAAGACAAGUAGUUUAACUUGUCCGGGAAAUGGAAUCAAGGAGAAAAUAUGGUCGGAACCAUGAUUGCAAAGAAUCAAUUUACAGAUGCAAGAUGAGAUUAUACCAAGGGAACAUUUGAUUAUAAGAGAAGCUUCCAUGAUAAGAUCUACAUCAUGUCUAUGGGCAUGAACACAAAGUUCAAGGUCGACUCCCACUUCUUCAAUGCAUAACAUCUCAUUUACUUCUCGCUUUUGACGAAGUUGUAGCGUUUUUUUUUUUAUCCGGCGUAACCCCAGUAUAGUAUGACCCAUAGAAAAGUCCGGGUUCACACAAAUUAGGGAAAGCAUUAGUUCAACCCGUCGUGGCAUCUUAGGAACUUAUGCAAAAACUUCAGAGGUAAUUAACUCAAGCUCGGAAGCAAAGCAUGGUUGACAAAGCAGAGAAUACCAUUUACCAAGGGCAAUAUGUAUCAGGGGAAGAGCGCGCAAAUUUUGAAUAUGAAUGACACUGCCGGAUAAUAAUCCAACAAAGGAUUCGGCGGUCCAUAAUGGAUCUGGUGUGAGUAUCAGUACUCAAUCAGAAGAAGGAAAGAAUGCACAGGCAUUCGAUUAUAGAAACAUCUGAAUAAUUCGAUGCUAAAGUACAAAGGAGUCAUGGUUUCAAGACGAAGGACCAGAAGCAGAGGCUCUGAUCAAAAGAUGAGUAAGUUGAAUAGACUUAGAGGUGCACCCGAUCAAAUCUGGAUUGGGCAAGAACCAGCUCAUAUCAGGAAGGAUGUCUGAGCUGGAAAGAAAAUUUCCAAGGAUUAAUUGAUGAUUGCGAGUAUUCGCACACAUUGCUAGACAUAUGGAAUUAAUCCUAAUGCAAGCAGGCAAGGAGAAUCAAGAGCAAUAGGCUGCAGAGGAUUUUGAAAGAUCAGAUAACAUUUUCAGGUAUUUUGGAAAGCAUAUAAACAACUGGGGAUGAACGAACCUCGGUUAAGUGAAUUAUCCGCAGUGCAAAAAAAGAAGCUGCAAAGCAGAAGGCACAAGGAUUCUCGGAACAAUGGAGAGUGCUAGGGGUAUCUUGUAACAACAUGAGCAACUGGGGAUGAAGGUACAAGCGGCAAGGAGGUUAUUCACGAGGAUUAUUGGUGGUCAGGAACUGUAAGGCAGUGGGCACAGAGUCUCGAGAAACAUCAAGGAGUAUCCGCAGAAUCUUCUGGCGAAGCAGGCGAUCAUCGGUAAUGUCGGGGCUCUCCGGGAGGAAGUGGGUACGAGAACUGUCGGUGUACUAGAGUAGGGGUACCCUAGUAUCCCGAACUUGUGCACGGGCAGUCGCAGCAUCCCGCGGCAAGGCUUGCCGGGUGACCGCCAAGGUCCUCCGUGGUUCCUUUGAAGCCAUUCAAGGACAAAGUAUCCAAGCCAAGGAGACAAGAGGAGCUUGCCAGGAAGGCCAACCAAGGCAUCUCAAGGAACUUGCCGCGACGCGCCACGCGUCUCGGCAAGGCCCGGUGAGCGACAAGCUCCCGGACGCGACAAGACAACGACCGCGGCAAGGCGCUUGCCGCGGCAAGCCACCACUCUGUGCCCGCGCUCCAGCACACCCACCAACGUGUCGCUCUGGGACCCUUCCAGGCGUACGUGGCGGGAGGCUGUACAGCCAGCGGUGCGUGGUGGCAAGCGGCACUGACAAGAUUGCCAUCGUGGCGAGCGGUGGCGUCCCUGGCGGUCCCUUUUGCACUAUUUAGGCGACACAGACGGGCAUUUAAUGCCCUUGUCCCCUGCCGUCAGGGUUAGGUAUGAUACACUGUAGCAGGUAGUUGUACCAACCGCAACACCUUUCCAUUUUUACCCUUGUCUACGUUGCCACCUGUUGGUGACCCCUUGAGCAUAUAAAAGGAGGCCCAUGCGCAACGUAGAGAGGGGGGAGGAGAACACUCACGCUCGGUCUCGUUAGCUGCUGGGGUGUACUGUAGCACUCCGCGCUCCCGAGCAAGAACUCAAUACAAACCGCAAAGCGGGAGUAGGGUUUUACACAUCCGUGCGGCCCGAACCUGGGUAAACUGCUCAUGUGCUUCACCUCGAUCCGCUCUUCGUGCGACCCUCGCCCCCGCCGAACCGAAAGGGACUCGGUCCGCCGGUCCCAUAGGUGCUCGUGGAUUAGCCCCCCAACAUCUUUGGCGCACCAGGUAGGGGCUUCGAGGUUGUGUGAACCAGAUCCGGCGUUCACACGAGCUAGAUCUUCAUCAUCUUCAUCGACAUGCCGCCGAAGAAGCAAGCGUCGGAGGCGGCUGCUCCGUCCGCGCCGAACCCACCACCGCCGGAGCAAACGGCUGAUGGGGCAGACGCCGGCGGAAGAACGGGCGUCGACGAGGGAGCUCACGGUGCUGCCAGGUCCAAGGACAAGGCUGCGCUGCCCAUCGGCGGCGUAGCCGGCUCCCACAACGACCGGGCGCACUCCAAGACCUCGGCGUCCGUACAUGCACCGCGCCCAUCUCAGGAGGCGCGGGGCCGGCAGCGUCAUGAUACUCACAGUACCAUGCGUUUGCUGGACCAAGAUCGAGCUGGUGGAUCUCAGAGUGCUCAAGACCAGCAUGCACGCCAACAUGCUGGCACGAGCGAGGCACGGUCGCCUGGACGGGAUACUGCUCCUUCUAACAUAGUUAGAAGUCCGAGCAUAUCCCGCUCCUCGCACCGUUCGCCACCGCCACCCACCACUCCAGCAGAAGCUUUGGCAUGAGCUCAACUGCUCCUGGACUACCCUCCGACGGCAGACAAGAUCGACGGCUGGAGGGCCACCAUUCAGAGUCUCAUCGGCUUCGCCAACGGCGACACUCAACGGCAGCCGAGCACGUCGCAGCCGCGGCAAGUCAGCCAGGCACGAGCCGGUGGCGACAAGACCGGUGGGGGUGCAACCACUGUGCACUCUCCGCCCCGAAGGCCAAGAUCGCCGACUCGCCGGAUCCACCUCGACAGCGACUCCACCGCGUCAUCAGAUCCACGAGCUCGUCGCGAUCAGCGCCAAGUUCUUCACGAACGACAGCAAGAAGACGCUCGUACUCGCAUCGAGCGCCAAAGAGAAGUGCGACGUCAAUCGGACCAGCGCGCUGGGCCCUCUGUCGACAUGCAUGCGCCGGGGGAACCAGGUGACUUGCCGUACGCGGUAGGUUGCCCUGCGUUUACUCGUGAGCUGCGGCAAGUCCAGUGGCCCAGCACGAAGAAUUUCAAGCCAGACGUACCAGAGAAGUACGACGGCAAGUCGCAUCCGUCGGAGUUCCUCAGCAUCUACACCAUCGCGGUGCAGGCUGCCAGGGGGCGGGACGACAAGAUCCUUGCCAACUACUUCCCGCUGGUGCUCAAGCCCAACGUCAGGUCCUGGCUCAUGCACUUGCCGGACGACUCCAUAUCCUCCUGGGCAGACCUAUGCCAUCAGUUUGUCGGCGCCUUUACAGGCGGCCACAAACCCCAUGGCCAAGAGAGUGACCUUCAUCUGCUCGCCCAGAAGGAAGGAGAGCCCCUGUGCAAGUACAUUCAGAGAUUCAGCCGUGUACAGCACAACAUCCCAGAUGUCCACCCUGCCGCGGUCAUCAGCGCGUUCCAUCAGAACGUGCGUAACCGCAGGAUGCGGAAGGAGAUGGCGAUGUGCAAGAUCAGAGACGUCAGUGAGCUGUAUGCCCUGGCCGACAAGUGUGCACGUGCUGAGGAAGGGAGGAAACUCCCCGGAGAGAAUACAGGAGCAGGAGGAUCUGACAGCGAGGAUGCUGCCCCUGCAAAGAAAAACCGGCGGCGGAACAACAGGAAGAAGAAAGGCAAAAAUGUGCUAGUCAUUGAGCAGUCCGGCAACGAAGGUGGCGCCAAGAAAGCCAAAACUGGUAGCUCCGGCAAGGAGAUUGCUGCAAGCACCAACUGCCAGACUGUGGCGGUCGCCGACAAGCAGGACGGCACCGACAAGCAGUACUGCAAGAUCCACCGCACCAAGGGCCAUGACCUCCAGAGCUGCAAGAAGGUCGAACAGCUUGUCCAGCAGCAAAAGGCUGAAUACGAGCGACGCGACAAGGAGAGGGCCCAAGGAGGCGCUGGAGAAUCCGGCAAGAAGCGCGCCGGCCGGGGAGGACGCCUCGGCAAGGCCAAGCAGCGGCAAGGAGAAAGACCUCCCCGCGGCCGCGACAAGGAUGAAGACGACGACAACGACGAAGACAUGGAUGAUGUCGAGACCAGUGAGCAGGAGUUCCAGAAAGCCACAGAGGUCUUGUGCGUUGACGGCGGUGCUUCUCUGCAUACUUCGCACCGCCAACUCAAGCAGUGGGUGCGGGAAGUCAAUGCGGCAGAACCGCCUGUCGAGUCACGCAAGCUUCUGAAAUGGUCCAGCAUGCCUAUCAUCUUUGAUAUUGAGGACCACCCUGAUCGCACAACUGCGGUCGGGUGCUUGCCGAUGUUGGUUUCACCAACUAUCCGCAACCUCAAGGUCACUAAGAUACUAGUUGACGGCGGGGCCGGCUUGAACCUGAUCUCCUCCGCGGUACUCCAGAAACUCGAGAUCCCUGACAGCGAGCUUGAAGAGACUGGCACAUUCCAAGGAAUCAACCCGGGAAGGAGCAAGCCGAAGGGGAAGGUCACGUUGCCAGUAACAUUUGGCAGCGAGGUGAACUUCAGGACUGAGAGGGUCACUUUUGACGUUGCCGAUUUUCCAUUGCCUUACAAUGGGAUACUCGGCCGUCCAGCACUCGCCAAGUUCAUGGCAGUCUCUCACUACGCAUACAACAUGCUGAAGAUGCCACGCCCGAUAAGCGUCAUCUCUGUCCCUGGCGACAAGAAGGAUGCUCUUAUCUGCGCCGACAAGAUCUACCGGGAAGCGGUAGCCGCAACAGAUCGGAAGUCACCUGCCGUUGAAGCUCCCGGGGGGAAGAAGAAGACCAAGUCCGGCAAGAGUUCUGAUGCCCACUCCGGCAAGCGCACCUCUUCGGAGUGCUGCGCUGCCGUCGAGGACGCACCAUCGAGCUCCACCGGCAAGUGUAAGAAGACAAUGGCAGCUCCGCCAGAGACCAAGAAGGUGUCCGCCAAGGAGGACGGCACUGGUGGUACCUUCACCAUCGGUGCCACUCUCGACCCUAAAUAGGAAAGCGUGCUCAUUGCUUUCAUGCGGGCAAACGUCGACGUGUUUGCGUGGCAACCGUCUGACAUCCCCGGUGUUCCCAGGAAAGUAAUUGAGCACCAUCUUGCCGUUUGUCCUCAUGCGCGGCCCGUCAAGCAGAAGGUCAGGAAGCAAGCAGUGGAGCGCCAAGAAUUCAUCGCAGAAGAGAUCAAGAAGUUGGAAGCAGCAGGCCUUGUCAGAGGAGUGCUCCAUCCUACGUGGUUGGCCAAUCCUGUAGUCGUGCGCAAGGCAAACGGGAAAUGGAGACUUUGUAUCGACUUUACCGAUGUUAACAAAGCUUGUCCCAAAGACCCAUUUCCUUUGCCGCGCAUUGACCAGAUUAUUGACUCCACGGCCGGAUGUGAUUUGCUUUCAUUUCUUGACGCAUACUCAGGAUACCAUCAGAUCUUCAUGGCAGAAGAGGAUGAGGAGAAGACCGCAUUCAUCACUCCAUGUGGCACGUACUGUUUCAUACGGAUGCCUUUCGGUUUAAAAAAUGCUGGUUCAACAUUUGCAAGAGUAGUCCAUGUCGCUCUUGAGCCACAAAUACACAGAAAUGUGGAAGCCUACAUGGAUGACAUAGUGGUCAAGAGCAAGGACAAGGCAACUCUGAUUCAAGAUUUAGACGAGACCUUUGCAAAUUUGUGCAAGAUCAGCCUCAAGCUCAACCCCGAGAAGUGCGUGUUUGGAGUCCCCUCGGGCAAGCUUCUCGGGUUCUUCGUGUCUCAGCGGGGAAUUGAAGCCAAUCCCGACAAGAUCAAGGCCAUUGAGCAGAUUGAAGCACCAAAGCGCGUCAAAGAUGUACAAAGACUUGCCGGUUGCGUGGCUGCUCUCAGCAGGUUUAUCUCUAGGUCUGCUGAGCGCGCCCUGCCAUUUUUCAAAAUAUUGAAAAAGGCAGGUCCAAUGAAAUGGACUCCGGAAGCGGAGGCUGCACUGCAAGACUUGAAGAGAUACCUGUCCUCCGCUCCAACACUUGUCGCACCUAAGCCACAAGAGAAGUUGCUGCUGUAUAUAGCGGCAACCAAUCAAGUGGUUAGUGCUGCGUUAGUAGCAGAGAGGGAGGCAGAUGACGAGCCAGCAACCGCGGCAGGCGCAUCCAGCGACAGCUCUGGCCCCGACAAGGAUGGAUCUGCGCAGACGCGCGAGGAGAUACAGAAGAGAAUGGUACAACGCCCAGUUUACUUUGUCAGUUCCCUUCUGCAGGGGGCUAGGUCAAGGUACUCUGGCGUGCAGAAACUGCUUUUCGGCCUUCUCAUGGCCUCGAGAAAGCUGCGCCAUUACUUCCAAGCACAUGAGAUCACAGUUGUCACUCGUUUUCCGCUGAAGAGGAUACUAUAGAAUCCAGAAGCGACAGGCAGGAUUGUUGAGUGGGCACCGGAACUGUCAAGCUUUGGCCUAAAGUUUGAGGGUACUUCAACUAUCCAAAGCAGAGCAUUGGCAGAAUUCAUAGCAGAAUGGACGCCAACACCAGAUGAAGAAAUUCUAGAAACGAGCAUCCCCAUUGAGGAAGCAAGCAAAAAGUGGCUGAUGUACUUUGAUGGUGCCUUUUCGCUGCAAGGCGCCGGCGCUGGUGUGCUGAUUGUCGCACCCACCGGAGAGCACCUCAAGUACGUAGUCCAGAUGCACUUUCCCAAGGAGCAAGCGACAAACAAUACUGCAGAGUAUGAAGGCUUGCUUGCCGGUCUCAGGAUCGCAGCAGACCUUGGGAUCAAGAAGCUCAUUGUCAGGGGUGACUCGCAGCUUGUCGUCCGCCAAGUGAACAAGAGCUAUCAGAGUCCGUUGAUGGAAACCUACGUCGAUGAAGUGAGAAAGCUAGAAGAGCACUUUGACAGCCUAUAGAUGGAGCAUGUUCCAAGAGCUCAGAACGCCAUUGCCGAUGGCCUAUCAAAGUGCACCGCACUUAAGUUACCUGUGGAACCAGGGAUCUUUGUGCUCAAGCUGACUCAACCGUCUGUAACGCCAUCAACUGGACAGAGCAAAAGGAGGAAGUUGAUUUCUGGUGACUAUUUUUCGGCAGAGCUUCCCGAAGCCGCCGCCAAGAAGGUCGCCAAGAUCAACGCCAAGAGCGCUGAGGAGCAGUCUGCUCCGGCAAGCCCUAGGGUUUGUUCCGUUGAAGCAGAAGCUCCCGACAAGUUUUGCUCCGGCAAGCUUGCCGGGGAACGUCAAGCUCCAGCAGAGCCGCAGGUUCUCGUCGUAGAAGCGGACGUUCCCGCAGCAACAGAUUUGCCUUGCGCUGAGGAGCAAUCUGCUCCAGCAAGCCCUAGGGUUUGUUCCGUUGAAGCAGAAGCUCCCGACAAGUUUUGCUCCAGCAAGCUUGCCGGGGAACGUCAAGCUCCGGCAGAGCCGCAGGUUCUCGCCGUAGAAGCAGAUGUUCCCGCAGCAGCAGAUUUGCCUUUAGUCCUUGUUGUCGAGCCACAAGCUCCAGCAUGGGCACAGCAGAUUGUCCGUUUCCUUCAGACAGGAGAACUUCCCGAAGAGCAAGAAGAAGCGGAAAGAGUAGCCCGGCAGUCAAGUAUGUACCAGUUUGUCGACAACACACUGUACAGAAGAAGACUCAACGGUGUGAAAUUGAAGUGUAUUCACCGGGAAGACGGACAAAAGCUGUUGGCAGAGAUACAUGGAGGCAUAUGUGGUCACCACAUUGGCGCAAGAGCACUUGCCGGCAAAGCAUUCCGGCAAGGUUUCUUUUGGCCGACAGCCCUCCAGGAUGCAACUGCACAAGUAACCAAGUGUGAAGCGUGCUAGUUCCAUUCCAAGCAGAUACACCAACCAGCUCAAGCUCUCCAAAUGAUCCCUUUAUCCUGGCCAUUUUCGGUCUAGGGGCUCGACAUCCUCGGCCCCUUUCCCCGAGCAGUCGGGGGCUUUGAGUACUUGUACGUUGCAAUCGACAAGUUCACAAAGUGGCCGGAAGUGGAAGCAGUGAGGAAGGUGACAUCACAGUCAGCAGUCAAGUUCUUCAGGUCGAUUGUUUGCCGCUUCGGGAUCCCUAACAGGAUAAUCACCGACAACGGUACGUAAUUCACGAGCCGCACCUUCAUGCAGUACGUCCAAGAUCUUGGCGCCAAGGUCUGCUUCGCUUCUGUUGCUCACCCGAGAAGCAACGGUCAAGCGGAGAGGGCAAAUGCUGAAGUGUUGCGUGGGCUCAAGACCAGAACUUUCGACAGGCUGCACAAGUGCGGAAGAAACUGGAUCGAGGAGCUGCCGGUGGUUCUUUGGUCGAUCAGGACGACGCCAAAUCGAGCCACUGGCCAGACACCUUUCGCUCUAGUCUAUGGAGCAGAGGCAGUUCUCCCCACGGAACUCGUAUACGGGUCACCUCGAGUGCUCGCUUAUGAUGAGCUUGAGCAAGAGCAGCUGCGACAAGAUGACGCGCUACUCCUUGAGGAAGACCGUCUUUAGGCUGCUGUACGAGCUGCUCGCUACCAACAAGCUUUGCGCCGCUACCAUAGCCGCAAAGUUAACGCCAGAAGUCUCGAGGAAGGCGACCUUGUUCUUCGGCGUGUUCAGUCCGCCAAGAAUUCCAACAAGUUGACACCGAAGUGGGAAGGCCCUUACCGGGUGAAACGAGUCACUAGGCCUGGCGCUGUCCGCCUUGAGACCGAAGAUAGCAUUCCGGUGAGCAAUUCCUGGAACAUUGAGCAUCUUCGUAAGUUUUACCCGUAAGGCGCGGUUGCCGGAACCUGUUCCGGCAACCACCUUUUGUACAAGUCUUGCCUCUGUUGCAUGUAAUCCUUUGUACAAAGCCGGGCGCAGACCCCGUGCAUAAGUAAAGCUCAUAUGCUCUGCACAUCUUGUCAAUUUCAUGCUUUCUAUUUUUUGCAUAUGUGAUCUGACACUUUGUGCAGCACCUACUCCCCGGUAAGCAAUAACGAGCCGUAAGGCUCCAUAUCUUUAUUUUCUCUUCUUUCUUUUUUCUCAAGGAAAGGAAGGUUCCCUCGCCCACAAGUUUGCCGGGGGGAAAGGAGAAGAUAAUGGUAUGGACCAGGCGUCGUUCAAGAAAGUUUCGCCUGACCGAGAGGCAAACAACAGAAAAGCUAAGUUGCCAAAGUUUGAGCAAUCAGAUUUUUAAAAUUUUUAAGUUAUCUCCCUUGAACGACCGCACUUUGUAUGGAAAACCUGUGCGCGGAGGAACCAACUCGUAGCUAGUUGCGCCCUUAUUUUGUUUCUAGUCCGCUCAACAACUUAAGUGAGCUGCGACUAGUUGCGACAAGGUUUCUUGUCGGUAGCGGCACCGCCAGCAGGCUGCUGACGUUCCGCACUCAGCGCUCGUGGCUAAGGUGCCUGCACCGGCAAGUUCCCUAAAAGCGUAGGGCAAAAACAUACAAAGGGAGGAAUCAAGUAAAGGGAAUAACAUUGCAAUCAUUACCGGGAAUAGAGUUAUAGUACAAGGUAGCUUGUCGCGGCUCUAACAGAUUGUUCUCAUAACAUGACCAGCAGCGACAAGAAAAGAAGAAAACAGGCGGCCUAGUCUAUGCGAUCGCCCUCAAUCCUCUUGAUCCCGCUCACCUUGUCCACAAUGGGUGCGACAAGGGUCUUGAGUGCCUCCAGAUCAGCAUCCGGCAGCAGGGUCUUGAGGACGUUGGUGAGGUUGAGGCCCGGGUUGCUGAAGGCCACCUUCACCAACACCUUUUGAAGAGCUCCCGCGCAGAUCUUGCGCGACUCGUCGGCCAGCUACUUUGGGAUCUUCUCCCGGAGCCGCUGGAGGGCCGUCGCCAUGCCUUUGAAGAACAAGGUGAGCUUGGCGCUGGGUUGGAGGUUCUCAUCAGAGGGAUACCCGAGAUCCUCCAACCCCAGCUGCGCCAGCUACCUGACGAUAUCUGCGGCAGCAUUCACGAGACCCUCUGUCCAGUACUCCACAUUCUCCCUAAAAGCAUUCUGGGCGGCGGCAGCACUCGCCAGCAGCGCCUUGUCGCCUUGAUCUCCUCCUUCAAGGCCACCUCCUGCUCCCUGGUGCCGUCCAGCGUCUUGGUCAAAGUGGUCAGCUUCAACUCAAGAUCUGCGUUGGAGUCCUUGGCGGCGCUAAGCUCUUUGCCCUUCUCGGCAAGCUCUUCACCACUCGCCUUGAGAUCGGCCUCCAGCCGCGCCACCUUCGUCUCUAGCUCCUUCUUGGCGGCCUCGGCAGCUGCGGCAGCAUCCUCCGCUUGCUUGAGGGCUCCGCCGAAUGUUCGCUCGCGCGCGGCAAGCUCCUCCUCGUGUGCGUCAAGGCUGACCUUCCGCUGCACCAGCUCGCCCUCCUGCGUAGAAAGCUUCUCAGCGGCAAGCUGUUGUUGCUCUUCAACUUCGGCCUUCUCGAGGAAGAAGGCCUUCUGCUCUCCGGCGAGUUGCUCCCGCUCCUCUACCAGGGACCAGAGAGCUUCCUGGUUGAGACCCCGGAGCUCCUCCGCGCGCUUCUCGAUGUCCGCUCCCGCCUUCGCGACAAGCACCUCGCAGGAUUCCAGCUUGGCUUGCCGCAUGCGGUAGAGCGACAACAUCUUCCGCAGCAGCCGCUCCUCUUCAGGCUCGCCGCUGCUGCUGCUCGGCGCGUCAACCAGCGUCGGCCCAGCGGAGGCGAGCACCUCUCUGUCGAAGCUCUCUCCCUCGAUCGGCGCCCUGGAGCUUGACGCCCAGGGGAGGUUGAUGAAGACGCCAUCGUUGGCCUUCAAGUAGACGCCUGGCUGGGGCUCUUCGGAGCCUGGCGCUGCGGCAGCGGCGGACGGGUCGGCGGUCGACGUAGCGCCUGGCGCUCCUGCGGCCUCAGGGCCGUCAGUGCGAUCGCCAGACCCCCCGCCUGUUUCUGCGGCGACAGCUUUGGCGGCCUCUGUGCCGGCGGGAUCGUCAGCACCGGCUGCUUUUUCGGUGGCAACGGCGUCGUCGGCGGCAACCUCGGUCUCCAUCGGCUCCGCAGCAGAUGGGUCUGACGGCCGGAAAAGGGAGAAGAGUCAAGCAAAUAUCCAAGAAAAGAGAAAAAGAUCAAAAGAAGAAGAACCCAAGGGAAGUUUUGAAGCGAGAGGAGUACCUGUACCGGGUUCUGCAGUCGUGGUCUCCGCCGCCGGAGGGCCGCUGAUGCUGUCCCUUGCCGGAGAACUCUCCCUUGCCGAAGACUUCUCCGUUGCCGGAGAACUCUCCCUUGCCGGAGGAUUCUCCCUUGGCAUUUCGGGGGCAGCCUCCGGGCACUCCUGGUGAGGCUGCUCUGCUCCUACACAAACCAACAGUCAAAUGUCAGCAAAGAAAGAGUAUCCAUGCGCGCCUAACAGCGGAAAGUGAACCAUAUACUUACGCUGGGGGCUGCUCUGGAGAACAGUUGCCGGGUCCGGCAAGGUGGGUUCGUCCUCGAUGACAAUCACCGGGACCUUGGCUCUCUUUGCUGCUCUCUGGGCCAGAGUCCUAAAAAGGAAUAAGUUCACAGUAAAGCAAAUGAGAUACAAGACAAAACAGCAAGAAUUGAAGAAUUACAAGUACAACAAGAGAAUCUUACUCUUCUUCUUCCUCGUCGGAGCUGAACGCGGAGAAGUCGAAGUCUGGCUCACGUCCGGCGCGAGGAGGCGGAGGAGUGGUUUCCCUUGGCCGCUUGGCGGGAAUAGUGGCGGUGGUAUGAGACGACCCCGCUCCGGCUGCCGCCGCAGCGUGAGAAGCGGCAGGAGCAGAAGCGGUGGUCCGGGUGGACCCCGCUCCAGUUACCACAGCAGCAUGAGGUGCUCCCGCGGCAACAGUGCUUGUCGCGGUGGAGCAUGUCGCGCGGCGUGGCGGCUGUUCACUUGCCCGCUACCCCACUACGUCCCCGGCCUUGCGGAGACGCCUUCUUGGUGGAGAUGGAGGUUCUGCUUGCAGCGAGCUGCCUGAAGAUGAGGAGGAAGAGGAGUUGAUCUCCAGCGAGCCGCUCGCAUCCUCGGUGGGCUCGCUCGACUCGACGCCAUGCCCGGCAAGCUCUUUCUUGCCGGCGGGCUCCCCUCACUCGGCAUGGCUUGCCGCCUCUGCUGCAUCUGCCUACUCCACGGUGAAUCCAAAUUCGCCCGCGGCUGCGGCCACCGCCGCCUCUUCCAGCCUAGUGGCGAUGCGUGUCAUCUCUGCAUCGGUGGUGUCGCGGGUGAGGCUAUCCUUUUCGUCGGAGCGGACCGACACUUCUACCAAGCCGUCAAAGAACUCCUGCACGACGUUGUCUGCAGGCUCUUGCCAAGUUGGGACAAUUCCAUGCGAAUCGCACAGCGGCAUCAUUGCACGGAUGCGGUUGAGCGCGGAGUUGUUGCACAGCGGAACGACACCCCCCGGCAACCUGAACACUUCGGGAUGUUGAGGGUCAUACUUGAACAGCUCCUGGAGCAUCGCGUUGAGCUCCAGAACAGUGAAGUUGAAGUUGAGGCCCGGACGCAGCCUCAUGAUAUCCGCCGCAUUCUUGAAUUCCCAGGCGGGUCUCCCCCGUUCCUGCAGGGGGGCGAUGCGGCGACGAAGAAAAUCUGCGCCAACAGCGCCAACAGUGAGCCCGGCAAGCCUGAGGCGUAGGAUCCGGGUGACGGCAAUCUUCAGCUUAUUGUCUUCCGGGGCCACGUCACUCCAAUCGCUGCCGCGUGCUACUGGGGCUUGGCGCCGGGCGGUAAACGGCUGCGGGUUCUCCUCGACAAUCCAGCACCAGUCUGCUCUCCAUUCCUCCCACUUGCCGCGGAACUCUCCUUCCAGAUAAGUGUCCUUCUUGCCAGCCCUCGAGAUCCAGGCGAUUCCGUCGGAUAAAGGCUCUCCUCUCUCUACUCGGGCCAUAAAGAAGUGGCGAAAAGGGCUACAUUGGGAUGGACUCCGACAAAAUUUUUGCAGAGAUGUGCGAAAACUGCCAUGGUCAGAACGGCAUUGGGAGUGAAAUCAAGGAGGUGGAACCCGUAGGUGUUCAUAAUAUCGCAGAAAAACUCAGAGAAAGGCGGGCAGAGCCCGCAGUAGAAGAACAAGGCGAAGAAUGGAUAUCCAUUUGGAGCCGUUUUCCAAGCGGCAGCUGGAAGUACCUUCGUGCGCGGGUGCGCUCGCGUCUCCGUCGACCAGAAGAGGUAGUAAUUCUCCCUCAGCUCCCUCGUGGCGAGCUUGGGGGGGAAGAUUGCCCGCUCCUUUCGUAGCGCCGCAAGCCGCUGCGCCUCGGUGGACUUCACAACCUUCCCCUUGUCGGCUCUUGGAGCCAUGGCGGAAGUGGUGGAGGAGGUCGACGGCGUAGGUGGUGCUGGUGGCGAUGGGGGGCGGGGCGCUGCUCUCUUUCAGCUUUGGGAAGACGAGGGAACGGCGGAGAUUUCCGAGAUUGGAGUAGCAACCGGCGAAUGGGCGAACUACCUCUGUUUCCCAUGCUUAUAAAGAGGGAAGGGGCGGACGUUCCACCUUUCCGAAUAAAGAAACCACCCACGAUCUCUCCCAUGACGCCGCAUUCAACGCGUGUUGUCCGGGGAGGGCGCGGUGGAUACGGGGAUAGAUACGGCGUAACCCAGGCCGCGCGUGCCCGUGCCCUAUUUUGGGCCUGGCCCAAUAGCGCUCGGCACCGUGUAUGGCCCAGGCCCGGGGGCUCCUGUCGGUGUACUAGAGUAGAGGUACCCUAGUAUCCCAAACUUGUGCACGGGCAGUCGCAGCAUCCCGCGGCAAGGCUUGCCGGGUGACCGCCAUGGUCCUCCGUGGUUCCUUUGAAGCCAUUCAAGGACAAAAUAUCCAAGCCAAGGAGACAAGACCCCGGCAAGAGGAGCUUGCCGGGAAGGCCAACCAAGGCAUCUCAAGGAACUUGCCGCGACGCGCCACGCGUCCCAACAAGGCCCGGUGAGCGACAAGCUCCCGGACAUGACAAGACAACGACCGCGGCAAGCCACCACUCUGUGCCCGCGCUCCAGCACACCCACCAACGUGUCGCUCUGGGACCCUUCCAGGCGUACGUGGCGGGAGGCUGUACAGCCAGCGGUGCGCGGUGGCAAGCGGCACUGACAAGAUUGCCAUCGUGGCGAGCGGUGGCGUCCCUGGCGGUCCCUUUUGCACUAUUUAGGCGACGCAGACGGGCAUUUAAUGCCCUUGUCCCCUGCCGUCAGGGUUAGGUAUGAUACACUGUAGCAGGUAGUUGUACCAACCGCAACACCUUUCCAUUUUUACCCUUGUAUACGUUGCCACCUGUCGGUGACCCCUUGAGCAUAUAAAAGGAGGCCCAUGCGCAACGUAGAGAGGGGGAGGAGAACACUCACGUUCGGUCUCGUUAGCUGCUGGGGUGUACUGUAGCACUCCGCGCUCCCGAGCAAGAACUCAAUACAAACCGCAAAGCAGGAGUAGGGUUUUACGCAUCCGUGCGGCCCGAACCUGGGUAAACUGCUCGUGUGCUUCGCCUCGAUCCGCUCUUCGUGCGACCCUCGCCCCCGCCGAACCGAAAGGGACUCGGUCCGUCGGUCCCAUAGGUGCUCGUGGAUUAGCCCCCCGACAAGAACCUAAUGUCAGAGUUAGUAAAAUGUUUAACCUGAAUAGAAGAGAGAUCAGAAUCCCAGAGUAUAGACGAGGAAUAAAAGAUCCUAGUACAACCCAUCGGCAACGUGGGCCCGUAAGCCACACAGCCAAGUUAGUAAAACAGUUUUGGAUGACCAGACUCGACUUUGACCAAGGAGUUGGAAAGGGGGCUACCUACAGGCAGUCAGCUCUGAUACCAACUUGUGACGCCCUCGAUUCAAUCGUACACUAAUCAUACACGCAAAUGUGUACGAUCAAGAUCAAGGACUCACGGGAAGAUAUCACAACACAACUCUAGACACAAAUUAAAAUAAUACAAGCUUUAUAUUGCAAGCCAGGGGCCUCGAGGGAUCGAAUACACAAGAGUCAGCGGAAGCAACAAUAUCUAAGUACAGACAUAAGUUAGACAAGUGUGCCUUAAGAAGGCUAGCACAAAAGCAACAACGAUUGAAAAGGCAAGGCCUCCUGCCUGGGAGCCUCCUAACUACUCCUAGUCGUUUGCGGUCUUCACGUAGUAGUAGGCAUCCUCCGGGUAGUAGUAGUCUUCAGUGGCGUCGUCUGGCUCCUGGGAUCCGUCAUCUGGUCGCAACAACCGGGUAUAGGGGAAAAAGAGGUAGCAAAGAAACUAUGAGUACUCAUCCAAAGUACUCGCAAGACUUACAUCAGAUCUAAACCAAGUAUGCAUCUGUAUCAAAGGAGAUGGGUUGUAUCUGUGGACUAAACUGCAGAAUGCCAGAAGGGAAGGGGAAAGCCUAGCCUAUCGAAGACUAGCAUCUUCUGGAAACCACCAUCUUGCAGCAACAGGAGGGAGUAGAGUAGCAUAAAGUAAGUAGUAGUAGUGUUAUCAACCUCGGCCAGAGAUCCUUUCUCGACUCCCUGCGAGAAAGCAAUCCCAGAGCCAUACUAUCCAGUUAACAUCUCAUAUCUAAGUCUCAUCACAAGUAUCCAGUUCUAGUUGUAUCGAUCGGGAUACAACUCCAAGUGUCCGUUAUCGUAGGACAGGCUAUCGAUAGAUGUUUUCUUCCCUGCAGGGGUGCACCAACUUACCCACCACGCUCGAUUAACUCCGGUUGGACACAUUUUCCUGGGCCAUGCCCGGCCUCGGCCAAACAAUACGCUGCAACCCGACCUAGGCUUAAUAGAGAGGUCAGCACGCCGUACUAAACCUAUGCCCCCAGGGGUCAUGGGCCAUCUCCCCGGGAACUCCUGCACAUUGUGUGGGCGGCUGGUGAGCAGACCUAGCUACCUCCUUCAAAAAGGUAGGUGCUUACCGGUCCAACCUGGCGCGCGCCGCUCAGUUACUGACGUCUAUUAAGCUUCGGCUGAUGUAUACGACGCAGAACACCCAUAAUAUGCCCACGUGAUGGUUAGUGCUAUCAGGCCAGAGGCCCCUCGGAUCAAAUAUCCAAAUCGUAGUGGAUUAGGAACGCACGGAAAUGAGUAGAGACUCACGAUCGAUGUGACCCCAUCGCCCCGUCUCGAGUACUUGCGACAAGGGCUAAGAAUGCCCGGCCACGCCUCGUAAGUAUCUCGCGGGCACCUUCCAGGUCAACCCGACUCCACAUCACUAGUUAUUAAGCUUGCGCGGGUACCCCUCAGGGCCUACCCGUCUUUAGUAACAUGGUUCAGUUGUAAAGUCAUAGUAACCAUAGUAAUUGUAUGUCUAACACCAAGGGGAAAACCCGAGGAAUCACCCCGGUGAAUUCCACUCGAUGUUAUCAUCAAGGUGAACAUAAGAGGAUCCACCCUCGAGGUUCACACUUGAGGGGUUGCACGACAGAGCCGUAACGGAAGUGGUUAAGGAGGAAAUCACCCUCGAUGACCAUGACUGAAUAGCUACACUACAGGGUAACAUCAGAAGUGCUGAUGAGGUCUCACCCCUGGCACUCGAUAGUAACCCAGUAGUGUCGAGCAAAUAAGGGGAAAGUGAUGUGCGGUGUCGGGGCCUGGUCUUCGAUCCCGUUGAGCGGGUCUUCGACGAUGAAGCAGGGGCAACAAGGACAAGGUGGGGGGGUCACUAAUGGAUCACUAACCAACCUAUACUAAGCAGUUUAGGAUAAGCAGGUAACAACAAUAGGCUAUGCAUCAGAGUAGGAACAUACAGAAAGCAGUAACAGUUCUAAUGCAAGCAUGAGAGGGAAAGAAAUGGGCGAUAUCAGAAUGCUCAAGGGGGGUUUGCUUGCUUGGUUGCUCUGGCAAGGAGGGGGGUCGUCGUCGAUGUAGUCGAUCACAAGGGCAGCAUCGGUCUCGGGGUCUACCGGAGAGAAGAUGGGGAAGAAACAGUAAAUACAGAGCAAACAAUGCAUCACAAAAAUAUAACAAGGCAAAACACGGUGCCAGGGGUUACCUAACGCAGUACUAGGCGAUACUGGUGAAGGGGAGAAACAUCCGGGAAAAAAGCCCCGGUGUUCCGCAUUUUCGGACAGAUGAAACGGAGGGGGAAAGUUGCGUGUUCGCUAUGCUAGGGAUGCGUGGCGGACGAACGGGCUGCGUAUCCGGUUUCGUCUCAUCGUUCUGAGCAACUUUCAUGUACCAAGUUUUUUGAUCCGAGCUACGGUUUAUUAUAUAUGAUUUUUCAAAGUUUUACUCAUUUUCUGAAAUUAUUAUUAAUUCAAAAUUAAUAUGAAAAAGUGCUAUGGGUACCCAGCCUUGUGUACAUAGAAUGUACACAGAGGUUGACAUGUGGGCCAGGGGACCCAGUUGACCAGUCAAAGUUUGACUGGUCAACAGAGGGUGGGGGUCCCCUGUCAUUGACUGACUAGUAAACUAACAACUUUAGUUAGACUAAUUAUGUAGUUAACAGGAUAAUUAACAUGAUUAAUUAGAUUAAUUAAUUAAUUGACUUUAUUUUUAUUAUUUUUAAAUCUUUUUUAUUAAAAUGUUCCAGGGCAGGGCCCCACAUGUCAUAGGCCCAAAGGGUUCUAUCGGGCGCCGGGUGCAGCGGCAAACGGGCGCCUGGAGCGGCGCAACCUAGCUGGGCUCCCGCCCAAGUCGACAGGGGAGGGAAGGGCGCCGGGGCACCGGCAGCUGCGGCGAGCUGCGCCGGGCAAGAGGCAGCAGAGGAGGUGGCUCGGCCCGAGUAGAGGAGGGGGGACGCUCACGGGGAAGCAGGGGGAGACGGAGGCAAGGGGCGCCGGUGGCCAUGGCCAGAGCGGGGAGGCGGCGGACGCUGGCGAAGGUAGCCGCGCGGGGAUGGGGAGCAGGGCCGGCCGCAGCCAGAGUCAGGUGCGGGUGGGGCGCGGCCUGGGGGCGUGGUGAGCGCGCGCCGAGGAAGGCGGCAGUGCGCGGGCGCACGCGUUGGGCAUGGUCGAGGCACAAGCGGCGUGAGCAACGGUGAGCACAACCGCAGAGGGAGGAGGAGGCCGGUAGGGUUCCUCACCCGCGUUGCAGGGGAGGCCCGAUGCAGGGCGAACGCGACGGCAUGGAGCGGUGGAGUCGAGGAGGCGUUCCGGCGGGGUCCGAUGAGGCGCAAGGCAGCGGUGACCUCGACGGCAUGGAGCAGGCAUCUGGCCACGAGGGAUAGGGGACGGGGCCGCGAGGAGGACGGCGACGUCGGGGCGGUGGAGGACUAGGCGGCGACGGGCGCGACGUGGUGGUCCGGCGAGGUGGCCACGGUCAGCACCGAGGCGGGGUCGCCAGGCGACGGCGCGUCCAGAUCGAGGGAGAGGGGGCGCCGCGGCGAGGUCUGGCGCGGUGGUGACGGUUGGUGGGGCGCGGGCGAUGGUGAGCUGCGAUGCGGCGACGGGGGCGCUCGAUCCCGAUUUGGAUCGUGAGGAGCGAGGGAGAGAGAGAUCGAGGGGGAGUGGGGGGUUAUGCGGGUGGUGGGCUAGGGUUUCGGUUGCGUGGGGGUUAGUAGUGGGGGAGGCCAUCUAGGCCAGGGACGCGCGGGAUGGGCUGGCUGGUUGCGACCAGCUGGGCCAAGAGGCCCGCUGGGGAGGGGGGUCUGUUUUUUUUUGCAGCAGGCUUUUGCAAUUAAACUAGCCACCAAAUGUCUUAGCAAAAUUGUGUGCCUGGCCAAAACAAUUACUAGGGAAUAAUGUGCUCGGCCAUAACAAGUUUGGACAAGUUUUGAUUCCAUUUGGGAUUUUCAAUAAUGGAAAAGGCAUUAAUAGUGCUAUUUUGGCACUGUUUAAAAUGCUUAGGACCAUUUUGUAGUAUAUGGUGAUGUUGUUUUCCUUAACAAUCAUUUGUUAUGGAAUUUUUGACAAAUGGUGAACAUUUUUGCAGCAAUAUUUGAGCAACUUCAAAUUCCACUUGCAUUUGAAUUUGAACUCAGGUAAGGAUUUUGAAAUAAGAUGUCUCACCACUAUGAUCAAGCAUUGCAAUGAUGAUGACUUAUCAUGAUUGAGAGGAGAUCACUGUAGGGUGAUGUUGGGGAUGUUACAAGCUCCCAGCAAGCAAAAGAAGAACAUGAAAUCUUUUUGGGGGUUCUUUUUAAUUACUACUAAAAGCAUGGAAAGUAAACUAAUUAAAAGCUACAACUAUUUUUUUUGUUUUUCUUAAGGUUUAUUAAACACACAAGAAGAAAGCAUAAAAAGGAAAAUAAACUAGCAUGGAUGAUACAAUGAAAAAGUAUGAGCACCGACACCUAGCAAUGAGUGUGUGAACAUGAAUGUAAUGUCGGUGGGAAAUACGUACUCUCCCAAGCUUAGGCUUUUGGCCUAAGUUGGUCUAUGGCCACGGCUGGCCUGGCGGAUAUCCAUAGUAAUAGUUGGGGUCGUACUGCGAUGAAGAAGACUCUGAUUUCCACUGGUUGGCAAUCAUCUCCGGAUCCCAAUGGUAAUUAGACUGUCGUGGAGGAUCAACUUGUGGUUCCAACUCUGGCUCUAUGGCUGAUGUAGGGUUCCGGUAGGCGUGAAUAGCCUCUAACAGAAUAAGGUACUGGCCUAAAGAUAAAUCAAACAAGGAAGGAGCAGGCAGGGUAAUAGUCUCAGGAUGAUGUUUAUGAAAGAACAAUUUGUAUUUAAGCUCCCCUUCCCUAUUCUUAACAAUAAAAUUGUGUGCCACCAUACUCUUAUAAUCUAAAUAAACACGAGGCAGCAAUUUUCCUUCCUUCUCAUAAUGCCUAAUAGGUAUGUUAAAAUGUGCAGCUAGGCGUGAAGCAUAGAUGCCUCCAAAGAUGCGGCCCUUUGUACGGUUCAGACUUAACCAUUUAGCAAUAAUACCGCCCAUACUAACAGAGUUAUCACUGAAUAAACCGUGGAACAAAAUAAUAAUAUCAGGAACACUAAGAUUUCCACAGUUUCCAUGACCAAUUAAGCAACGACUAGAAAAUAUUGCAAAGUAGCGUAAAACAGGAAAAUGUAUGCUAGUGAUUCGUGCAUCAGAAACCUUCCUCGUUUCCCCUACAGUGAUGGUAUCAAUAAACCCAUCCACAUCGCCGCGAUGUGGUUCCUCAGUCGUGCCCUCGAAAGGGACUAAACAAACCCGACAAAAAUCAUAAAGUGACAUCUCCUACGCUCUUCAUAUAAAUAAAACUCCACCAUAGGUGGUGAGCUCCUAGAAUGGAAAUGAAAGUUUUGCACAAAGAUAUUGGUGAGUAAGAGAUACUGGUCGCAUUGGUCGUGGAGGAAGGCGGUGAGGCCUGCAUUGUCAGCCAAUUCAUAAAAAUCAUCAUAAAUCCUGGCUGCUCUCAAGAAAUCAUCGGAGGGCCAUUCACGCGGCCUAACCUCCAUGGUGCGAGGCAGAUUAUAUUUGGGCUUCUUUGCUUCUUCAUUUUUCUUUUCCUUCGAGCUUCGGCUCGAUGAGCCCCUCAAAAACCUCUUCAUUAUUCUCUAAAAAAUUCUGAAAUUUUUAGUAACUUCAAACAAAAGUGAACCAAGCUCAACAAAAUUGAUAGCAACAACUCCUACAAGUGCCUAGAGCUUAUAUCAAGUCUACGAUAUAAAGAGAGAGGCAUAACACUAACACCGGCUCCAAGAUCACAUAACACUAACACUAACAACGACAAUGAUCAGCAAGAGCAAAGUCUUCGCCCUGUACAUCCUCGCGUUGCCAAUGAAGUGCAGAUUGAAAGAAUAAUUGAUAGCAUCAAUGCACCCGGUCCACUCACUCGUUCAAGGGCAACUCAGCUAGCAAAUUUCUGUGGGCACUUCGCAUUCGUCUCAAUAACAGAACCCAAGAAAGUUGAAGAAGCCUUCAUGGAACCUGAAUGGAUUCAAGCUAUGCAAGAAGAGCUUCAACAGUUUGAGCUGAAUAAUGUAUGGGAACUAGUUAAGCGUCCUGAUCCACGGAAGCACAAUAUAAUAGGCACCAAAUGGAUAUACCACAACAAGCAAGAUGAGCAUGGUCAAGUUGUCAGAAACAAAGCUCGUCUCGUUACUCAAGAAUAUACUCAAGUGGAAGGCAUUGACUUCGAUGAAACAUUUGCUCCUGUGGCUAGACUUGAAGCCAUACGCAUACUGCUGGCCUAUGCAAAUCAUCACAACAUACUUCUAUAUCAAAUGGAUGUGAAGAGUGCUUUUCUCAAUGGCAAGGUUGAAGAAGAAGUGUAUGUUGCACAACCGCCUGGCUUUGAAGAUCCAAAACAUCCUGACAUGGUAUACAAGCUCAACAAGGCACUAUAUGGCCUCAAACAAGCCCCUCGGGCCUGGUAUGACACACUCAAAUACUUCCUGAAGAGCAAAGGCUUCAUACCUGGUUCCCUAGACCCCACUCUCUUCACGAAGACAUAUGAUGGUGAAUUGUUUGUGUGCCAAAUAUAUGUGGAUGACAUUAUCUUCGGCUGCACCAAUCAGAAGUACAGUGAAGAGUUUGGAUAUAUGAUGCAAGAGCAAUAUCAGAUGUCCAUGAUGGGAGAGCUGAAGUUCUUCCUCGGUCUUCAAAUACGACAACAACGCAACGGCAUCUUCAUAUCUCAAGAGAAGUAUCACAAAGAUUGCCUGAAGAAGUUCGGUAUGCAAGACUGCAAAGGCUUCACAACACCAAUGCCAGCCAAACAUCAUUUGGGUCCCGACGACAAUGGUAAAGAGUUCGAUCAAAAGGUAUACCACUCCAUGAUUGGUUCUUUACUUUAUCUAUGUGCAUCUAGGCCAGAUAUUAUGCUUAGUGUUUACAUGUGUGCUCGAUUUCAAGCGGCACCAAAGGAGUCGCAUCACUUAGCUGUGAAGCGAAUUCUUUGAUAUUUGGCUCACACCCCAACUCUAGGAUUAUGGUAUCCAAAGGGCUCAGAGUUUGAUCUAGUUGGAUUCUCGGAUGCUGAUUAUGCUGGUGACAAAGUUGAUCGCAAGUCUACAUCAGGCACAUGUCACUUUCUGGGAUGAUCACUUGUAUGUUGGUCUUCAAAGAAGCAGAACUGUGUAUCUCUCUCCACUGCUGAAUCUAAAUACGUUGCUGGUGGAUCUUGCUGCGCUCAGCUUCUGUGGAUGAAGCAAACACUCAAGGACUAUGGCAUUCAUCUGAAGCAAGUGCAACUUUACUGCGACAACGAAAGCGCCUUCAAGAUCGCCAACAACCCAGUUCAGCACUCGAAGACAAAGCACAUUGAAAUUCGUCAUCACUUUCUCAGAGAUCAUGUUGUGAAGGAAGAUAUUGAUAUCAUACGCGUCAACACUGAAGAGCAAUUGGCAGAUAUCUUCACCAAGCCCUUGGAUGAGAAGAGAUUUUGCAAGUUACGAUGUGAGCUAAAUAUCCUGGAAUCCUCAAAUGUCCUGUGAUCAGGCACACAUCCUAACCCUUAUGCAUAUUGAUGACUUAGAUGUGCAACACACGAAGUAAAGUAUAUCUUCAAUCAAUGAAGACAUACAUUCUAAGUGUGAAUACAUUAAUGUGGAAUUUGACUUCGGAGCGCCACGAUAAUUGUGCGUUGUGUCUGGGUCUAAUACUUCCUAUACGGUGGGUAACGCCACCACCAAAUGUUCUAUUUUGAAGUGUUUCACUCAUGACAUUACCUUGUAAUGUCUUCACAUUUGGUUUGGCUUCGAUCUCAACAUAUCUUCAUGAUUAUCUUCACUAUGUUGAUUAUAUAUAUAUAUAUAUAUAUAUAUAUAUAUAUAUUAGUGUUCUGUCCUCUACAGCAUUCACUUAUAGCUAUGUCUUCAUUGUUGAAUCUUUUGAACUAAGUGAAUGUGAUCGGACCCUAACCUCUCUAUGCUUUCUAUCUCAAAUUCUAUCUCUCCAAAUCAUAUGCAUUCUAUUGAAACUGUCGAAUGUCUUCUCUGCGUCCUUGUCAGCAGAAGAUACAGAGACAACCAUUAAGUCCGUUUUCAAUGCUCAUUCCUCCACAUGAAGUAGGAACGACCACCCGACAAUCAAGGCGUGCGUGGGACGUGAAACAAACCCCAAAAUUCUGCAUAAUGGCCACGUGUUCCUCAGCUGCGAAUCGCCAGGGGCACCUGUGUAAUAGCGCAGUGCCGCCCAUGUACCUAUAAAUACACACUUCACAACGGUCAUUAUCUCUUCUUCCACUCUCGCACGAACCCUAGCACCACCGCUAGCCCUCUACGACGCCGGUGACGAAGCGCUUCGCUGCCGCAACCUCUCCGACGCCAUCUUCACGCCGACCGCGGACAUCGUCCUCUCCGCCGUCGUCAUAGGUGUCCUCCGUCGCCAAGUUAGGGCACGGAAGAUCGAACUGCUCGGCCUCAUCUUCCACUUCGUCUAGCAGUUCUUAGUGUGGUAAAUAAAACUUCCUUUUUACAGCACCGUUGAUCCUAUGGAUUUGUCACUUUCUACCACAAGCAGUUUCUAUUCACACAAGUUAGAUCUCUCUCAUACCGCAUCUCAUAACAUGCCUAGUAUAUUCACUUAUGCUUCACAAAGUAGUUAGAUUCCUCACUUGUACUGAUCUGUGGAUUCGUACAAAUCUGGAACCAACUCCUUAUCUAUGAGUGAAUGUCUUUGCAAAAUGAGGUCAAUGUCUUCUAAACUGAUUUAUCUUCAAAAUCUUCUGAGAAUGCAUAUGACCUCUUCCCCUUCCCUCGCACCUUAAUGCUGUCACAGGUACAUGUCCAUGGGAGAAUCCUUUGGUUCUCAUAGUCUGCAUUCAUUUGCAGAAUUCUUACAGCAUCACAUUAAUUCUCCCGAAGCCAGUUCCUGUUGGUCCAGCAAGCGAAAACCUUUGAAGCCUUUGAACGUGUUGAAGCCUUUCAAGUUAAAGUUUAUGGCUUCAGAGAAAGCAGCAAGGAAGGGUGGCAGAAAGCAUCGUGGAGAAACAUCCAGAGAUCUGCCAGAUGAACUCUCAGAACUGUACAAGACAAAUCCUGAAGAGGAUUACAAUCAGCGCAAGACCCGAAUCCAAUGGAUUCGAAGAUAUUGGGCAGAACAAUGGUUCAAAUACCGAUUUGUAACCCAAGAAUAUGCUGAGAAAAAUGCCAUCAAGAGACCGUGGGGAGACAUCCAAUACAAGAAUCUUCUACCCAGGUCCAGAGAUGAAGCCAUUGCUCAAGGCUUCUAUCCCUGCAUGGUCCGUGGGCCACAACCAGCUGAUGCACACCCAUCGUCACUACUAUGGUGUCGUGACGACAAUCUGUUCAAGCGCAACUUCCAGUUUGCCCAGAACUCAGCGAAGCAGAACAAGAAGACUUUGGGGCUAGACUUCAACCCUGCUCCCUCAGCACCAAGGGCAGAUGGCACACGAGAUGCAUAACCCAAUGUCAUCGGUCCUUUCUCCAACCCUGAAGGCCUCAUCACCCGCAUCUUAGUUCAAGGGACUACAGUGAAUGAGCCUGCAGCUGACGCUGAAUCAGAAGAAGCUCCUGCAGCGCCGAAGACAAAGAAGAUGAAGAAGCCUAAAGCUUCAAAGCCUGCCCCCUCACCAAAAAUCUCAAGGGCGCAGCCACUAGCAACUGCACCUCCUGAAGACAGUGUGCAGUCUGAAGACUUAUCUCGCAUCUCCAAGCCCCAGAAAGUCAAGAUGCCUCUGCCUCACACCAGACAAGAGCUAACUGCUACUGCCAUUCUGCGCAAUGACGACAUUGAUCUAUCCAGUGAUGAAGAUCUAGCAGAUGGCGCUCUUGAUCAACUCAUCAAGAGCAAAGAAGAAGCAGAAAUCUUCAAUGAUCUGCCUCUCUUUGAUGUGACCAUCAUCCACAACUUCAUUGACGAGUGGUUUGACACGCCAAACAUCAGCUUUGAAGAUCUGCAGCUACCAAUUGGCCUCAGUGUCGCCUUCCAAGGCGCCAUUGCUUCAGAACUCGCUAUUGCCCAGUGCAUUGUUGAACUGAAGCAAAAGAUUAACUAUGAAAAGGCUCAGUUCAAGAAGCAUAUGGCCAAGCUCAGCAUGCAGGAAGUGAAGAACUUCAAGAGUAUGAUGCACGAGCUCAAGGAAGCCUUUGUAAAGAAACGUGCAGAAGCUCAGGGUUCGCGUGAGCGCAUGAAGACUCUGGUUGAUAGAUGUGUGCAAGCCUAUAAUGAGGCUGAGAAGCGCAAGGCCCUUGGGCGUCCUGGCAUCGACCCCAGGAUGGCCGCAAAGAAGAAGAAGAAGCCUGCUACGGCUGAACCUGACGCACCAAGGCAGGAAGCAGUUCCUAUUGUGUUCCCAACUAAAAUGACUGGCUCGAAGCCAAAAAGCCGGUCAACAGCUUCAGAUCUCAAGAAGACAAGGACUGCUGAGGCUGAAGCUAGGAAGAGGAAACAUUCUGAAGCCUCUCCAACUACCCCCUCCAAGAAGAAGAGGAAGACCAAGAAAGAUUGGGCUGCUUCCACAGAGCCCUUGAUAGUUGAACCCAUUUCUAUGGUCUAUCCUGAAGCUGAACGCCAACUGACCAUCCAUGAGCCUGCUUCCACAGAGGCUCAUGAAGCUGAAGACUUUCCAGCAGCUGAUCCCAUCGCUGCUGAAGACAUUGGUCAACAUGACAAUGUAGAAGAUGGUGCAGUCCUUCCUCAGAACAGCGAACUCAUCAGCAUUGGUUGUCCACUAACGUCAAUUGCACAGGAUGCUUCAUGGGCAGAUCGCCCACAAGAGGAAGAAGACUAUGAGGCCCAACCCACUCCAACUCCACAGGCGUUGCCCGCGUUGCGCAGGCUUCGCACAGGUCCAAGGCCUCAAGUCUCUGCUGAAGACAAUCCGGCUGCAUCAGCCGCGGAAGAUGAAGUCCCACAAGUUGCCACUCCACUGUCCCACCAAGAAGCAGUUCUCAAGGAGAACGUGCUUGAAAAUCUUGCGGCUGCCACAACCACCAAUGAAGCUAAUGUGGAGCCCUCCCCAACGGAAAAAGAAGACAGUGAAGCCACUGAUCUCGUCACUUCUGUUCCUGAGUCUGCUGUCGGUCCACAGUUCGACUAUCAUGUUGAGCACAGGCCUCAGGUACAGAAGCCAAUCCCAAGAUUGCCAAGGUUCCCAGGUCCUGCAUCAGCACCUGGCUCCUUCAAUAUCAAUGGCUUCAGGGCAGACAACACAUUCUUCGAUAGCUCCAGGAACCCCUACUCAAGGGAAAGGAUAUCAUCUGAUCGGUUCUGGAGCUAUCCUCAGCGAAGCUAUUACUCAUGCAUUCUUUACAACCAAGGUCGCAUCUUCCCACACAAGCGCCUUGACAUUGAAGCCAUAGCUGGUCUGCCCUGUCUGGAAAAAGCUUUGGAUUGCUUCAAGGAAGUUGGACUGCUGCCAUUCGUUACGGACCAAGAGCAUUGGAAUGAAGAGCUGUUGCUCCAAUUCUAUGCCACACUUCACAUCCGCGGGUACAGCAGAGAUCCAAAGACUUGGGUCCUGGAGUGGAUGACCGGAAAUGUUCAUCACGAAGCCAAUGCAUUUGACAUCAUUGAGCUCACUGGUUUGCCCACUCCUGGCGAUCUCUACGAGCAUGGCUGUCAGCUGCAUAGUGAAGCUAUUGAGAGCAUCUUUAAGAGGCCGGAACCUGAUAUGAGUCAGAUGCUCAGCAUGAUGAAGCCAUUGCCCCAAGAUGCUGCUUAUCCAACAGAGUUCUUCAUUGAAGACCUUGAGUAUCUGCCACGAACCAUCUAUCACAUCAUCAGGCAAACUCUCUGGCCCAUCAAAGGGCACUCUCCAAAUGCCAAGCUUGAGGGUGCAAUGAAGACUUUGGUCUUCUAUAUUCUUCAUGGAAAAUGCUUCAAUGCACAGGACUUAUUCAUCCGCCAACUUGCUGCAUCAGGCUCUGACCUGUUUGGCUUGAAGUUCUACGCCCCAUGGGUAAUGCGGCUAAUUAAACUUCACUCUGAUAUCUCAUAUCAGCCAUCUGCUCGCAAUCAUAGGAUUUUUAUGCCUGAUGUGGAUAUCUCUACUGAAGCCAUCUAUCCUGAGCCUGCAAAGGAACCUCUAAGUCUUCAGAAUGCAGAGCAUCGGAGUUUCUCACAGAACAUUGAAGGAGUUGAAGCAGUCACUCGGGUGUAUCCUUUGGCUGGCACUACACGUGCACCACACCCUGCGUCUACUGAAGCCACUGAUAGUACAACUGCUCCAAGACCCAAGAAGUGCACUCGUGUUCUCAACGACCGAGAGCUUCUUGUGGAUCUUCAUCAGAAACAGGAUAGGCAUCAUGCUGGCUGAAGCGUCAGAUGAAAAGCCUCUUGGUGGAAGUUAAUCGCAUUUGCAAUCUUGCCACCAAGAAUGCUUUAGUUGCCCAUGAAACCUGUCGCCGUACAUGGAAAGGGCUAAUGAUAAUGUGUUCUGAAGAUGAUCUCCAAGAGGAUGGCUUCACUGAGCGAUUCAAGUUUGACUCCACACCUCCUCGAAGAGCUGUGCUGCUAGGAACUCCACCCCUUCAAGACUCUGAGUUCUCUUCAUCUGCUGCAACAGUGACUGCCAGAGUUAUCGAGGAUGAAGAUGAUGCUACUUCACCACCACCUCCUUCAGCACGCGUCAACUCUGCUCCAAGCUCUUCAGCACCGCCAAACACCACCAACGACCCUGCUACUUCACCUACUCUGCAUGGGAACGAGUAGAUGCUCUAUGUCUCCAAACGUUUUUGGUCCUUACUGACAAAAGGGGGAGAAGCAUAUGAGGUUGAUAGUCUUCAAGCGGGUCCAUAUGGGCGGGUGCUUUAUAUUUUGCUUCGUGCUUACAACUCUCGUUUUGCUACAUUUGGUUCUUUGAGUUGUAACACUUAAACUCGAUGGUCGUCUGCUACUUAUCUGCCACUUUGUUUUGCAAUGAUAAAUUCCGCAUGUGCGACGAUAAAUUCCGCACUUAGAUCAUUCUGCAGACGUCCAUUUUCCAUUAUGCAUGUCAUUAUCUUCAUAUACUUUCACAUGCAUAGUGGAUUGUCAUCAUAAGUUGAAGUGGAUCUCCACAAGUACAACCUGCCAUGUGCAUUUGCAUUCCAAAAGCAAAUUACCUAUAUGCACAUCUUCAGGGUGAGCCCUUGCAACUUAUGAAGACAAUUCCUUAUCCUUUACAAUUUCACAGAUUAUAUUCCCUGUUGAAAACUUCAACUAGUUUGUCAUCAAUCACCAAAAAGGGGGAGAUUGUAAGUGCAUCUAGUGCCACCCCUAGUUGGUUUUGGAGUAUUAACGACAAACCUAGUUGAGGGACUAAUGUGUUUGUGAGAAUUGCAGGAUAACACAGGUAGAAGUCCCUCAUUGAUUCGGUUUUCCUACCAGAGAUGACCCCUAAAAAUGUAUGAAGACAUUGAAGUCAAAGGUGGUAUAUGAAGAUAUUCACAUUGAAGACUAUGACAAGAGAAGACACCACAUGAAGCCUAUGGAGCUCGAAGACUUAGAUCUUUCGUAGUUCUUUUUUUUUGUGUUGAGUCAUAGAAACCACCGUACUGUUAAGUGGGGUCCAAGAGAAGCAGUCAGACUGACUGAAGUGAUGCCUAACCAAAAACCUAUGUCUUCGAGUGAAGACUAUGAGAGCGAAUCUUGUCCAGAGUUGGACAAGUCAGCUUUGCUUGUAGCCCAAGUAAAGUUGCCGUGUGAGUUUGAAAUCUGACCGUUGGAACACGUGUCAGUUCCUUAGUGACACAGGGUCAUUUCGGACAAAUCAGGUCGGGUUGCCAAGUGGCUAUAAAUAGCCCACCCCUCACAACCAUAAACGGUUAGCUGCUCAGAUUGAGAGUACGGCUUUUGUCGUUUGAGAGCAACCCACCUCGAAGCCUUUGAGAGAGAAUUCCUUGCGAGGAUAAAGCCCUAAUCACCCAGAGCCAGAGAAGAAUUGGGCAUCACUUAAGUCUUCUUGUUUGUGUGAUCUGAAGACUUAUUACACUUGAGGACUAUGCAUCCUCCAGCCGGUUAGGCGUCGCGUUCUGAGCAUCCAAGAGACAUUGUGGAUUGCCGGUGAAUGAAGUCUGUGAAGGUUUGGGAGUCUACCUUGAAGACUUACCAGAGUGAUUGGGCGAGGUCUGUGUGACCUUAGCUCAAGGGGAAUACGGUGAGGACUGGGUGUCCUGAGCUGCGUGUUCAGGACUGGGUGUCCGGGACUGUGUGUCCUAAGGUUUAAAUACCAAGCUGCCCCAACCAGACGUACAGUUGUCACAGCAACUGGAACUGGUCCAACAAAUCAUUGUCUUCAAUGAGUCACUGGUUUCAUCUUCCCUUCCCUUUACUUACUGUUGCUCCUUGUGAAGUCAUUGUAUGUUUGCACUAUCUUUUGUCUUCACUGAGUGACUGCAUGCUCUGUAUGGCUUCAUAAUAUCUUCCUACCUGAUCCUUACUACAUUGCUGCUAUUAAGUCAUUAUGCUUUCACUUCAUUGAACACUUGACUAUGGCUUGCCUAGUGUAGUCUACCUUCCGCUGCAUGGUAAUAGGUUUAUUUCUAUCGUUUGUCUUCAUAACUUCCACGUUUUGAAGACUUUCAUAAAAAUCGCCUAUUCACCCCCCCCCCUCUAGUCGAUAUAACGCACUUUCAGGUAUCUUUCUCUUAUUUGUAACAAUUUCUUUCAUAUACUUAGCAUAAGGAUUCAUUUUAAGCAUAUCGGUUAAUCGCAUACGCAAAAAGAUAGGUCUAAUCAUUUCAGCAAAGCGCUCAAAAUCCUCAUCAUCCUUUUUCUUGGAUGGUUUGGGAGGAAAAGGCAUGGGUUUCUGAACCCAUGGUUCUCUUUCUUUACCAUGUUUCCUAGCAACAAAGUCUUUCUUAUCAUAACAUUGAUUCUUUGAUUGUGGGUUAUCAAGAUCAACAACAGGUUCAGUUUCUAUAUCAUUAUCAUUACUAGGUUGGGCAUCAUCAUGAACAUUAUCAUUAACAUUAUCACUAGUUUCAGGUUCAUUACCAGAUUGUGUUUCAGCAUCAGAAAUAGAAAUAUAAUUUGGAUUCUCAGGUGGUUGAGCAAUAGGUUCACUAGAAGCAUGCAAAGUCCUAUCAUUUUUCUUUUUCUUCCUUUUAGAAGGACUAGGUGCAUCUAUAUUAUUUCUCUGAGAAUCUUGCUCAAUUCUCUUAGGAUGGCCUUCAGGAUACAGAGGUUCCUGAGUCAUUCUACCAGUUCUAGUAGCCACUCUAACAGCAUAAUCAUUAUUCUUACUAUUCAAUUCAUUGAGCAAAUCAUUUUGAGCUUUAAGUACUUGUUCUACUUGAGUGGUAACCAUAGAAGCAUGUUUACUAAUAAGUUUAAGUUCACCUUUAACAUUAGCCAUAUAAUCACCCAAGUGCUCAAGCAUAUUUGAAUUGUAUUUCAAUUGUCUACCAAAAUAAGCAUUGAAGUCUUCUUGCUUAACCAUAAAUUUAUCAAACUCAUCUAUGCAUGGGCUAGCAAACUUAGUAAAUGGGAUUUCAGCUUUAUCAUAUCUAUAGAGAGAAUUUACCUUUACUACCUGUGUCGGGUUAUCAAGACCAUGAGUUUGUUCAAUAGGUAAUGGAUUAAGAUCAUAUGUUUCUUCAACAGGCGGUAAAUUAAGACCGUGUGUUUCUUCAAUAGGAGGUAAAUUCUUAACAUCUUCGGCUUUAAUACCUUUUUCUUUCAUAGAUUUCUUUGCCUCUUGCAUAUCUUCAGGACUGAGAAAAAUAGAACACCUCUUUUAUUCGGAGUUGGUUUAGGAAUAGGCUCAGGAAGUGUCCAAUUAUUUGCAUUUGUCAACAUAUUAUUCAAUAGAAUUUCAGCUUCAUCCGGUGUUCUUUCCCUGAAAACAGAACCAGCACAACUAUCCAGGUAAUCUCUGGAAGCAUUGAUUAGUCCAUUAUAAAAGAUAUCAAGUAUUUCAUUUUUCUUAAGAGGAUGAUCAGGCAAAGCAUUAAGUAACUUGAGAAGCCUCCCCCAAGCUUGUGGGAGACUCUCUUCUUCAAUUUGCACAAAGUUGUAUAUAUCCCUUAAAGCAGCUUGUUUCUUAUGAGAAGAGAAAUAUUUAGCAGAGAAGUAAUAAAUCAUGUCCAGGGGACUAUGCACACAACCAGGAUCAAGAGAAUUAAACCAUAUCUUAGCAUCACCCUUUAAUGAGAACGGAAAUAUUUUAAGGAUAUAAAAGUAACGAGUUCUCUCGUCAUUCGUGAAUAGGGUGGCUAUAUCAUUUAAUUUAGUAAGAUGUGCCACAACAGUUUCAGAUUCAUAGCCUUGAAAAGGAUCAGAUUCAACCAAAGUAAUUAUAUCAGGAUCAACAGAGAAUUCAUAAUCCUUAUCAGUAACAUAGAUAGGUGAAGUAGCAAAAGCAGGGUCAGGUUUCAUCUUAGCAUUAAGAGAUUGCUGCUUCCAUUUAGCUAAUAACCUCUUGAGCUCGUAUCUAUCUUUGCAAGCUAAAAUAGCUAGAGCAGCUUCUUUCUCAAGAACAUAACCCUCAGGAAUAACAUGUGAUUCAUAUUUAUUAGGGGAAGAGUCUUCAUCAUCACUUUCAUCAAUAUUAUCAGAUUAAAUAUUUUCACUCUCUCUAACCCUAGCAAGUUGUUCAUCAAGAAAUUCACCAAGUGGCACAGUAGUAUCAAGCAUAGAAGUAGUUUCAUCAUAAGUAUCAUGCAUAGCAGAAGUGGCAUCAUCAAUAACAUGCGACAUAUCAGAACGAAUAGCAGAAGCAGGUUUAGGUGUCGCAAGCUUACUCAAAACAGAAGGUGAAUCAAGUGCAGAGCUAGAUGGCAGUUCCUUACUUCCCCUCGUAGUUGAGGGAUAAAUCUUGGUUUUUGGAUCUCUCAAGUUCUUCAUAAUGAUAAGCAGAUAUAAAUCCCAAGUGACUCAAAGAAUAGAGCUAUGCUCCCCGGCAACAGCGCCAGAAAAUAGUCUUGAUAACCCACAAGUAUAGGGGAUCACAACAGUUUUCGAGGGUAGAGUAUUCAACCCAAAUUUAUUGAUUCGACACAAGGGGAGCCAAAGAAUAUUCUCAAGUACUAGCAGAUGAGUUGUCAAUUCAACCACACCUGGAAACUUAAUAUCUGCAGCAAAGUAUUUAGUAGCAAAGUAAUAUGAUAGUAGUGGUAACGGUAGCAGAAGGUAACGGUAGCAAAAGUAAUGUUUUCGGUAUUUUGUAGUGAUGAUAGCAAUAGCAACGGAAAAGUAAAUAAGCGAAGAACAAUAUAUGGAAAGCUCAUAGGCAAUGGAUCGGUGAUAGAGAAUUAUGUCGGAUGCGGUUCAUCAUGUAACAGUCAUAACCUCGGGUGACACAGAACUAGCUCCAAUUCAUCAAUGUAAUGUAGGCAUGUAUUCUGAAUAUAGUCAUACGUGCUUAUGGAAAAGAACUUGCAUGACAUCUUUUGUCCUACCCUCCCAUGGCAGCAGGGUCCUAGCAGAAACUAAGGGAUAUUAAGGCCUCCUUUUAAUAGAGUACCGGACCAAAGCAUUAACACAAAGUGAAUACAUGACCUCCUCAAACUAUGAUCAUCACCAGUAAGUAUCCCGAUUAUUGACACUUCGGGGUUAACGGAUCAUAACACAUAAUAGGUGACUAUAGACUUGCAAGAUAGGAUCAAAAACUCUCAUAUAUUGAUGAAAACAUAAUAGGUUAAGAUCUGAAAUCAUGGCACUUGAGCCCUAGUGACAAGCAUUAAGCAUAGCAAAGUCAUAGCAACAUCAAUCUUAGAACAUAGUGGAUACUAGGGAUCAAACCCUAACAAAACUGACUCGAUUACAUGAUAAAUCUCAUCCAACCCAUCACCGUCCAGCAAGCCUAUGAUGGAAUUACUCACGCACGACGGUAAGCAUCAUGAAAUUGGUGAUGGAGGAAGGUUGAUGAUGACGAUGGCGACGGAUUCCCCUCUCCGGAGCCCCGAACGGACUCCAGAUCAGCCCUCUCAAGAGGUUUUAGGGCUUGGCGGCGGCUCCGUAUCGUAAAACGCAAUGAAUCCGUCUUCCUUAUUUUUUCUCCCCGAAAGCAAAUAUAUAGAGUUGGAGUCGAGGUCGGAGGAGCUCCAGGGGGGCCACGAGGUAGGGGGCGCACCCUAGGGGGACAGGCGCGCCCCCACCCUCGUGGCUAGGGUGUGGGCCCCCUAGUCUUAAUCUUUUGCAAGGAUUUUUUAUUAUUUCCGAAAAGAUGUUUCAUGAAGUUUCAGGUCAUUCCGAGAACUUUUGUUUCUACACAUAAAUAACACCAUGGCAAUUCUGCUGAAAACAGCGUCAGUCCGGGUUAGUUCCAUUCAAAUCAUGCAAGUUAGAGUCCAAAAUAAGGGCAAAAGUGUUUGGAAAAGUAGAUACGAUGGGGACGUAUCAUCCAUCGAGGUGUGGAAGUAAGGACGGCAACAAGCUUGUCGAAGAUAGCAACAACUUCAUAGUUCGUGUAAUCCCAAGAGCGGUCGGGAACUCGACAAAUUGCUAUCUUCCAUAGACGACAAUCACCAUGAUCGUAGUUGAACAUACGUAGAAUACCGGUGUGCUCAACCUCUGGGCAGUCUGAGAUUUUUGGAAGUGGAACCCAGUGACGUGUGUACACAUUCACAAGUUCCCACUCGCAGUUGUACCCAAUAUAAACAACCCAAUCUCCAUUUGCGCAUGCCCAAGCCUUACCCUCAAGUGAUGGCAUCUUAACAUCACACAUAUCAUUAUCAAGCAGCAUCAACUUGCACAAGGCAAUUCCUCCAUCAUCCGCAUGCCAGUCAGCAGGGUCACGAAGAAGAAGAUAGGGGAUAUCAGACCGCUCCUGGACCCUUGGGUUCCUUGUAAUGAUGAUAUUAGUUGAGUCGAGAAUGGUCUUGAACGAACCUGCCAUGCUAGCCGAGGUGAUGACGUCGCACCGAUCAAUGAGUUCCUCCACCUUGUCAUCUUUCAGAUCGGGGCAAGAAUAACGGGGUCAUUUUCGGCUGUUACCUCCAUGGAGAAGAAGAUCGAACAAUGGAAGAAGGAAGGGUGAAGGCAAAUGGAGGAGGGAGGACGAGCGUGCGACAAUAGUUCCAAAUAGAGAGGGAAAGGUGAAGAGGCGGUGGACGGUUGCCAAGGUACACGAAGAGGCGCCCCGGCCUACAUAGACGUCCGUUCGGAAAUUGUACAAAAGGACUCGCCGUCGUCUCACUGACAUGUUGGAACGGGACCACAUGUCAAUGAAACAUGGUGUGUAAUUUCUCUUGCAAAAUGCGAUCUGGCCGCAUUGGCCCGAGGUGCCGCAUUAGUUAUCGACCUUUAUUUUUUUAAUGGCGUGAUGUUCAGUUUUGAAGCACGACUAACUGGUACUGUAUGCAGAGAAAAUAUAAACUACUCUACCACUACUCCACCUAUAGUACUAGUAGUAUCAAAAAAGAUAUAUAGGCUGGAGCUUCAGCGCUUUCUUGCUAAGGGCUGCCCACUUGCUUCUCACACUAUCACCCUCUCUCUAGAUGUAAAAAAGACGGCCUCUCUCUCCCUCCUCACCGGUGGUCACAGAUCCGCCGGGGAAGAAAAGGACGUAUAGCGUUGACGCACUCGUCGUCGGCGAGAGAGGUCACACACUGACGACAAGGUCAUCCUCUCAGACCUAGCAUCCGCGCGGGAUGGCCUCUGUCCCCAAGCUCGCUGUCAUAGUGUGUGCGGCGGACAACGACCACGAGCGAAGCCACUUCCCACCGACCCUCAGGUAUGCAACCUCUUUUCGAACCAUACCCUUGUUCUAUUGCACCAUCUGCCACAUCGCUGCAUGUGGAUCUUUUUCCACUCCACCAUCUUCCCAAUUUGCUAUCCUCUGCUCUGCUGGUCACGCAGAUGAAAACCUUAAUUUUCACUAUUAAAGGAAACCCUACUUCAUGCAUACUAAUCCAUGUCUGGGUUGAAUAAGGAAAGGAAGGGAGAAUGUACUAUCCAAGAGACUAGGCAUCGAACCCGCAUCUAGGUUGAAAAGGGGAAAAUUAGUAGCUAAGGAAUGAGUCUCAUGUCUCUUGGUUGAAAAAGGGUAGAAAGGCAUGACAAUGCAAUAGAGAAUGACCAUGUCGAUCGGUUUGUUGUCCUCACAUAGGGAAAACGUGUCUAAAGAGAACAAAAAUGGGACGUAAUCCACAUAUGUUGCCUAGAUAUUUGUUGCUUUGGGCAACCAUACCUCCCUCACCACUCUACGCGUCCGUGGAGGUACAUCGUACUAGUGCGCCCACUGUCUGAAUGGGCCUCCCAUGCUCUUAUUGCCUCUUUUUUGCUGUUAGUAUAACACCAGCGGUCAAGUCAAGCAAUGUUACCGCUAAAGUGAUGCCACAUUUAACUAAUGUUGCACUCAGCCUAAUGCCACCGACAUGUUGCGGAACGUAGUAAUUUCAAAAAAAAUCCUACUUGCACACAGGAUCAUGGUGAUGCAUAGUAACGAGAGGGGAGAGUGUUGUCUACGUACCCUCGUAGACCAUUCGCGGAAGCAUUAUAUCAAUGCGGUUGAUGUAGUCGUAUGUCUUCACGAUCCGACUGGUCCAAGUACCAAAAGCACGGCACCUCCAAGUUCUGCACACGUUCGGCUCGGUGACGUCCUCGCCUUCCCGAUCUAGCAAGAGGUGCGAAGUAGUAGAUGAGUUUCGGCAGCACGACGGCAUGGUGACGGUGUUGGUGAAGAACAAUCUCUGCAGGGCUUCGCCUAAGCACUAUGAAAACUAUGACGGAGGAUAAACUAGAGGGGACGGGGUUGCCGGCACAUGGCUAGGUGUUUCUUGAUGUGUCUUGGGUGCUAGCCCUGCCCCUCUAUUUAUAUGUUGAGCGCUGGGGUCGAAACUUGGAGUAAAAGCCUCCACAAAGUCGGUUUCACCCGAAAGGAAAGAGUCCUUCUCGGACUCCAGGGCCAGACGCCGGGGUUCCCGGCGUCUGGACCCAGACGCCAGGGACCCUGGCGUCUGGCCCCUGGACUCCGCAAAACUUCCUUUUGCGCUUUCCAAAAACCUCGUGGGCUUUCCCCUUUGGCCCAGAUAAAGUGUUCUCGUGCCCAAACAUUUCGAGAAACAUCCGGAAACCCUUCCGGAGAUCAAAAACUACUAUCCACAUAUCAAUCUUUACUUCCGGACCAUUUCGGAGUUCCUCGACAUAUCCGUGAUCUCAUCCGAAACUUCGAACAACAUCCGGUCACCAACAUACAUAACUCAUAGUACUAUAUCGUCAACGAAUGUUAAGCGUGCGGACCCUACGGGUACGAGAACUAUGUAGACAUGACCGAGACACCUCUCUGGUCAAUAACCAAUAGCGGGACCUGGAUGCCCAUAUUGGCUCCUACAUAUUCUACAAAGAUCUUUAUCGGUCAGACUGCAUAACAACAUACGUUGUUCCCUUUGUCAUCAGUAUGUUACUUGCCCGAGAUUCGAUCGUCGGUAUAUCAAUACCUAGUUCAAUCUCGUUACCGGCAAGUCUCUUUACUCGUUCCGUAAUACAUCAUCCUGCAACUAACUCAUUAGUUGCAAUGCUUGCAAGGCUUAUAGUGAUGUGCAUUACCGAGUGGGCCCAGAGAUACCUCUCCAACAAUCAGAGUGACAAAUCCUAAUCUCGAAAUACGCCAACCCAACAAGUACCUUUGGAGACACCUGUAGAGCACCCUUAUAAUCACCCAGUUAUGUUGUGACGUUUGGUGGAACACAAAGUGUUCCUCUGGUAAACAGGAGUUGCAUAAUCUCAUAGUCAUAGGAACAUGUAUAAGUCAUGAAGAAAGCAAUAGAAACAAACUUAAACGAUCAAGUGCUAAGCUAACGGAAUGGGUCAAGUCAAUCACAUCAUUCUCCUAAUGAUGUGAUCCAGUUAAUCAAAUGACAACUCAUGUCUAUGGUUAGGAAAAUUAACCAUCUUUGAUCAACGAGCUAUUCAAGUAGAGGCAUACUAGUGACACUCUGUUUGUCUAUGUAUUCACACAUGUAUUAUGUUUCCGGUUAAUACAAUUCUAGCAUGAAUAAUAAACAUUUUUCAUGAAAUAAGGAAAUAAAUAAUAACUUUAUUAUUGCCUCUAGGGCAUAUUUCCUUCAGUCUCCCACUUGCACUAGAGUGAAUAAUCUAGAUCACAUCGCCAUGUGACUUAACAUCAAUAGUUCACAUCACCAUGUGAUUAACACCCAUAGUUCACAUCGUCAUGUGACCAACACCCAAAGGGUUUACUAGAGUCAAUAAUCUAGUUCACAUCGCUAUGUGAUUAACACCCAAAGAGUACUAAGGUGUGAUCAUGUUUUGCUUGUGAAAGAAGUUUAGUCGACGGGUCUGCAACAUUUAAAUCCGUAUGUAUAUUGCAAAUUUCUAUGUCAACAAUGCUCUGCACCAUAUCUAAUAAAGUACGGUUACGACGUUCGGACACACCAUUACACUUUGGUGUUCUAGGUGGCGUGAGUAGUGAAACUAUUUCACAUUAUUUUAACUGAAGGCCAAACUCGUAACUCAAAUAUUUUAAUUCUGCAAACAUAUCAUAGAAACUUUUAUUUUUGUUACGAUGAUUCUCCACUUCACUCUGAAAUUCUUUGAACUUUUCAAAUGUUUUAGAUUUGUGUUUCAUCAAGUAGAUAUACUCAUAUCUGCUCAAACCAUCUGUGAAGAUCAGAAAAUAAUGAUACCUGCCGCGAGUGUCAAUAUUCAUCGGACCACAUACAUCAGUAUGUAUGAUUUCCAACAAAUCUGUUGCUCGCUCCAUUGUUCUGGAGAACAGAGUCUUAGUCAUAUUGCCCAUGAGGCAUGGUUCGCAAGCAUCAACUGAUUCAUAAUCAAGUGAUUACAAAAGCCCAUCAACAUGGAUUUACUUCAUGCGCUUUACACCAAUAUGACCUAAACGGCAGUGACACAAAUGAGUUGCACUAUCAUUAUUAACUUUGCAUAUUUUGGCUUCAAUAUUAUGAAAAUGUGUAUCACCACGAUCGAGACCCAACAAACCAUUUUCAUUGGGUGUAUGACCAUAGAAGGUUUUAUUCAUGUAAACAGAACAACAAUUAUUCUCUAACUUACAUGAAUAACCGUAUUGCAAUUAACAUGAUCCAAUCAUAUUCAUGCUCAACGCAAACACUAAAUAACAUUUAUUUUAGGUUUAACACUAAUCCCGAAAGUAUAGGGAGUGUGCGAUGAUGAUCAUAUCAAUCUUGGAACCAUUUCCAAUACACAUCGUCACUUCACCCUUAACUAAUCUCUGUUCAUUCUGCAACUCCCAUUUCGAGUUACUAUUCUUAGCAACUGAACCAGUAUCAAAUACUGAGGGGUUGCUAUAAACACUAUUAAAGUACACAUCAAUAACAUGUAUAUCGAAUAUAGCUUUGUUCACUUUGCCAUCCUUCUUAUCCACCAAAUACUUGGGGUAGUUCCGCUUCCAGUGAUCAAUCCCUUUGCAGUAGAAGCACUUAGUUUCAGGCUUAGGUCCAGACUUGGGCUUCUUCUUGAGUAGCAACUUGCUUGCUGUUCUUCUUGAAGUUCCCCUUUCUUCCCUUUGUCCCUUUACUUGAAACUAGUGGUCUUGUUAAACAUCAACACGUGGUGCUCUUUCUUAAUUUCUACCUUCGUCAAUUUCAGCAUCGCGAAGAGCUCAGGAAUCACUUUCGUCAUCCCUUGCAUAUAAUAGUUCAUCACGAAGUUCUAGUAACUUGGUGAUAGUGACUAGAGAAUUCUGUCAAUUGCUAUCUUAUCUGGAAGAUUAACUCCCACUUGAUUCAAGCAAUUAUAGUACCCAGACAAUCUGAACACAUGCUCACUAGUUGAGCUAUUCUCCUCCAUCUUGUAGGCAAAGUACUGUCAGAGGUCUCAUACCUCUCGACACGGGCAUGAGUAUGAAAUACCAAUUUCUACUCUUGGAACAUCUUAUAUGCUCUGUGGCGUUCAAAACAUUUUUGAAGUCCCGGUUCUAAGCCGUAAAGCAUAGUGCACUUAACUAUCAAGUAGUCAUCAUACCGAGCUUUUGUCAAAACGUUCAUAACAUCUGCAUCUGCUCCUGCAAUAGGUCUGUCACCUAGCGGUGCAUCAAGAACAUAAUUCUUAUGUGCAGCAAUGAGGAUAAACCUCAGAUCACGGAUCUAAUCCGCAUUAUUGCUACUAACAUCUUUCAACUUAGUUUUCUCUAGGAACAUAUAAAUAAUAAACGGGGAGCAACAUCGCGAGCUAUUGAUCUACAACAUAGAUAUGCUAAUACUACCAGGACUAAGUUCACGAUAAAUUAAAGUUCAGUUAAUCAAAUUAUUAAAGAACUCCCACUUAGAUAGACAUCCAUCUAAUCCUCUAAGUGAUCACGUGAUCCAUAUCAACUAAACCAUGUCCGAUCAUCAUGUGAGAUGGAGUAGUUUCAAUGGUGAACAUCACUAUGUUGAUCAUAUCUACUAUAUGAUUCAUGCUCGACCUUUUGGUCUCCGUGUUCCGAGGCCAUAUCUGUUAUAUGCUAGGCUCGUCAAGUUUAACCUGAGUAUUCCGAACUGUUUUGCACCCGUUGUAUUUGAACGUAGAGCCUAUCACACCCGAUCAUCACGUGGUGUCUCAGCACGAAGAACUUUUGCAACGAUGCAUACUCAGGGAGAACACUUAUACCUUGAUAAUUUAGUGAGAGAUCAUCUUAUAAUGCUACCGUCAAUCAAAGCAAGAUAAGAUGCAUAAAAAGAUAAACAUCACAUGCAAUCAAUAUAAGUGAUAUGGUAUGGCCAUCAUCAUCUUGUGCUUGUGAUCUCCAUCUUCGAAGCACCGUCAUGAUCACCAUCAUCACUGGCGCGACACCUUGAUCUCCAUCGUAGCAUCGUUGUCGUAUCGCCAAUUUAUGCUUCUACGACUAUCCCUACCGCUUAGUGAUAAAGUAAAGCAUUACAGGGUGUUUGCAUUGCAUACAAUAAAGCGACAACCAUAUGGCUCCUGCCAGUUGCCGAUAACUCGGUUACAAGACAUGAUCAUCUCAUACAAUAAAAUUUAGCAUCAUGCCUUGACCAUAUCACAUCACAACAUGCCCUGCAAAAACAAGUUAGACGUCCUAUACUUUGUCGUUGCAAGUUUUACGUGGCUACUACGGGCUGAGCAACAACCGUUCUUACCUACGCAUCAAAACCACAAUGAUAGUUCGUCAAGUUCGUGCUGUUUUAACCUUCUAAAGGACUAGGCAUAGCCACACUCGGUUCAGCUAAAGUUGGAGAAACUGACACCCGCCAGCCACCUAUGUGCAAAGCAUGUCGGUAGAACCAGUCUCAUGUAAGCGUACGCGUAAUGUCGGUCCGAGCCGCUUCAUCCAACAAUACCGCCGAACCAAAGUAUGACAUGUUGGUAAGCAGUAUGACUUAUAUCGCCCACAACUCACUUGUGUUCUACUCGUGCAUAUAACAUCUACGCAUAAAACUAGGCUCGGAUGCCACUGUUGGGGAAUGUAGUAAUUUCAAAAAAAUUCCUACGCACACGCAGAAUCAUGGUGAUGCAUAGCAACGAGAGGGGAGAGUGUUGUCUACGUACCCUCGUAGACCGUUCGCGGAAGCGUUAUAUAAACGCGGUUGAUGUAGUCGUACGUCUUCACAAUCCGACCGAUCCAAGUACCGAAAGCACGGCACCUCCGAGUUCUGCACAUGUUCGGCUCGGUGACGUCCUCGCCUUCCCGAUCUAGCAAGAGGGACGAAGUAGUAGAUGAGUUCCGGCAGCACGACAGCGUGGUGACAGUAUUGGUCAAGAACACUCUCCACAGGGCUUCACCUAAGCACUACAAAAACUAUGACGGAGGAUAAACUAGAGGGGACGGGGUUGCCGACACACAGCUUGGUGUUUCUUGAUGUGUCUUGGGUGCUAGCCCUACCCCUCUAUUUAUAUGUUGAGCGUUGCGGUCGAAACUUGGAGUAAAAGCCUCCACAAAGUCGGUUUCACCCGAAAGCCAGGAGUUCCUUCUCGGACUCGAGGGCCAGACGCCAGGGUUCCCGGCGUCUGGACCCAGACGCCAGGGACCCUGGCGUCUAGCCCCUGGACUCCGCAAAACUUCCUUUUGCGCUUUCCAAAAACCUCGUGGGCUUUCCCCUUUGGCCCAAAUAAAGUGUUCUCGCGCCCAAUCAUUUUGGGAAACAUCCGGAACCCCUUCCGGUGAAUUUCGGAUCCCUUCCGGAGAUCAAACACUACUAUCCACAUAUCAAUCUUUACUUUCGGACCAUUCCGGAGUUCCUCGUCAUAUGCGUGAUCUCAUCCAAAACUCCGAACAACAUUCGGUCACCAACAUACAUAACUCAUAGUACUAUAUCGUCAACGAACGUUAAGCGUGCGGACCCUACGGGUUCGAGAACUAUGUAGACAUGACCGAGACACCUCUCUGGUCAAUAACCAAUAGCGGGACCUGGAUGCCCAUAUUGGCUCCUACAUAUUCUAUGAAGAUCUUUAUCGGUCAGACCGCAUAACAACAUACGUUGUUCCCUUUGUCAUCGGUAUGUUACUUGCCCGAGAUUCGAUCGUCGGUAUCUCAAUACCUAGUUCAAUCUCGUUACUGCAAGUCUCUUUACUCGUUCCGUAAUACAUCAUCCCGCAACUAACGCAUUAGUUGCAAUUCUUGCAAGGCUUAUAGUGAUGUGCAUUACCGAGUGGGCCCACAAAUACCUCUCCGACAAUCGGAGUGACAAAUCCUAAUCUCGAAAUACGCCAACCCAACAAGUACCUUCGUAGACACCUGUAGAGCAUCUUUAUAAUCACCCAGUUACGUUGUGAAGUUUGGUGGCACACAAAGUGUUCCUCCGGUAAACGGGAGUUGCAUAAUCUCAUAGUCAUAGGAACAUGUAUAAGUCAUGAAGAAAGCAAUAGCAACAAACUAAAUGAUCAAGUAGGUCGGUGGAGCCAUGAGGGGCCCACGGGGGUGGGGGCGCGCCUCCCUACCUCGUGGCCUCCUCGAUGAUUUCUUGACGUCCACUCCAAGUCCUCUAGAUCACGUUUGUUCCAAAAAUAACUCUCCCGAAGGUUUCAUUCCGUUUGGAUUCCGUUUGAUAUUCCUUUUCUGCGAAACACUAAAAUAGGCAAAAAAAAGAGCAAUUUGCACUGGGCCUUGGGUUAGUAGGUUAGUCCCAAAAAUAAUAUAAAAGUGUAUAAAUAAGCCCAUUAACAUCCAAAACAGAUAAUAUAAUAGCAUGGAACAAUCAAAAAUUAUAGAUACGUUGGAGACGUAUCAAGCAUCCCCAAGCUUAAUUCCUGCUCGUCCUCGAGUAGGUAAAUGAUAAAAACAGAAUUUUUUAUGUGGAAUUCUCCCUAGCAUAAUUCUCAAUGUAAUUUUCUUUAUUGUGGCAUGAAUGUUCAGAUCCAAAAGAUUCAAGAAAAAAAGUUUAAUAUUGACAUAAAAAUAAUGAUACUUCAAGCAUACUAACUAAUCAAUCAUGUCUUCUCAAAAUAACAUGGCCAAAGAAAGUUAUCCCUACAAAAUCAUAUAGUCUGGCUAUGCUCUAUCUUCACCACACAAAAUAUUUAAAUCAUGCACAACCCCGAUGACAAGCCAAGAAAUUGUUGCAUACUUUUGAUGUUCUCAAACUUUUUCAGUCUUCAUGCAAUACAUGAGCGUGAGCCAUCGACAUAGCACUAUAGGUGGAAUAGAAUGGUGGUUGUGGAGAAGACAAAAAGGAGAAGAUAGUCUCACGUCAACUAGGCAUAUCAACGGGCUAUGGAGAUGCCCAUCAAUAGAUAUCAAUGUGAGUGAGUAGGGAUUGCCAUGCAACGGAUGCACUAGAGCUAUAAAUGUAUGAAAGCUCAAAAAUAAACUAAGUGGGUGUGCAUCCAACUCGCUUGCUCAUGAAGACCUAGGGCAUUUUGAGGAAGCCCAUCAUUGGAAUAUACAAGCCAAGUUCUAUAAUGUAAAAUUCCCACUAGUAUAUGAAAAUGAUAUCAUAGGAGACUCUCUAUCAUGUAGAUCAUGGUGCUACUUUGAAGCACAAGUGUGGUAAAAGGAUAGUAACAUUGCCCCUUCUCUCUUUUUCUCUCAUUUUUCAUUUUUUUAUUUGGGCCUUUUCUCUUUUUUUAUGGCCUCUUUUUUAUUUAUUUUUUAUUUUUCAUCCGGAGUCUCAUCCUGACUUGUGGGGGAGUCAUAGUCUCCAUCAUCCUUUCCUCACAUGGGACAAUGCUCUAAUAAUGAUGAUCAUCACACUUUAUUUACUUACAACUCGAGAAUUACAACUCAAUUCUUAGAAGAAAAUAUGACUCUAUGUGAAUGCCUCCGGCGGUGUACCGGGAUGUGCAAUGACUCAUGAGUGACAUGUAUGAAAGAAUUAUGAACGGUGGCUUUGCCACAAAUACGAUGUCAACUACAUGAUCAUGCAAAGCAAUGUGACAAUGAUGAAGUGUGUCAUAAUAAAUGGAACGGUGGAAAGUUGCAUGGAAAUAUAUCUUGGAAUGGCUAUGGAAAUGCCAUAAUAGGUAGGUAUGGUGGCUGUUUUGAGGAAGGUAUAUGGUGGGUUUAUGGUACCGACGAAAGUUGCGCGGUACUAGAGAGGCUAGCAAUGGUGGAAGGGUGAGAGUGCGUAUAAUCCAUGGACUCAACAUUAGUCAUAAAGAACUCACAUACUUAUUGCAAAAAAAUAUUAGUUAUUGAAACAAAGUACUGCGUGCAUGCUCCUAGGGGGAUAGAUUGGUAGGAAAAGACAAUCAAUAAAUAAAUCAUGCUCCGACUUCAUCAGAUUAACGGUUCACCAUACGUGCAUGCUAUGGGAAUCACAAACUUCAGAACAAGUAUUUCUCGAAUUCACAACUACUCAACUAUUAUGACUCUAAUAUCACCAUCUUCAUAUCUCAAAACAAUCGUCAAGUAUUAAACUUCUCAUAGUAUUCAAUGCACUUUUUAUGAUAGUUUUUAUUAUACCCAUCUUGGAUGCCUAUCAUAUUAGGACUAAUUUUGUAACCAAGGAAAAUUACCAUGCUGUUCUAAAAGACUCAAAAUAAUAUAAGUGAAUCAUGAGAGAUCAAUAAUUUCUAUAAAAUAAAACCACCACUGUGCUCUAAAAGAUAUAAGUGAAGCACUAGAGCAAAAUUAUCUAGCUCAAAAGAUGUAAGUGAAGGACAUAGAGUAUUCUAAUAAAUUCCAAUUCAUGUGUGUGUCUCCCAAAAGGUCUGUACAGCAAGGAUGAUUGUGGUAAAGUAAAAAUCAAAGACUCAAAUCAUACAAGACGCUCCAAGCAAAACACAUAUCAUGUCGUGAAUAAAAAUAUAGCCUCAAGUAAAUUUACCGAUAGAAGAAGACGAAAGAGGGGAUGCCUUCCGGGGCAUCCCCAAGCUUAGGAUUUUGGUUGUCCUUGAAUUUUACCUUGGGGUUUCUUGGUCAUCCCCAAGCUUAGGCUCUUGCCACUCCUUAUUCCAUAAUCCAUCAAAUCUUUACCCAAAACUUGAAAACUUCACAACACAAAACUUAAACAGAAAAUCUCAUGAGCUCCGUUAGUAUAAGAAAACAAACCACCACUUAAGGUACUGUAAUGAACUCAUUCUUUAUUUAUAUUGGUGUUAAACCUACUGUAUUCUAACUUAUAUAUGGUUCAUAACCUCCGAUACUAGCCAUAAAUUCAUCAAAAUAAGCAAACAACACGCGAAAAACAGAAUCUGUCAAAAAUAGAACAGUCUGCAGUAAUUGUAGGUUUCGAAUACUUCUGUAACACCAAAAAUUCUAAAAUGAAUUGCUGGACGUGAGGAAUUUAUAUAUUAAUCAUCUGCAAAAAUAAUCAACCUAAUCGCACUCUCCAGUAAAAAAUGGCAGCAAAUCUCGUGAGCGCUAAAGUUUCUGUUUUUAUAGCAAGAUCGCAAAGACUUUCCCCAAGUCUUCCCAAAGGUUCUAUUUGGCACAAACACUAAUUAAAAACAUAAAACCACAUCUAAACAGAGGCUAUAUGAAUUAUUUAUUACUAAACAGGAACAAAAAGCAAGAAACAAAAAUAAAAUUGGGUUGCCUCCGAACAAGCGCUAUCAUUUAACGCCCCUAGCUAGGCAUAAAAAGAAGAAUAAAUCUAGGUAUUGUCGUCUUUGGUAUGCAAUCCAUAAGUGGCUCUCAUAAUAGAUUCAUAAGGUAAUUUAAUUUUUUUCUAGGAAAGUGUUCCAUGCCCUUCCUUAACGGAAAUUGAAAUCUAAUAUCCCCUUCUUUCAUAUCAAUUAUUGCAUCAAUCAUUCUAAGGAAAGGUCUACCAAGAAUAAUAGGACAUCUAGGAUUGCAAUCAAUAUACAGAACAAUGAAAUCUACGGGCACAUAAUUCCUAUUUGAAACAAUAAGAACAUCAUUAAUCCUCCCCAUAGGUUUCUUAAUAGUGGAAUCCGCAAGAUGCAAAUUUAAAGAACAAUCAUCAAGGUCACGGAAACCUAACACAUCACACAAAGUUUUUGGAAUCAGGGAAACGCUAGCACCCAAAUCACAUAAAGCAUAUCAUUCAUGAUCUUUAAUUUUAAUUUUAAUAGUAGGUUCCCACUCAUCAUGAAGUUUUCUAGGGAUAGAAACUUCUAAUUCAAGCUUUUCUUCACAAGAUUGCGUUAAAGCAUCAACGAUAUGAUUGGUAAAAGCUUUAUUUUGAUUACAAGCAUGCGGAGAAUUUAGCAUGGAUUGAAACAAGGAAAUACAAUCUACCAAAGAGCAAUUAUCAUAAUUAAAUUCAUUGAAAUCCAAAAUAGUGGGUUCAUUGCUAUGUAAAGUUUUGACCUCAUCAAUUCCACUUUUACCAAUUUUUGCAUCAAGAUCUAAAAACUCCGAAUCAUUGGAACACCUUUUAACUAAAGUUGACUCAUCUCCAGUCCCAUCAUUAUCAACAUUAAUAUUGCAAAACAAAGAUUUAAUAGGAGACACAUCAAUCACUUUUAUAUCUUCAUCCUUAUUAUCAUCAAAACUAGAAGAGCACGCUUUUAUGAAGCUAUCUUUUUUAGCACGCAUCCUAGCGGUUCUUUCUUUGCACUCAUCAAUGGAAAUUCUCAUGGCGUUGAGAGACUCAUUGAUAUCAUGCUUAGGUGGAAUAUACCUAAGUUUCAAAGAAUCAACAUCAAGAGAAAUUCUAUCCACGUUCCUAGCCAACUCAUCAAUCUUAGACAAUUUUUCUUCAAUCAAAGCAUUGAAACUCUUUUGUGAACUAAUAAAUUCUUUAAUACUAGAUUCAAAAUCAUAGGGUAUCUUAUUAUAAUUUCCAUAAGAAUUGUUUUAGGAAUUACCAUAAUUAUUAGAGGAAUUACUAGGAUACAGCCUAGGAUUAAAGUUUCAUCUAUACGCGUUGUUACCAAAAUUGUUCCUACCAACAAAAUUCACACCCAUAGAUUCAUUAUUAUUCUCAAUCAAAGUAGACAAAGGCAUAUCAUUAGGAUCCGAAGAAACACUCUUAUUAGCAAACAAUUUCAUAAGUCCAUCCAUCUUUCCACUCAAAACAUUGAUUUCUUCUAUAGCAUGAACCUUUUUACUAGUAGAUCUUUCGGUGUGCCAUUGAGAAUAAUUAACCAUAAUAUUAUCUAGGAGUUUGGUAGCUUCUCCUAGAGUGAUUUCCAUAAAAGUGCCUCCCGUGGCUGAAUCUAAAAGAUUUCUAGAAGCAAAAUUCAAUCCAACAUAAAAAAUUUGUAUGACCAUCCACAAAUUCAAACCAUGUGUGGGGCAAUUACGAAUCAUUAAUUUCAUCCUCUCCCAUGCUUGUGCAACAUGCUCAUGAUCUAGUUGCUUAAAGUUCAUAAUAUCGUUUCUAAGAGAGAUGAUCUUAGCGGGAGGAAAAUACUUACGGAUAAAAGCAUCUUUGCACUUGUUCCAAGAAUCAAUACUAUUUUUAGGCAAAGAUGAAAACCAAGUUUUAGCACGAUCUCUAAGCGAAAACGGAAAUAGCUUCAAUUUAACAAUAUCAUUAUCCACAUGUUUCUUCUUUUGCAUAUCACACAAAUCAACAAAGCUAUUUAGAUGGGUAGCGGCAUCUUCACUACGAAGGCCAGAGAACAGAUCUUUCAUGACAAGCUUCAGCAAAGCAGUAUUAAUUUCACAAGAUUCAGCGUCGGUAAGAGGAGCAAUCGGAGUGCUAAUAAAAUCAUUAUUGUUGGUAUUGGAAAAAUCACACAAUUUAGUAUUAUCUUGAGCCAUCAUGACAAACAAUCUAACACACAAGCAAACAAGAGGCAGACAAAGAGAGGCGAACGAAAAGGAGGGCUAAUAAAACGGCAAGGGUGAUUUGGGGAGAGGAAAACGAGAGGCAAAUGGCAAAUAAUGUAAUGCGAGGGAUAAGAGUUUCUGAUAGGUACUUGGUAUGUCUUGACUUGUGCGUAGAUCUCCCCGGCAACGGCACCAGAAAUGGCUUGUUGAUGGGAGAUCAAAUCUUGACUUGACUUGGUGCAACCUCCCCGGCAACGGCGCCAAAAAUCCUUCUUGCUACCUCUUGAGCACUACGUUGGUUUUCCAUUGAAGAGGAAAGGGUGAUGCAGCAAAGUAGCGUAAGUAUUUCCCUCAGUUUUUGAGAACCAAGGUAUCAAUCCAGUAGGAGACUACACGCAAGUCCCUCGUACCUGCACAAACAAAUAAGAACCUCGCAACCAACGCGGUAAAGGGGUUGUCAAUACCUUCACGGUCACUUACGAGAGUGAGAUCUGAUAGAGAUAAUAAUAAUAAGAUAAAUAUUUUUGGUAUUUUUAUGAUAUAGAUUGAAAGUAAAGAUUGCAAAAUAAAAUAGAUUGGAAACUUGUAUGAUAAAAGAUAGACCCAGGGGCCAUAGGUUUCACUAGUGGCUUCCCUAACGAUAGCAUAAGUAUUGCGGUGGGUGAACAAAUUACUGUCGAGCAAUUGAUAGAAAAGUGCAUAAUUAUGAGAAUAUCUGGGCAUGAUCAUGUAUAUAGGCAUCACAUCCGCGACAAGUAGACCGAAAAGAUUCUGCAUCUACUACUAUUACUCCAUACAUCGACCGCUAUCCAGCAUGUAUCUAGAGUAUUAAGUUCAUAAGAACAAAGUAACGCAUUAGGCAAGAUGACAUGAUGUAGAGGGAUAAACUCAAGCAAUAUGAUAUAAACCCAAUCUUUUUAUCCUCGAUGGCAACAAUACAAUACGUGCCUUGCUGCCCCUGUUGUCACUGGGAAAGGACACCGCAAGAUUGAACCCAAAGCUAAGCACUUCUCCCAUUGCAAGAAAGAUCAAUCUAGUAGGCCAAACCAAACUGAUAAUUCGAGGAGACUUGCAAAGAUAACCAAUCAUACAUAAAAUAUUUCAGAGAAGAAUCAAAUAUUGUUCAUAGAUAAACUUGAUCAUAAACCCACAAUUCAUCGGAUAUCGACAAACACACCACAAAAAGAGUUACACCGAAUAGAUCUCCAAGAAGAUCAAGGAGAACAUUGUGUUGAGAUCCAAAGAAAGAGAAGAAGCCAUCUAGCUAAUAACUAUGGACCUGAAGGUCUGUGGUAAACUACUCACACAUCAUCGGAGAGGCUAUGGUGUUGAUGUAGAAGCCCUCCGUGAUCGAUUCCCCCUCCGGCGGAGCUUCGAAAAGGCCCCAAGAUAGGAUCUCUUGGGUACAGAAGGUUGCGGCGGUGGAAAUAGGGUUUCGUGGUGCUCCUGGAUGUUUUCGGGGUAUAUGGACAUAUAUAGGAGGAAGAAGUAGGUCGGUGGAGCCACGAGGGGCCCACGAGGGUGGGGGCGUGCCCAGGGGGUAGGCGCGCCUCCCUGCCUCGUGGCCUCCUCGUUGAUUUCUUGACGUUCACUCCAAGUCCUCUGGAUCACGUUUGUUCCAAAAAUAACUCUCCCGAAGGUUUCAUUCCGUUUGGAUUCCGUUUGAUAUGCCUUUUCUGCGAAACACUGAUAUAGGCAAAAAAACAACAACUUGCACUGGGCCUUGGGUUAGUAGGUUAGUCCCAAAAAUAAUAUAAAAGUGUAUAAAUAAGCCCAUUAACAUCCAAAACAGAUAAUAUAAUAGCAUGGAACAAUAAAAAAUUAUAGAUACGUUGGAGACGUAUCACUCAUCUCCUUGCAAUUUACAUUAUUUGUCAUUUUCCUUUUGUCCCCCCCCCCACUUCACAAAAAAUUGUCGUUUUAUUCACCCUCCUUUUUGCUCGCCGUUUUCUCGUCAGAUCUAUCUUUUUGCUUGCAAUCAUGAGUGACUUUGGUAUGGCAGAAACAGAUGAUGGCCUAACUCCUAAAAUUGGACGAUCUAGCAAUUUAGAUGCUAAAACUUUUAUUUAGGGGCAAGGGGAUGUUAUAGGAAAAGAACAUAUCCAAGAAUUUUUCAAUUGUGUUGGGAAUUUAAGUCUUGACUAGCAAAUAUGCCCGUGCUUUGCAACAGGAGAAACAAAAGCUGGCAUGCCCCUGGUGACUCCCCCGUGUUGCCACGUCCACUCUUCGCCAACGGCUUCAAUGGUUGUUGUCCACCUAUUUUCACAAUGAACAUGAUCAAUACCAAGGCCACGAGCUUAGUAACCACACUCUAGCAUCACUUCCAUAAGAUCCUUCUGCACCGACAUGCAGUUAUGUGGAUUUGUAAUGAUGGAGUAAGCCACCCAUGUCUCAUUACACUUCGUACCCUCUCAUACAGUACCAGGUUCAAAGCAAGUUCCAAAAACCAACGGGUAGGUUAGGGAGCACCAUGUGUUCCAAACUAUUUUGGGAAUUAAAUACUUUGGGUAGAGGAUAUUUAAAUAGGCUACAACCUGUGUAGCCAUGUCAGAGAGGUGAAAUACAACAUAGAUAAAAAUAAUCAUAUGCACUUGCUUAUUGUCGCGAUUACAUGAGGGAGGUGUAUUUGGGUUGGUUGCAUCCAUAAAGUGGCCGUGGAGAAGUUGAGUCCAAGAGGUGGAGAGCCUAAUGUUGCUUUGGAAGUGGACAUCCAUAAAGGUGUCAAGGAUAAAACCACAUUUUUGACCUUGAUACAUAUGUACCUUAUAUUGAUAGAAUUGGUUCGUCCCAUCUCCCAAGUAUAAUGCAAUUCUUGGCAUUUAAUACACACAUAAAGAAACAACUAGGAUAAUAUGGCAUCACAUGUAUAAUAUAAAUAUAAAUGCAAAAACAGAUAAACUAUAUUGGAUCCUUUCAUUAUUAAAAAAAGAGCCAAGUAUGUUUUCACAAAAACCAACAAACAUGCUGGUAAGUAGUAAUCUCAAGGAUAUUUUAUAAUCUUACGUUGAGAAAACUUCACAAAAUAAAUAUUAUUAGUGGAAGUCGUAGCUUUAUCUUAGCUGGUUGAUAUGAUUGCCUUAAUGACACUUAUCUUGGUCCAUUUUUUGUUUUGAGAGGUGCCUUGGUUAGUUCUACUAUUGGAAUAAAACCUACCAGGUGUUUAGGAUCCAUAAGCAAUGUAAAAUAAAAUUGCAAGAUAGCAACAAUAUUUAGUCGUGAAUGUAAUUAAUACUCAUGCCAUAAAAAAAGGAUGGAAUCACCUGCCAAGGAGCCAUGCACCAUAAAAAUCAGUAAAUUUAAGAGAAUCACUACCCAUAAGGCCAUAACGAAAGCACAUGCAGAUUAAUAAUCAAACUCUUAGGAUGGUUUAUUUAGCACGUACAUGGACCAAACAUCGAUGAUGCAUUGACACAGGGGUUGUUACUGUUGGGGACAGUGUAGGUGGAAGGGUCAAGGAGCGAUGACUCGUCAAUAAACUAAUCAACGUAAGUAGUGCUUCAGCAGACCUAUAGGGUGUAGUGCUACUCCAGCGACAACUGAACUCGAAAUAUUCCUGUGAGUUUCUCCACACGGCAACCUACCCGACGGCUGAACUUGAAAUAUUCUUGUGAGUUUCUCCACCCGGCAACCUGCCCGACAAGGGGAACAGUCCUGAUCUGCUUCAAACGGAUGGCACCAGGUGUCACCUCCUUCGUUGAAUCCACAAACGUGAGAAAGAUUGGUUACCUUGUUCACUUUCGGAUGAUGACAACUAAAUCUUGUAGAUCAAACGGAUACCAAACUUUUCCAUCUAGCAUGUGAGAUCCGGAGGAGAGAGCAUCGAGGCUUGAAUACAAAGACACAUCGAGGGGAUAAUAAGGGCAGCAACGUAUGAUCUAUCACUAGAGACGAUCCAGCUCUUGUUGUUACUGGAGUUGAUCGAGUCGAGGAGGACGUGAGCAUGGCAGCGGACAUACCCAUCGGGAGAGAUCGACGCAACCGGCUUCGAGUAACAGUGUGGUUGAUCGAGAGGAAGACCAAGGACGUGUUUUCUCGCCUCGGCGCAAUUCUUCCUCCAUGCGAGAUCUCACAUAGGUAGGAGAGCAUGUGACAGUGUGGGCUUUAUCUUUGUGGGCCUCGGCGAGGCUCUUCCUGCAUGGAAGCCAUGGCAGCCGUCAUCGUGCUUUUUCGACGCUCUCGCGAGGCCGCACUAAUCUGAAUCACCCGGGUUCGGCUCUCGUGCUGGGAGCCCUGCACGCAUUAUGCUGCAGGGUCAAUAGGGAUCCAACACCUGUCUUGGUAGGUCCACCACUGGAAAUAAUAAGACAUAUCUUUAUUUUUCUUAUUAAUUAACUUCCUUUCCCAAAUUGUCGGCAGCAAGACGGGGCCGUUGCGGCCUGCCUCCGGUGUGCUCAAGCUCAGGCCAAGGCCGGUCGGCCCGCAUCUACCGUCACAUAUAUCGCCGUUGUCCAUCUCGGCUAACCCGCUCCUUGGGAGAAGGUGGAACCGCAGGUGUGCGGAUGGUCAGCUAGAUGCCUGGUACAGUAGGGCGUGGGAACGGUCAUCGCCGACGAUGCCACAUGAGAUUGUGCGAGUGCAGUUCAAAAUGGGAGAUCGAUGUUCAUUACUAGGCAUGUUGGGUCAGUCUCCCGCUAAAUGAUUGGUCGUUCAGUACUGCUUCAUCUAACCUCUAAAGGAACUCGAUAGGUUCAAAUUAGUCUAGCUUGGGCAUGGCUUGGGCCUGCCGGAGGCAUGCGGCUCUAGCGGUGACAACUCCGCCGGCCACGAAAACCACCUGGGUCAGCGACCUCACCUCUUGGAGCUCAACUUAGCGAAGCCAUGGCUGCCAAGGAGUUCGUCGGGGAUAAGGUAAGGGAAACGAUUUUCAAUUAAUUUAGAGAAUAGAUAUAUAAUUAUUUUUCAGUGGUGGACCUACCAGGACAGGUGUUGGAUCCCUAUUGGCCCUGCAGCAUAAUGCGUGCAGGGCUCCCAGCACGAGAGCCGAGCCCGAAUCACCCGCGAGAUCGGCCUUGGUUUUUGCCUGCUCGUCCGACGACUCAUCUGCUGCCUGGUCGCCUUCCCUCCCGGGCGUAUUAUUUAUGAGAGGUUUUAGGAAGGUUUGACUCUGUGUCCUGAUCAUGAGGGAGAUGUACGGAAGGAUUGAUCUCUUUUUUGUGUGGAAAAUGAUGGAGAACCGAUUCCUUUCCUUUUUAGUGGAAGAAACGAUUGGUUCCCACAAUUUUAAAACUACGAUUGAUUUCCUUUUUUUAUAACUAUGACUACAAUUGGUUUCCUAGUAUACGACUUGACACAUACAUGUACGUUCCGUGAGCGUGAAGAGGCUGGCCAGGUGCCUACGUGAAGGUUUUCUUUCCUUGCGUGUGUCCGGGUUUUUUUCCUUCUUUUUUAGAACUGCUUUUAAAUCUCAGCCCUCAAAUCUCUAUGGUUAACAUAAAAUUAACAGAUACAAAAGGAUGACUUAUGAAGAACUAUGAAAGCAUCCGUCCUUUAAUAUUAGGUAAAGAUGAUGCUCCUAUUCUUAAGAGGACAAAAUCUUAUGCAGAAGCUAUUUCAGCACUAGUUCUAAAACUUGAAAGUAAAUUUAUCUAUACCCGUCCUACUUUGCAGAGGUUAUUUUUUGAGCUACCUGUUAUAAAGAAUCCUAAAGCUAAAAAGUUAGCCACCCUUGUUCUUAUGAAUGAAUUUGAUUACAUAAUACGGGCAGCUAGAGAUUUUUUUUGAUUUCUAUGGUAUGAAUCGCGAAAAACUGGUCAUAGAUGAAAUUCUUUAUAAUAGUGAUUAUGCUCUAAUACAUUUGCUUGGGGACAAUCAAAUAUUUGAUGAGAAUCUUAAAAAAGUAAGUCCCUAUUUUAGAUAUAAUCCAACAAGUUUUCAAUGAUGUUAACCAACACUAUUCUUGGAUAUUUGCCGGAAAUAAAAAAUGAUGUGAUGAUAAGCAACUUGACAGUGCUAAAGUUUGUAUGGAUAAGAUGUUCUAUGUUGUCUUUACAAAACCCCUUCACAAGGACACCUCUAAGUAAAAUAGAAACAAAGAUGACAACACUUGAUCCUUUGCAUUUUGCCUAGCUAGGGGCAUAAAACAAUAACGCUUGUUGGGAGGCAACCAAUUGAAUAAAAUUUAUUUUUCUUUUUUUCUUUCUGUUCUUGAGUGUUUGCACAAUUAUGCUACUAUUAUGAUUGUGUUUUUUGUGUUUUAGUUAGUGUUUAUGCCAAGUAAAGCCUUUAGGAUCUUGUUGGGUGAUAGUUGAUUUGAUCUUCCUGAAAAACAGAAAUUUUUAUGCCCAGAAAAAUAAUUUUCAUUUUUAACAGAAGCGCGAUAAAAUACUGAUUAUUUUUAUAGAAGAUUAAUAUACAAAUUUCUCACGUUGUCCUAAUUUUUUAGAAUUUUUUGAGUUACAUAAGUAUUCGAAAUCUCCAGAUUGCCACAAACUGUUCUGUUUUUGACAGAUUUUAUUUUCUUUGCGUUGUGUGCUUGUUUUGAUGAUUCUAUGGUUUUCUUUGAAGAGUUUUUGCCAUAGAAAAGUUGGAAUACAGUAGAUAUAAUGCAAAAAUAAAAUAUGUAUGGGUUUGCAACAGUACUUAUAGUAGUGAUUUGCUUUCUUAUGCUAACGAAUCUCAAGAAGGUUUUGUUGAGUUUUGUGUGAUUGAAGUUUUCAAGUUUCGAAUGACUUUACGAUGGAUGAAUGAAUAAGGAUUAGCAAAAGGCUAAGCUUGGGGAUUCCCAUGGCACCCCAAGAUAAUAUUGUAUCAAGCAACUAAGCUUGGGGAUGCCCAGAGUGGCAUCCCCUCUUUCUUCUAACAACCAUCGGUAUUGUACUUGAAACUAUAUUUUUAUUUGUCACAUAUUUAUGAGUUUUGCUUGGAGCGUCUUGUAUGAUAUGAGUCUUUGCUUGUUUUACUUUGUGUUCUUAGUCAUGAAUCCUUGCCGGACACACCUCUUUGAGAGAGCCAAAUUUAUGCUAUGACUUGUUAGAGUUGCUCUCUAUGCUCCACUUAAAUUUUUAUGAGCUAUGGAAUUGCUCUAGUGCUUCACUUAUAUCUUUUUGAGCAUAGUGUGCUUUAGUAUUUUUGAAUAAAUUCUCUCAUGAUUCACUUAGAUUUGCUUGAGAGUUAGUAAAUGUUUUAAGAAAUUCUCUCUUGCUUCACUUAAAUUAUUUUGAGAGAAGAAAAAAAAUUAUGCUCAUGUUCUUCACUUAGAUUUGUUUGAGCUAUCAAAAGCAACAUAUGAAAUUAGUCCGGAAGUGAUAGAUAUCCAAGGAGGAUAUAAUAAAAACUUUCAUGAAGAUCAUUGGACAAAACAAACUUGAUUCCUUGUAAUAGUUUUGAGAUAUGUUGAUAUAAUAUGUGAGUCAUGUUGAUGAGUAAUUAUGCUUUAGUAAGAAUAUUGGUGUUAAGGUUUGUGAUUCCCUAUGCAAGCAUGAAAGUCAAUAGUUAUGCAAUGAAAUUACAUCAUACUUGUGGUGCAAUAUUCGGUGUUAGUUAUGCUUAAUGCUUGCUUAUGAGAUUUUUCGUUUUUUGGAUGGUCGCUUCUCAAUCUUUUGCUAGCCUUCAUUUGCACUAAGUAUGAUCACUACUUGUGCAUCCAAAAUCCUUUAAAUCAGUUUUGCCAUAUGAGUCCACUAUACCUACCUAUACGCGGUAUUAUUUUGCCGUUCUAAGCAUUGUGUGUGCCAUCUCUAAUUUUCAAAAUAAAUUUCUCAUUUGUGUGCUCGUACCACUCAUGAAACGGUAGGGGGUGGCUGAUAUAUUUCCAUGUUAGAUGUGUUAUUCUCAAGAUGAGUGUUUAUUCACUUGUCAUUGCAUGAGAGUACGAUAAAGGUAUCAGGGAUGCCCAGUCCCGAAAUGAAAAAUGAAUUUACUUUAUGUUGUCAAAUAAUAAAUUCCUUGGAAAGUGUUGGUAUGGAAGGCACCCUAGGAUACAGUUAGCCAUGGAAAGUGAAAGUAUGGUGGAAAAAGGAAUAAACUUUUUUUUAUGUUUGGGAACCGCCUAUGAUAUAUCUAGCAUGGAAAGUAUUGGGAACUACUCGAUCAUUUUCGUUGACAGGAAAAGCAUGCCUCCCAAAAUGUUUUAUCUCUAUCUUUUUCGCUUUGAGCUCUGACACCUCUACAAAUCCCUACUUCCCUCUGCGAAGGGCCUUUCUAUUUACUUUAUGCAAUUUUUAUUUUUAUUUGAGUCUCCAUCUUCUCUUCUAAAGCACCAACUAAGGGGCACUAUGAUCGUACUUGAGCAUUGGGUGUAGCUAAUAUGCGGGUGUGUUUCAUGAAUGGAUCAAUGAUUGAGCAUAAUGGGCUAUGGAUAACUUGCUUUAGCGUUGAUAUUUUGAAAGACAUGCUUGCUUGUUGAUAUGCUUGAGUAUUAAAGUCCUCAUGUCAAAACUAGACUAUUGCUUUGAACCAUAUAAAAGUCCAAUUGUCCAUGCUAUAAAAGAAAGAAUAUGUGAUGAACAUAGGCACCAUUCCACAUCAAAAAUUAUGUUUUUAUCAUUUACCUACUCGAGGACGAGCAGGAAUUAAGUUUGGGGAUGUUGAUAUGUCUUCAACGUAUCUAUAAUUUUUGAUUAUUCCAUGCUGUUUAUAUUAUCAUUCUUGGAUGUUUUACAAUCAUUUUAUAAUCAUUUUAUAUCAUUUUUUGGUACUAACCUAUUGACAUAGCGCUAAGUGCCAGUUGUUGUUUUUUGCUUGUUUUUUACAUCGUAGAAAAUUAAUAUCAAGCGGAGUCCAAACACAGCGAAAGUUUUUGUGAAUUAUUAUGGACCAGAAGACACCCAAUGGGUCGGAGAAGCAUCUGGGGGUGUCCCGAGGGGGGCACAACCCACCAGGGCGCGCCCGGGCCCCAGAGAGCCCAGGUGGGUUGUGCCCACCUCGGUGGCCUCCCGCACCGCCUCUUUGCUCUAUAAAUACCCCAAUAUUUCAGAAACCCUAGGGGACUCGACGAAAAAUCAAUUCCAGCCGCCGCAAGUUCCAGAAACACCAGAUCCAAUCUAGACACCAUCACGGAGGGGUUCAUCAUCCUCAUUGGUGCCUCUCCGAUGAUGCAUGAGUAAUCUUUUGUAGACCUUCGGGUCUGUAGUUAGUAGCUAGAUGGCUUCCUCUCUCUCUCUUUUGAUUCUCAAUACAAUGGUCUCUUCGAGAUCCAUAUGAUGUAACUCUUUUUUAGGUGUGUUUGUUGGGAUCCGAUGAACUUUGAGUUUAUGAUCAGAUCUAUGUUUUUAUCCACGAAAGUUAUUUGAGUCUUUUGAUCUCUUAUAUGCAUGAUUAGUUAUAGCCUCAUAUUUCUUCUCCGAUAUUUGGGUUUUGUUUGGCCAAGUUGAUCUAUUUAUCUUGCAACAUGAAGAUGUGCUUUGCGAUGUGUUCGAUCUUACUGUGCUUGAUCCCAGUGACAAAAGAGGAACGGACACGUAUGUAUCGUUACUAUUAAGGAUAACAAGAUGGGGUCUAUUUCUACAUAAAUAGAUCUUGUCUACAUCAUGUCAUCGUUCUUAUUGCAUUACUCUAUUUCUUCAUGAACUUAAUACAUUAGAUGCAUGCUCGAUAGCGGUCGAUGUGUGGAGUAAUACUAGUAGAUGCAGGCAGGAGUCGGUCUACUAAUCUUGGACGUGGUGCCUAUAUAAUGAUCAUUGCCUAGAUAUCGUUGUAACAUCCCAAAUUUGCAAUUUGGAAUGUUAUACAUUAGAGCAUCAUUGCAUAUCAUAUUUUAUUAUAUUUUUGCUUGAUCUUAGAAAUUUUACGCAACUCAAGGACCUACGGAGAGAGUUGGGAAUUUCAUUAUUUUCAUAUUUGAGUUUUCUCGAAUUUUGAAAAGAGGAUCGUUUGAUUUUAAUUAUUUUCUCUUCGACUAUUUAUUUUAUAAAAAUAAAAGAGAGAGAGGAUAAAAUGACUUCCUCAAAUUAGAGAACUAUCGAAGAUUUAAUAUUAAAACCAAAUAAGAUUUUUAUUCAGAGUUUUAUCGCUAUUUUAUUUGAACUAGCAAAAGAGCCCGUGCGUUGCAACGGGAGAGAAAACAUAACACACGCUCUUAACUCAACAACCAUCACUCAAGACCACAAUUGGUCCAUCUCCUUUAUUUUUGCGAGGCAUCAUAUUUGUGUUGCCGCUUAUCCUCCUUCUCACCCUCGCCAGCGAUGGCCUCGGUGUUCACACAAAACAACAAAAAAUGUGUGUUGAAUAUGGUUAAUCCUAAGGUGUCUCUCUCUCCCUCUCUCCUCCCUCUCCCUCUCUCUCUCUCUUCCUCUCUCUCUCUCACUCACUCUCGCGAUGGGAAAUCUGUUGUUUUCCCCUGCAAAAUUUUUCAGAGAUAUGCAUGUGUAGUUAUCGAUGUUUUCUUUUCCAUAUAUGGUCAUAGCGGGGUGUUUAUUUUCAAUCCGGAUUGCCGCCGGUAUGAAAAAAAAUCUUGCGCUAUAAAUUAUAAGUUUGCUUCCAUAAAAAUAUUUUAAAAAUAUUUAAUAGGUACAAUUAACAUCAUAUUUAGGUUCCACACAUUUUUCUAAUAAAAUUUCAUAUAUAGUAUGUUAAAAAUCAAAGUUACGGUUUAAAAGAUACAGAUAAUUUAGAAAAUCAUUUGGUUUGACUCAAAUAUAUUAAAAAAAAUAAUAUUUAAAAAUACUUAACAGGUAAAAUAAUCUCAUAUUCAUAUUCUACAUAUUUUUCUAAUUAAAUUUCAUAUAUAACAUGUUUAAAUCGGAGUUACGGUUUAAAAGAUAUAGAUGAUUUUAAAAAGCAUUUGUUUGACUUAAAUAUAAUCUGCGGAUGAAUUACCUAAAACAUCAGGGGGAUUUUCAAAAAUGUAAAAUAAAGGUUCGGGUAUGACUUAAAUCCGGACGGCGGGUUGAUUUGAAGAAAAGAAAGGGACUUUUGUGUAAAAUACGAAAAUAACGAUUCAUUUUAACUUAAAACAGGACUGCGAGUUGAAUUCUCUGAAAUAAAGGGACUUUUCUGAAAAAUACCAUGACAGACGAAAGAAAUUCAAUUUGCUUUAUUAUUAGGUAAAGAUUAGGAAAAAUAUGGGUUUUUCAAAGUUGCAUUUUAGGCCCAAAUAAAUGUUCACGAGUUUUAUCAUUGUUUUAUUUGAAUUAGGGAAAAUAUGUGUUUUUCAAAGUUGCAUUUUAGGUCCAAAUAAAUGUUCACCUUGUCCGGCUUAUUUUUAGAGGACGGGAAAAUUUUAUUUUGGGAUUUUUGGAGUCCGUUUAGUAUUUCUUUUCUUUCUUUUUCUGCACGUCGAAAUUAUUCGUUAAAAAAUGAACUGACUCCGGGCCGUACCCGAGCGGGACUCCUCCCGGGGGGCCUUUAUAAGCCGCCGCCCCCGAGCGUCGAAAGCCCGCAGCCGCUGCCGAAGCCCACCCGCGCCCUAACCCUAACCCUAGCCGCCGCCCCCGAGCGCCGAAAGCCCGCAGCCGCCGUCGAAGCCCACCCGCGCCCCAACCCUAACCCUAGCCGCCGCCGCUCGCACCGCCACCGCCACGCGCUGCCGCCGCAGACAGUGAACGUCCGUUCGUUAGCCUGUUCGUCAGUUUUUCUUUUUCUCGGAUUUUCCGCGAUUAUUUUUCUAUCGCGAUUUCUGAUCCGAUUUUCGUUUUAGUAUAACUUUUCGCUCGUUUAUCAGAAUCAGGCGAUUCAAGCGUCUAGAGUUUCAUUUCGAAACCCUCUUUCCGUUUAACCAACUUGAACAAGAUUUUGAUACAGUAAAAUUUGACCUUAGUCCAGAUUAGUAAUCGGAUAUUGUUUCUUUCGCAGUUUGAGUUUUGUUGCUCCGUUUGAUUUGAUUCUUUUUGCAAACCGGAGUUCUUAAGUUGAACUUUCUGGUUAGAUCUCUUACUUGAGUUUUACCUGUACGUCUUGUUUUAUUGCUUAUUGUAUGCUUGUUUGAUUAUGAUAGAGUACCCGGAGUGCGAAGCGUGCUACAUCGAGUCUCUAGGUUUUGCGGAUCAUCAGCAAGGCAAGUAACACUUUGAUCAUAUCCCUUCAUCACCCAGCUUUUAUGCAUUAGUUUCACCCUCAAACAUUGCAUGGUUAGGAUUUGAUAACAUGUGGGUUUUGGGAAGUAGAUGAGGUGGUACCUAUUCACCUGUUUAUUAUCAAACCCUUGGGAGUUACUUCUACGUAUUGCUUAUAUUGCCAUGCUAUGCUCGUAGACGUGGUUUGGAUGAGUGAAACCAUGACAGAUGUGAGAUUGUUAAUUAAUGGUUCAACUUAAGGUGGCAACUUUAAAUACACAUCUGGGUGGAUUGCUUGUCGGGCACCUGGAGAAUCCAGUGUUGUCCUAGGAUAUCCCGGAGUACCCGUGUGAUAAUCCUAAGGUCCGCCACCCAGGCUCAAAGGAAACUUAGAUAUUUCAUGCUAGAAACUUCCAUGUGCAGCCACAAGCUAUUAUAGGCUCUAGCAUAGUUGAGUAAGUUGCGUGAAGCUCUUGAAGAGGUAGACUAGCAGAUGUAGUGGGUUGUAGGUGGUAUAGUCUAUCCGAAGUAGAGAGUUAAUGCUUCUAAAAGACAGUGUCUCGGUCAUCCGUUUCUCAAACAUCAUGCAGUGCGAGAAAUCCAAUGAAGGAGAUCGAGUCUUGUGGGGAAAAGUGUGCAAACCUCUGCAGAGUGUACAAACUAAUCAUGGUUAAUUGUGUCCCCGAUUAUGGACAUCUUAAGUAUCUAGUACUUGGAUUAUCAUAUGUAUCUCAUCACUCUACACUAAUAUUGUUGGGUUGGUAAUUACUUUUAAUUGGGAUUGAGUUGGAGGAACCUUCUCAAUGAUGUUUCAACUACCAUGGUAGUUAAAUAAAAUCUAUUCCUUUGUUGUAGGGAAAAAUUGGCUUUUCGCAAAACUAUAACCGUAGAGCUUUCCACCAGCCAAAUAUGCAUAUAGUGAUAGCAUUAUUUUUGUUCUUUCUCUACUGUGUUACAUUGCCAGCAUAUUCCAUGUGCUGACCCGUUUUUGGGCUGCAACGUAUUAUGUGUUGGGGAACGUUGCAGAAAACAAAAAAUUUCCUACGGUUUCACCAAGAUCCAUCUAGGAGUUCAUCUAGCAACGAGUGAUCGGAUUGCAUCUACAUACCUUUGUAGAUCACGCGCGGAAGCGUUCAAAGAACGGGGAUGAGGAAGGCGUACUCGACGUGAUCCAAAUCACCGAAGAUCCUAGCGCCGAACGAACGGCACCUCCGCGUUCAACACACGUACGGUCAGCGUAACGUCUCCUCCUUCUUGAUCCAGCAAGGGGGAAGAAGAGGGUGAGGAAGAUGGCUCCAGCAGCAGCACGACGGCGUGGUGGUGGUGGAGCUGCAGUACUCCGGCAGGGCUUCGCCAAGCUCUAUGGAGGAGGAGAAUGUGUUGGAGAGGGAGAGGGAGGCACCAAAGGCGUGGUUUGAGAGGCCCUCCUUCCCCCACUAUAUAUAGGGAGCCUAGGGGGGCGCCGGCCCUAGGAGAUGCAAUCUCCUAGGGGGGCGGCGGCCAAGGGAGGAAUCCCUCCUCCCCAAGGCACCUAGGAGGUGCCUUCCCCCUUUAGGACUCUUCCUUUCCUUAUCUCUUGGCGCAUGGGACUCUUGGGGCUGGUGCCCUUGGCCCAUAUAGGCCAAGGCGCACACCCCUACAGCCCAUGUGGCCCCCCCGGGGCAGGUGGCCCCACCCGGUGGACCCCCGGGACCCUUCCGGUGGUCCCAAUACAAUACGGUGACCCCGAAACUUGUCCCGACGGCCGAAAUAGCACUUCCUAUAUAUAAUUAUUUACCUCCGGACCAUUCCGGAACUCCUCGUGACGUCCGGGAUCUCAUCCGGGACUCCGAACAACAUUCGGGUUACUGCAUAUACAUAUCCCUACAACCCUAGCGUCACCGAACCUUAAGUGUGUAGACCCUACGGGUUCGGGAGACAUGUAGACAUGACCGAGAUCGCUCUCCGGUCAAUAACCAACAGCGGGAUUUGGAUACCCAUGUUGGCUCCCACAUGCUCCUCGAUGAUCUCAUCGGAUGAACCACGAUGUCGAGGAUUCAAGCAAUCCCGUAUACAAUUCCCUUUGUCAAUCGGUAUGUUACUUGCCCGAGAUUCGAUCGUUGGUAUCCCAAUACCUCGUUCAAUCUCUUUACCGGCAAGUCACUUUACUCGUACCGUAAUGCAUGAUCCCGUGACCAGACACUUGCUCACUUUGAGCUCAUAAUGAUGAUGUAUUACUGAGUGGGCCCAGUGAUACCUCUCCGUCAUACGGAGUGACAAAUCCCAGUCUUGAUCCGUGUCAACCCAACAGACACUUUCGGAGAUACCCGUAGUAUACCUUUAUAGUCACCCAGUUACGUUGCGAUGUUUGGUACACCCAAAGCACUCCCACGGUAUCCGGGAGUUACACGAUCUCAUGGUCUAAGGAAAAGAUACUUGACAUUGGAAAAACUCUAGCAAACGAACUAUACGAUCUUAUGCUAUGUUUAGGAUUGGGUCUUGUCCAUCACAUCAUUAUCCUAAUGAUGUGAUCUCGUUAUCAAUGACAUCCAAUGUCCAUAGUCAGGAAACCAUGACUAUCUAUUGAUCAACGAGCCAGUCAACUAGAGGCUUACUAGGGACAUGUUGGUGUCUAUUAUUCACACAUGUAUUACGAUUUCCGGAUAACACAAUUAUAGCAUGAAUAAAGACAAUUAUCAUGAACAAGGAAAUAUAAUAAUAAUGCUUUUAUUAUUGCCUCUAGGGCAUAUUUCCAACAGUCUCCCACUUGCACUAGAGUCAAUAAUCUAGUUACAUUGUGAUGUAUCGAACACCCAUGGAAUUCUGGUGUUGAUCAUGUUUUGCUCUAGGGAGAGGUUUAGUCAACGGAUCUGCUACAUUCAGGUCCGUAUGUACUUUACAAAUAUCUAUGUCUCCAUCUUGAACAUUUUCACGAAUGGAGUUGAAGCGACGCUUGAUGUGCCUGGUCUUCUUGUGAAACCUGGGCUCCUUGGCAAGUGCAAUAGCUCCAGUGUUGUCACAGAAGAGUUUGAUUGGCCUCGACGCAUUGGGUAUGACUCCUAGGUCGGUGAUGAACUCCUUCACCCAAAUUGCUUCAUGCACUGCCUCUGAGGCUGCCAUGUACUCCGCUUCACAUGUAGAUCCCGCCACGACGCUCUGCUUGCAACUGCACCAGCUUACUGCCCCACCAUUCAAAAUAUACACGUAUCCGGUUUGUGACUUAGAGUCAUCUAGAUCUGUGUCGAAGCUAGCGUCGACGUAACCUUUUACGACGAUCUCUUCGUCACCUCCAUAAAUGAGAAACAUUUCCUUAGUCCUUUUCAGGUACUUCAGGAUAUUCUUGACCGCUGUCCAGUGUUCCUUGCCGGGAUUACUUUGGUACCUACCUACCAAACUUACGACAAGGUUUACAUCAGGUCUGGUACACAGCAUGGCAUACAUAAUAGAACCUAUGGCUGAGGCAUAGGGGAUGACACUCAUCUCUUCUAUAUCUUCUGUCGUGGUCGGACAUUGAGCCGAGCUCAAUUUCACACCUUGUAACACAAGCAAGAACCCCUUCUUAGACUGAUCCAUAUUAAAUUUCUUCAAUAUCUUAUCAAGGUAUGUGCUUUGUGAAAGACCUAUGAGGCGUCUUGAUCUAUCUCUAUAGAUCUUGAUGCCUAAUAUAUAUGCAGCUUCUCCAAGGUCCUUCAUUGAAAAACUCUUAUUCAAGUAGGCCUUAAUGUUGUCCAAGAGUUCUAUAUCAUUUCCCAUCAAAAGUAUGUCAUCUACAUAUAAUAUGAGAAAUGCUACAGAGCUCCCACUCACUUUCUUGUAAACACAGGCUUCUCCAUAAGUCUGCGUAAACCCAAACGCUUUGAUCAUCUCAUCAAAGCGAAUGUUCCAACUCCGAGAUGCUUGCACCAGCCCAUAAAUCGAGCGUUGGAGCUUGCACACCUUGUCAGCAUUCUUAGGAUCGACAAAACCUUCCGGCUGCAUCAUAUACAAUUCUUCCUUAAGGAAACCAUUAAGGAAUGCCGUUUUGACAUCUAUUUGCCAUAUCUCAUAAUCAUAGAAUGCGGCAAUUGCUAACAUGAUUCGGACGGACUUUAGCUUCGCUACCGGUGAGAAAGUCUCAUCGUAGUCAACCCCUUGAACUUGUCGAUAACCCUUAGAGACAAGCCGAGCUUUAUAGAUGGUCACAUUACCAUCCGCAUCCGUCUUCUUCUUAAAGAUCCAUUUAUUUUCUAUGGCUCGCCGCUCAACGGGCAAGUCAGUCAAAGUCCAUACUUCAUUUUCAUACAUGGAUCCUAUCUCGGAUUUCAUGGCUUCUAGCCAUUUGUCGGAAUUCGGGCCCGCCAUCGCUUCUUCAUAGUUCGAAGGUUCACCGUUGUCUAACAACAUGAUUUCCAAGACAGGGUUGCUGUACCACUCUGGUGCGGAACGUGUCCUUGUGGACCUUCGAAUUUCAGUAGGAGCUUGAUCAGAAGUAUCUUGAUCAUCAUCAUUAACUUCCUCUCUAGUCGGUGCAGGCACCUCAGGAACAUUUUCUUGAGUUGCGCCAUUUUCCGGUUCAAGAGGUAAUACUUCAUCAAGUUCUACUUUCCUCCCACUUACUUCUUUCAAGAGAAACUCUUUCUCCAGAAAGGAUCCAUUCUUGGCAACAAAGAUCUUGCCUUCGGAUCUGAGGUAGAAGGUAUACCCAAUAGUUUCUUUAGGAUAUCCUAUGAAGACGCAUUUUUCCGACUUGGGUUCGAGCUUUUCAGGUUGAAGUUUCUUGACAUAAGCAUCGCAUCCCCAAACUUUUAGAAACGACAGCUUAGGUUUCUUUACAAACCAUAAUUCAUACGGUGUCGUCUCAACGGAUUUCGACGGAGCCCUAUUUAAAGUGAAUGCGGAAGUCUCUAAAGCAUAGCCCCAAAAAGAUAGCGGUAAAUUGGUAAGAGACAUCAUAGAUCGCACCAUAUCUAACAGAGUGCGAUUACGACGUUCGGACACACCAUUACACUGAGGUGUUCCAGGUGGCGUGAGUUGUGAAACUAUUCUACAUUUUCUUAAGUGUGUGCCAAACUCGUGACUCAAGUAUUCUCCUCCACGAUCUGAUCGCAGGAACUUGAUUUUCCUGUCACGUUGAUUCUCAACCUCACUCUGAAAUUCUUUGAACUUUUCAAAGGUCUUAGAAUUGUGUUUCAUUAAGUAGACAUACCCAUAUCUACUCAAGUCAUCCGUGAGUGUGAGAACAUAACGAUAGCCACCGCGAGCCUCAACACUCAUUGGACCGCACACAUCAGUAUGUAUGAUUUCCAAUAAGUUGGUUGCUCGCUCCAUUGUUCCUGAGAACGGAGUCUUGGUCAUUUUACCCAUGAGGCAUGGUUCACAUGUGUCAAAUGAUUCGUAAUCAAGAGACUCUAAAAGUCCAUCAGCAUGGAGCUUCUUCAUGCGUUUGACACCUAUGUGACCAAGGCGGCAGUGCCACAAGUAUGUGGGACUAUCAUUAUCAAUCUUACGUCUUUUGGUACUCACACUAUGAAUAUGUGUAGCAUUACGCUCGAGAUUCAUUAAGAAUAAACCAUUCACCAUCGGAGCAUGACCAUAAAACAUAUCUCUCAUAUAAAUAGAACAACCAUUAUUCUUGGAUUUAAAUGAGUAGCCAUCUCGAAUUAAACGAGAUCCUGAUACAAUGUUCAUGCUCAAAGCUAGCACUAAAUAACAAUUAUUAAGGUUUAAAACUAAUCCCGAAGGUAAAUGUAGAGGUAGCGUGCCGACGACGAUCACAUUGACCUUGGAACCAUUCCUGACGCGCAUCGUCACCUCGUCCUUCGCCAGUCUCCGCUUAUUCCGCAGCUCCUGUUUUGAGUUACAAAUGUGAGCAACUGCACCGGUAUCAUAUACCCAGGAGCUACUACGAGUACUGGUAAGGUACACAUCAAUUACAUGUAUAUCACAUAUACCUUUUGUUUUGCCGGCCUUCUUGUCUGCUAAGUAUUUGGGGCAGUUCCGCUUCCAGUGCCCACUUCCCUUGCAAUAAAAGCACUCAAUCUCGGGCUUGGGUCCAUUCUUUGGCUUCUUCCCGGUAGCUUGCUUACCGGGCGCGGCAACUCCCUUGCCGUCCUUCUUGAAGUUCUUCUUACCCUUGCCUUUCUUGAACUUAGUGGUUUUAUUCACCAUCAACACUUGAUGUUCCUUUUUGACUUCUACCUCUGCUGAUUUCAGCAUUGCAAAUACCUCAGGAAUGGUCUUUUCCAUCCCCUGCAUAUUGAAGUUCAUCACAAAGCUCUUGUAGCUUGGUGGAAGCGACUGGAGGAUUCUGUCAAUGACCGCGUCAUCCGGGAGAUUAACUCCCAGCUGAGUCAAUCGGUUAUGUAACCCAGACAUUGUGAGUAUGUGCUCACUGACAGAACUAUUUUCCUCCAUCUUACAGCUGAAGAACUUGUCGGAGACUUCAUAUCUCUCGACCCGGGCAUGAGCUUGGAAAACCAUUUUCAGCUCUUCAAACAUCUCAUAUGCUCCAUGUCUCUCAAAACGUUUUUGGAGCCCCGGUUCUAAGCUGUAAAGCAUGCCGCACUGAACGAGGGAGUAAUCAUCAGCACGUGUCUGCCAGAGCGUUCAUAACGUCUUGGUUCUGUGGGACGGGUGGGUCACCUAGUGGUGCUUGUAGGACGUAAUCUUUCUUGGCAGCUAUGAGGAUGAUCCUCAGGUUCCAGACCCAGUCCGUGUAGUUGCUGCCAUCGUCUUUCAGCUUGGUUUUCUCUAGGAACGCGUUGAAGUUGAGGACUACAUUGGCCAUUUGAUCUACAAGACAUAUUGUAAAUAUUUUAGACUAAGUUCAUGAUAAUUAAGUUCAUCUAAUCAAAUUAUUUAAUGAACUCCCACUUAGAUAGACAUCCCUCCAGUAAUCUAAGUAUAACAUGAUCCGAGUUAACUAGGCCGUGUCUGAUCAUCACGUGAGACGGACUAGUCAACAUCGGUGAACAUCUUCAUGUUGAUCGUAUCUUCUAUACGACUCAUGCUCAAUCUUUCGGUCUUCUGUGUUCCGAGGCCAUGUAUGUACAUGCUAGGCUCGUCAAGUCAACCUAAGUGUUUGCAUGUGUAAAUCUGUCUUACACCCGUUGUAUGUGAACGUUGGAAUCUAACACCCGAUCAUCACGUGGUGCUUCGAAACAACGAACUGUCGCAACGGUGCACAGUUAGGGGGAACACUUUCUUGAAAUUAUUAUGAGGGAUCAUCUUAUUUACUACCGUCGUUCUAAGCAAACAAGAUGCAAAAAUAUGAUAAACAUCGCAUGCAAUCAAAUAAUAAUAGUGACAUGAUAUGGCCAAUAUCACAUAGCUCCUUUGAUCUCCAUCUUGGGGCUCCAUGAUCAUCUUGUCACCGGCAUGACACCAUGAUCUCCAUCAUCAUGAUCUCCAUCAUCGUGUCUCCAUGAAGUUGCUCGCCAACUAUUACUUCUAAUACUACGGCUAACGCGUUUAGCAAUAAAGUAAAGUAAUUUACAUGGCGUUUCUCAAUGACACGCAGGUCAUACAAAAAAUAAAGACAACUCCUAUGGCUCCUGCCGGUUGUCAUACUCAUCGACAUGCAAGUCGUGAUUCCUAUUACAAUGGCAUGAACAUCUCAUACAUCACAUAAAUAUCAUUCAUCAUUCAUCACAACUUUGGCCAUAUCAUAUCACAAAGCACUUGCUGCAAAAACAAGUUAGACAUCCUCUAAUUGUUGUUGCAAGUUUUACGUGGCUGCAAUAGGGUUCUAGCAAGAACGUUUUCUUAUCUACGUGAAAACCACAACGUGAUUUGUCAACUUCUAUUUACCCUUCAUAAGGACCCUUUUCAUCGAAUCCUCUCCAACUGAAAUGGGAGAGACAGACACCCGCCAGCCACCUUAUGCAACUUGUGCAUGUUAGUCGGUGGAACCGGUCUCACGUAAGCGUACGUGUAAGGUUGGUCCGGGCCGCUUCAUCCCACAAUACCGCUGAAGCAAGAUAAGACUAGUAGCGGCAAGAAAGUUGACAACAUCUACGCCCACAACAAAUUGUGUUCUACUCGUGCAAAAAGAACUACGCAUAGACCUAGCUCAUGAUGCCACUGUUGGGGAACGUUGCAGAAAACAAAAAUUUUCCUACGGUUUCACCAAGAUCCAUCUAGGAGUUCAUCUAGCAACGAGUGAUCGGAUUGCAUCUACAUACCUUUGUAGAUCACGCGCGGAAGCGUUCAAAGAACGGGGAUGAGGAAGGCGUACUCGACGUGAUCCAAAUCACCAGAGAUCCUAGCGCCGAACGGACGGCACCUCUGCGUUCAACACACGUACGGUCAGCGUAACGUCUCCUCCUUCUUGAUCCAGCAAGGGGGAAGGAGAGGUUGAGGAAGAUGGAUCCAGCAACAGCACGACGGCGUGGUGGUGGUGGAGCUGCAGUACUCCGGCAGGGCUUCGCCAAGCUCUAUGGAGGAGGAGGAUGUGUUGGAGAGGGAGAGGGAGGAACCAAAGGCGUGGUUUGAGAGGCCCUCCUUCCCCCACUAUAUAUAGGGAGCCUAGGGGGGGGGGCGGCGGCCAAGGGAGGAAUCCCUCCUCCCCAAGGCACCUAGGAGGUGCCUUCCCCCUUUAGGACUCUUCCUUUCCUUAUCUCUUGGCGCAUGGGCCUCUUGGGGCUGGUGCCCUUGGCCCAUAUAGGCUAAGGCGCACACCCCUACAGCCCGUGUGGCCCCCCGGGGCAGGUGGCCCCACCCGAUGGACCCCCGGGACCCUUCCGGUGGUCCUAGUACAAUACCGGUGACCCCGAAACUUGUCCCGACAGCCGAAAUAGCACUUCCUAUAUAUAAUUCUUUACCUCCGGACCAUUACGGAACUCCUCGUGACGUCUGGGAUCUCAUCCGGGACUCCGAACAACAUUCGGGUUACUGCAUAUACAUAUCCCUACAACCCUAGCGUCAUCGAACCUUAAGUGUGUAGACCCUACGGGUUCGGGAGACAUGUAGACAUGACCGAGAUCACUCUCUGGUCAAUAACCAAUAGCGGGAUCUGGAUACCCAUGUUGGCUCCCACAUGCUCCUCGAUGAUCUCAUCGGAUGAACCACGAUGUCGAGGAUUCAAGCAAUCCCAUAUACAAUUCCCUUUGUCAAUCGGUAUGUUACUUGCCCGAGAUUCGAUCGUCGGUAUCCCAAUACCUCGUUCAAUCUCGUUACCGGCAAGUCACUUUACUCGUACCGUAAUGCAUGAUCCCGUGACCAGACACUUGGUCACUUUGAGCUCAUAAUGAUGAUGUAUUAUCGAGUGGGCCCAGUGAUACCUCUCCGUCAUACGGAGUGACAAAUCCCAGUCUUGAUCCGUGUCAACCCAACAGACACUUUCGGAGAUACCCGUAGUAUACCUUUAUAGUCACCCAGUUACGUUGCGACGUUUGGUACACCCAAAGCACUCCCACGGUAUCCGGGAGUUACACGAUCUCAUGGUCUAAGGAAAAGAUACUUGACAUUGGAAAAACUCUAGCAAACGAACUAUACGAUCUUAUGCUAUGUUUAGGAUUGGGUCUUGUCCAUCACAUCAUUAUCCUAAUGAUGUGAUCUCGUUAUCAAUGACAUCCAAUGUCCAUAGUCAGGAAACCAUGACUAUCUGUUGAUCAACGAGCCAGUCAACUAGAGGCUUACUAGGGACAUGUUGGUGUCUAUUAUUCACACAUGUAUUACAAUUUCCGGAUAACACAAUUAUAGCAUGAAUAAAGACAAUUAUCAUGAACAAGGAAAUAUAAUAAUAAUGCUUUUAUUAUUGCCUCUAGGGCAUAUUUCCAACAUUAUGUUGCAGACUUUUCAGACGAGGAGUAAGGUUCGUUAGGUCGUUGCCGUAUAGCUCAGCUAUGCCGUUGGAGUUGAUGGACUCACUUUAUCUUCCAGGCCUUCCGAUGUUAUCGUAUUAGAUGGUCUUAAGUCAUAUUUAUUGUAAUAAGUUCUCUCUUGAGACAUUCGAUGUAAUAAGGGUAUGAUUGCUACUCUGUUAUAAAUCCUUCGAGUACUGUGUGUGUCAGCAUUACCGAUCCAGGGAUGACACUGAAGCACAGAGACUUGACCGUUUGAGGCCGGGUCGCUACAAUCGUCAUGAUUAUUUGAAGUUUUAUCAAUUUCCCAACAUUAAUUUGUUUACCCACCAUUUGCUAUUUUUCUCGAGAGAAGCAACUAGUGAAACCUACGCCCCCCGGGUCUCUUCAUUAUUAUAUUUGCCUUGCGAUCUAUUUUUAUUUGCUUUUAUUUUCAGAUCUAUUAAUACAAAAACCCAAAAAUAUCUUGCUGCAUUUAUUUAUUUCUUUUAUCUCGCGUUCCCGCGAGAUCCAUUUAUCCAAUCUACUACACUUUUACCUAUCUUUUUACCCGUGAGGGAUUGAUAACCCCGCUCUUAUGUCGGUUGUAAGUGUUUGUUCUUUGUGUGCAGGAGCUGUUUACAUGGUGUUGUGUGGUUCUUCUACUGGUUCGAUAACCUUGGUCUCAUCACUAAGGGAAAUACCUACCGUUGUUGUGCUGCAUCAUCCCUUCCUCUUUGGGAAAAUACCGACUUAGUUCAGGAAAACAUCAUGCACCAAGUCCUCAAAAGCCCAUGUGGCUAGAGAAGGCAAAAAAGGAAGGAGUCCUAGUAGGAAUAGGAUUGGACUUGGAGUCCAAGUCCUCUCCCCCUUAGCUGCGCCCUAGGGCUUGGAGGGGUUGUUUCCCACGCCCCUCCACCUAUAUAUAGAGGGGAAGGGGCGCCCCAAGAGAACCCACCAAGCCCUUGGCGCCCCUCUCUCUCCCGUUACUCCGUAGUUCCACCGCCUCGUCCCGACGAUGCUUAGCGAAGCGCUGUUGGUGCUCCACCACCACCAUCACCACCACCCCGUUGUGUUGGGUGUGAUCCCAUCUACUUCUCCUAUCCCACUUGCUGGAUCAAGAAGGAGGAGACGUCAUGGAGCUACACGUGUGCUAAACUCGGAGGUGCCGUCCAUUCGACACUAGAUCGAUUGGAUCGUGAUCGGAUCGCGAAGAGUACGACUACAUCAACCACGUUGAUAAAAGCUCCCGCUUAGCGAUCUACAAGGGUAUGUAGAUGCUCCCCCCUCUCAUAGCUAUGCAUCUCCAUGGAUAGAUCUUGCGUGUGCGUAGAAAUUUUUUGUUUUCAAUGCAAUGUUCCCCAACACUGGCAACUCUCUGGAAUUCCAUGUAGACAUGGAGUUGCAUGUUUAAGAUAGGAAAGAAUUAAACCAGAGGAUGUUGUCAACAAGUGCUACAACAUUGAUGCUUUCGAAGCUCCUUAUGGCAAGAUCAUAGUGCCAUGUAGUGAUCUUAGAGUGUGGCCAAAAACUAAUGGGCCUCAAAUGCUGCCACCAAAGUAUGAGAAGAAAGUUUGUAGGCCUGCAAAGAAGAGAAAGAAGAACCCACUAGAGGAGGCAAAUGAAACUAGGAUGAGCAGACAUGGCAUUAUUGGACACUGCAGUGUGUGCAAUCAACCAGGACACAACAAAAGAAAGUGCCCUGAACUAGGUAGAGGACAACCAACAACAACACAAGAUCCUAGAGCAGUAGAAGGGGUAGCAGCAGAACAUGAGCCAAUAGCAGAAGAGGCAACAACUAAACAUGAGCCAGCAGCAGAAGAGGCAGCAACAGAACAUGAGCCAGCAACAGAAGAGGCAGCAACAGAAGAUGAGACAUCAGCAGAAGAGGCAACAAUAGAACACGUGCCAGCAACAGAAGAUGAGCAUUAGUACAAGAGCUACAACUAAUUCAGGUUGUGCUUCCAAAAGCACAACAAAGAACUAAACUACCAGUCAAGAGGAGGCCAAGUUGCAAGGUGCAUUUCCCUUAAAUGUUGAGAUUUCUCUUAAAUGUUGACAUAUUUCUCAAAUUGCAAUGCUCAACAACAUUUCUGUUUUUUUGCAGAAAAAGGCAUGCCCACAAGUGGGCAGAAGUACAUCCAGUAUGAUUUCUUUUUCUAUGACUUAUGAUCUUGCUUCAUCUACUUUGAUUGAGAUUUUACAAGACCAAGUGAGUUCUUUUUAUUCAAAUGCAAUGUUAAUAAAUGCAAUGACAUCUGUUCUUUCAUAAAUUCACCCACAAUACUAACUACAUGUUUGGUUUGUAGGCUAUAGCUACUCAAUAAUCUCAAACAACAGUGCCAACUCCUCUACCAGAAAGCCAAUUCAUUGCAAACUGCAGAGAUGCCCUGCCCCCCCCAAGAAGCCAUACUACUGCUACACUAGGUUUGAAGAGAAGGAAGAAAGUGAAAAAAACCAAGGAGAACAAAGCCCCAAGAACUCAGAAGUGAAGAGCUACAAAUGUGGCACAUUUUGGACAUAUUUUGGAUAGAACCAAACUUGGACAUAUAUUCUAGAAAGUAGUAGUGUAGGAUGUUUUGUUUUGUUUUUGGUUAGUAAACAAGAUGGUUUGUAAUGAAACCUGAUGUUGGGAUGUGGCUUUGGGUUUCACACAAACGAUGGAAAUGUAAUGUUAUUUCCUACUUUUGUUGCACAACUUCAAGACCUUGUAAUGUUAAACCCAUCUAUCUAUCUUUUAGACUGCUUUUAAGUUCAAUUACUAGUAAAAUAAAGACCUUGUAUAUUACUAUUUAUUUGUGCCAUCAAUGCUAGUAAAAAAUGCUACCAAAGUACAGAAAAACAAACAAAAUGAAAAUUUUAGUUCAAUUUCAUUACCACAGUACAUGAUCAAGAUCUGGAUACAUCAACAAGCAUUGAACACUGGAUACAUCAUACUACCACAUCACUUCUUAAAGCCUACAUACACCACUACUACAAUCAGUACAACAAGUGCACUAAGAAUACUCUUACAAAGAAAAAUGAGCUCAUUCAUCUUCUUCAGUACAUCUACAUACACCACAGUCUCAACAAUGCUCUACAUUGCUCCUGCACAUUCCUCUUGCACCUCUGUUUCUUCACUUGCAAUGACACCAGCCGAAUCAAAACUACUCAAUCCACGACUGAUAUACCCACCUCUCACCAAAAAAUCAAAAUAGUUGUGUGGUCCAUCUUCCUAGUAAUAAUGUUGGAAAGAAUUUGGUGGAAUCUGACAGAAAUUGAGUAACAGAAUUCAACAAAAAAGAAACACAUAAACAUCAAACCGAUUGGGGCACUUGUAGAAAAUUUUACAUGGUGAUUGGCGCACUUGUAGAAAAUCCUGCCAGGAUUUGCCUCCGAUUUUGACACAAGAUGAAUUGUAGAUCGAAUGUGGCAGUUAGGGUAUGGUACCAACGACAGCAGACCCGCUAGUGCCGAUGAUGAGAUGGGCGGGGAGAAAAGGGCUAAUGCCGGAGGUGGAAGGGGCACUUGUACAACCGUCUUCUCGCGACGCUUCACGGCAGACGAGCUAGCGGCGACGGACAUGGCGGCGACGCCAGAGAGAGGGAGAAAGCGAGCAGAAGACCUAGGGACUGGGGAAUGAGGAAAGCAUAAACUCUAGGGGCCACAUUGUUUAAAUUCCCAACCGUGAGCCGCAGGAAUCUCCCGCGUGGGUCCUCGAGUCGACGUGGCGGCGGUCAAAGCGCCACGCGAGCUAGUCAACGGCGGUCAGACGAAAAAAGGACCUCACGUGAACAACUUAGAAAGAUUUAGGACCUAGAUAUGCAUUUUAAAAUAAUUAGGACCCAAACGACACUUUUGGGAAAGAAUUAGGUAGAACUCUUUGCCUGCUGGUUUUGUUUUGCAAGAGAAGAUAUUGGGCCUCUCGUGGGCCAGUUUUUUGGGCGAGCUAAAGCCUAAAACAAAAGGCCCUAAAAGAAAAUCCUAAAACAAAACACUGCCCCGCCUCUCUGUCAUCCAUCGGCCAAUGGGAGCACCUAUACGGCGCUGCACGCGCCCGUUCGCGCUCCUGGCGCCUGCAGCGCCCCGCGCUGGGCCGGCCCACUAACCGUGGUGACAAGUGAACGCAAAAACCUUGCCAAAAAAAAUGGAAAUUAAUAAUGCUCUCUACAUGAUUUGAACUUAUCACAUCGUGUUAACAUAUACUCCAGACGAGCUACUAGCCAGACGAGCUACCUGCCGUUGUUGGUUAGUACAAGAGGCGAAAGCAUAAUAACAGGAUUGCAGCGCUAUUUUAUUCAUCUAUUGUACCACUUCAUUUUUUUGAAUUAAUUGGAAAAAAGAUCAUGUAUUGAAAAAAGUUUACAUCAAUUUUGCAAAAAGGUUCAUCAAUUUCAAAAAAAAGUUCAUCAAAUUUGAAACAAAAGUUCAUCGAUUUUGAAAAAAGUUGACUGGAUUUAAAAAAAAUUGACCGGAUUUAGAAAAAGUUCACCGGAUUUGAAUUUUUUUACCAGAUUUGAAAAAAAGUUCACUGAGUUCGAAAAAAGUUCACUGGAUUUGAACAAAACUUCAUCAAAUUCAAAAAAUGUUCACGGAAUUCGAAAAAGAGUUCACCAACUGCGAAAAAAAUAGAAUUGGAAAAAAAGCUCCGGCGAAUUUGAAAUUUUCUUUUAAAAAAUCUCGCGCAUUUAAGAAAAAGAAAAAAAGAAAAAAAGAAAAGAAAAAGGGAAAGCUUCGCGAACAGAAAGGAAUAAAAAGGGUGGAAAGAAGAAUCUCGGUCGUAGUGGUUACUUCGAUUUGCUUUCUACUAUGGAGUGGUCUUGAGUUUUGAAUCUCGGUCGCGCUGUUUCAUUCGGUCCUUUCCAGAAAAGGAAAACAUAGAACGGGCCGGCCCAGCUCGGACUGCUGCAGGCGCCCGUUUGCAGAUUGCACUGUAACGGGCGCCUGCAGCGCCAAAUAGGAAUUGCGUCGGCCAAUCCCCACCCAAAUCCCCUCGUCACCACUCUCCCACACGGUCAAAGGCCACAAGCCCACAAGCUAACCCUAGCCGCCGCACCCCCGCCUCCCAUCUCCGCCCCUCCUCUACCCCUGCACCAACGCCGCCGCCCCCCUUCAUCAACGCCUGCCCGGGUCCCGGCACCAAGAUCUGUUCCCCCGUGUCGCCCCAAAUCCCCGAGCCGCCUCCACCAAUCCACAAAAGGUCAGCCCACAACCUGAGUCCGCCUCCAGCAGAUCCACCGCAUACCGAGGGGAAGCAGAAUCAGAUCUUUGGCGAUGGGUCGAGGCAAAAAGGAUCCCUGGGCGGCGCGCGGAUCCGUCGAUCCAGUGGAGGAGGAGGAGGCGGCAGCGGUGAUGGAGGUUGAAGAGGAGGAGGAAGUCAAGGGAGACGAAGAGGAGUGGAAUCACGAGGAGGAUGAGGCGGAGGAGGAGGAAGAGGAGUGGGAACAGGAGGAGGAGGAGGAGGCUGAUGAGGCCUCGGCGGAGGAGCAGCCGGAGGAGCAGCGGUCGCCGCCCAAGCUGGCGGAGGGAUACUACGAGAUCGAGACCAUCCGCCGCCGCCGCCGCCGCCAGAACCAGGUACAGUACCUCGUCAAAUGGCGUGGGUGGCCGGAGAGCGCGAACACAUGGGAGCCUGAAGAAAACCUCAAGGCCUGCUCUGAUUUUGUUGAAGCCUUUGAGAAGCGGCAGCAACCAAGGUCCUAUGGCAAGCGCAAGCGCAAGCGCAAGAUCUCCACUGCUCCGGUGGUAAGUCCCAACCCUUCUUCUCAGGGUAGAAGGGGCCGCCCACGGCGUUCAGAUCCUCGGUCUCUGUCCCAACGUCCUCUCCCGGAGCGCAAGAUAUUGCCUCCCAGAGCAAGCAGCAGGAGAGGUACUGAUAACAGCAACAGGAACUUGGUUGCGGGCUCUGAUGCAUCAGUGAACGUGGCUCCUCAGCAAAUGCUUGGACAAGGUGCCACACAGGAGGGCAGCUCAAAUGUGCUCUCGGUUGGCCUGCCGUCUGUUGUGGUUCAUCAACAGGAUGAACAUCAGCCUGCGAGUGGUGUGUCAAAGGUUGAUAGUUCAGUACAGGGACCCCCACCUCAGGUUGGCCAGGUGACAGGUGCCAAGAAGCGCAAGCUUGGGUCUGUCAGGAGGUUCAAGCAGGAUGAGGCGCAGCAGGAGCAAGGGCAAGUCGUCAAUGGCACAAGUGAGAGGCCUGGCAAUGAGAAAACUGAUUCCGCACAAGGAGAAACGGGUGAUAGGACCAAGGGAGAGGGCGGUGCUAACCGUUGCAUCACUAAGAUCAUCAAGCCAGUGCGGUAUCAUGCCACCAUGGCAGAUGACGUGCAGCAGGUUUCCAUAACAUUCAGAGCACUCAGGUCUGAUGGGCAGGAGGUUCUUGUGGAUGACAAGGAAUUGAAGUCUACAAACCCGUUGGUGCUGAUAAACUACUACGAGCAGCACCUGCGUUACAGUCCCACCGCGUGAAGGAUGCAUGGAAGGUAUUGGGUUGCCGUAGCAUUCUUUAACCUUGUGGAAUUUGCAGUGAUAUAGGUUAGCCUGGUUAAUGUACUAGUUGUGAUGAAUGUAGUAGAAUGUGUGCCCUUCUAGUUGCGACAUAUUUUGUUCAAUAUUUGUAUAAUCAGGGAUUUAUCCUAGGAUGGCGUUUUGGCGCCCAAGUGCAUCUGCACCUGACAGCGAACAUCAAAUUCGAAAGAAAAAGAAAAAAAGUCGUCUAAAAAUAUUCAGUACCGAAGAUGUUCG
rnacentral:lncRNA from 1 species